rnacentral:lncRNA from 1 species
UUGAAGUAACAAAUUUAACUUUUAAAAGAAGCUUAAAAUUUCAAUACAGAAAAGGGAGGGGAAAAAAGUGCAAUUAGCAAUGAUGUAGGAAAUUAACAAGGAAGAUUAUUUCUCUACUACAGUUCGCAGCUGCAAGACAUUAGUGCAUCCAGAUAUAAUAAGUUGGAUGACAGCUUUUACAGUAAAAUGGCAGAUUUACAAUCUUAAACAUGUAAAGUUUGUAUAUUCAUACACCAACAGCAUCACAUCUAUAGACACAAUCCUAUUCAACAGCGGCAUUGCCAACGAUAUGUAAAUCAGUCUGAUCUUCAUUGCCGGCUCUCUCCAAUGACAUUGUUGAAAACAUUGUUGGAUCAACAGAUAUUCUUGACUCUCAGGCUUCUGCAGGUAUAUUGAUCACGAUACAAAUUGUCUAGGUUACAUUACGGCAAUGAAAGAGCUAUAGUGCUAGUUAUCGUCUUCGCGAAAAGUUGUCUCUUUCUCAUCUUCUUUGCUAGGACCAUAAGCCUUGCUGCAAAUGAGGAAAUAAAUCAUGUUAAGCACACUUAAGCCAGCAAGAACCCAAUAGUAAUAAUCAUAGUGACCCUUAUUGAUGUUGGUCUCAAUCCAGCUUUCUUUUCCUCCCAGUUUUGAGAGUUUGUCAAUGGCGUUCAUAAGAAAACUUGCAACAAGAUUUGCCGCAGACACCCCAAGUGAGAACAAAGUGGAAGAUAUACUUGACAUGCUUCUUGGAAACUCGAAUAAUAGAACUCAUUCUGUGCAAUUGCGCUUGCAGUUUCAGCAGCGCCGAUCAGGAAAUAUUGGGAAGAAGCCAAAGUACUGACAUGUCCACCACUGCAUCUAAAUCAUCUGAAUAUCCUUCCCUGAUAGCCAGACUACGUCGCUUAGCCUCCACUGUUGCUGUCACUAUCAUGCAUACAAAAGACAGGGCCAUUCCAAUUCCCAUUCUUUUCCUUGUCGAGAGAUGAACAGGUCUCCCAUAAUUCUUGACGCAACAGGCAAGAAUAUCUGUUGAUAAAGAGCUAUCCAUAGUACUGCACUGACAACGGUAAACAUACCAAAAGAACCUGCUGGCAUCUCAAAGUUUGGACCAAAUUUUCGGUUCAUGGACUUUGCUUGAAGUACAGAAAAUGAGCCCUGGCUGACAUUUAUUGACAUUAUCAUUCCUGUGGACCAUAAGGAAUCACUUUGAGAAUCGACUUCAGGUCCUCAACUUGAUUUACUGUGCAAAGACUCCAGGGAUCUGCUACUCUUCCAUCUGUUGUCAAGUCUUUCUCAGGAUCUAUGAUGAUGCAAGCUUUAUUUAAGAACCUGGAAGACAAAUUAUUGAAGCUUCCAUAAGAGAAACAUUGUUUAAAUGACCUAAUAGGAACUUCUCUCUUGAAUGUUCAAACUCCAAAUGACUUUAAAGAAAAACACUCAGACUCAAAAAAUGCUUUUACAAAUUGUUGAAUUCGCCACCACAUGAAAAAUAAAAUAGGAUUAAUUGCAAACCAAUUAUAGCUACCAAAUACAGGCAACCUUGUAUAAUCAAAAUAAGUUGCUAAGAACUUGAAAUUAUUCAGAUAUAUAAACAUGGUUCAAAGUCGCGGUCGCGGUCGCGGUCGCAGCUUGGAACGUUCCACAUCGGUCUCGGCAUAUCGGUCACGGUUUCGGUGAGACGCAAAUUUUAAAAAAUUUAAUAUUCUAAAAAUUGUUAAUAAUAUAAAAAAAGUAUGCUAAACAAAAAUAAUAAAAAAUAGCCAAAGAAAUGGCCGAAUCAAUCCGUCGCGGUGUAACUCGGCCGAUUUCUCGUCUUGACUCGGGAUAACUCGGAGUGACUCGGUGUGACUCGGCCAAGUCAAUCCGUCGCGGUGACGUCUCGGCCGAUUUCUCGGCGAGAUGAGUAUCUCGGUCUCGAUUCGUCGCGGUCUCGUCUCGGACUAGGCCGAGACGGUGACGACUCGGCCGAGUCGUCUCGGUCUCGGCCGAGUCUUCGAACCAUGUAAUAAAUCAAGAAAGAAAUACAGCCCAGUCUGAGAGCGGAGCCAAUCGUUUUGGAUAAGAGAACAUCAAGAUCAAGGGGACACUACUGUGAGGAUGAAAAUACACUCACCUUAGUUUUUCACUUGGAAGACAAAUUGAUGGACCCCUGUGGUGAUGGUACAGCAUUUUUGAGCUCUCUGUUGGCAAUUCUAUAUGCCGUUUCCUAUAAGAGGCUACAGCCACUUGAAGCAUUUCAACAAUUAAACUUGAUUUAGCCUUCAACUUGACAUAUAAGUGCGAAGCCAGGGAGAAUGACAGAGUUGACAACAACAUGAGCAUGACCGGAAUGCCAAAACCAACUUGCCAUCCCAAGUUUUCUUGUACGUAGACAAUGCAAGGUAAAGCAAUUAAAAUAGAAAUUGUGCAUAACGCAUAGUACCAGCUGAAAUAACACUCCAGAGCCCAUCCAUUGUUCUGCCCACCUGCUCUUCUCAACUGAUCAGCACCAAAAGCUAAGGAUGAAGAUCCAAUUCCUCCACCUCCAAUAGACAGGAGUCCAAAACAACAACACAAGAGAAAGAGUUGCAAACUUGUCGCUGAGCUACAAUUGUUAUUCGAUUCAUAACAUGGAGGCGGCUUUGCUUGUGGAAUCAUAGUUGUUAGCCAUAAAAGAGCCAUUCCCUUCAAUCAAAGCAGUUCAGAUGAUUCCAUUAAAAUCAGAAAUAAUAUAGUAAAUUUGAAGAACCAAAUCUGGUCAGUAGUGUAAUUUUUUCCGGCAGCAGCACGACUACUUUCAUGCACCAACAAUUGAAGCCUUAAAGAAAGAUGCAGAGGAUUUAAAAUUCUUUAAGUUAUUCUAGUGUAAUGCGCAACAAAUUAUCUUCUAAAAGUCAGGUUCUUUUUCAGUUUUCUUCACUGCACAUGAAAGAUCAAUGGAGCAGAUUUGCAACUGAAACUAAAAUAUAAAGCUGUUGUAUGUGUGAAGAAACUAAUGGCCUGCAUUUUGGGAUGACAUAAUGCCAUAUAUGAUUGGAAUCCUCUCGGACAAAAAAAGGAUGAUUAUGGAGUUCCAACCAAAAAGUUCAGAAAGAGCUAAUGUAAAAUGAGAGUGCUAGAAGCAGAAUUAGACAAGAAAGUCUAAAACAUGCCUUCUCUGCAAUUUGUAUCACUAUGUGAACAUGUUGGUUCAUAAUUCAAAUGAUCAAUUAUGUUUCUAAGCACGGGGUCCGAACAGAUAGAAUUAUGUCAUUGCAUAAAGAUACAACGUGAGAAAUGAUGUAUUUUUCCGAAGCAUCUGACAGUAACCUGAAUAGUAUUUCCACCCCUUUCAACAAAACCACCAGCAGGAAAAUGAUUUGCGCCAUUCUUAAGCAACAAUGGUGUAAUUUUAAAGUACACCCCAACUCCCCCUUCUCACGAUCAUUGGAAUAUUCUUGUACUUUUUAAUUUUUUUGGGUGGCAAGUUUAGUAUAAAAAAGCUACUGUAUCCGUUGGACUCGCCAGUAUUUGGUAUUGAAUUUCUCACGAGAGUAUUCAAAAUAAAUGCCAUGGACAUGAGAUUGAUGUUUCUAACUCUUAACCCCAAUUUUCUUAUGAAACUUAGCCAUAUUCCCUCCGUUUGAAUUAGCUGGUUUUAGGGUGUUUUUAAAAAUUUUACUAUUAUAGUGUAUAUGAAAAAUUUUUACUAUAAAAUUUUUUAAAAUAUUUGACAUAUUAUAUGGAUGAGAUAUUUUUGAGUUAUUAUGUAUUACUGUAGUAUUGUAUUUGAAAAAAUGACCAAUCCAAACGGAUAUGAGAAAGCCUUUUCUUCGCAACGGAUCUUCUGUCCCACAUCCUGUGCCACUCUCUGUGCCACUUUUUAUUAUAUUGCUAUUUCUCCUAUAUAAAUAUCACAUUUUAGUUCUUUUUUGUUUCCUUAAGAUCCAAUAACUAUUAAUUGAGUAAUACACAAUAUUUAACAAACUCAAAAAACCAAAAUGCAUAAAAAAUGAGAUUUUUUAUGAAUUUUCUGCUGUAUUUUUUAAUUUUCUAUUAUAUAUUGCUUUUUUGAAGCUACUGUAUUUAUAUUUUACUCAAUUAAUAGUUAUUGGAUCUUAAGGAAACAAAAAAGAACUAAAAUGUGAUGUUUAUAUAGGAGAAAUAGCAAUAUAAUAAAAAGUGGCACAGAGAGUGGCACAGGAUGUGGGACAGAAGAUCCGUUGUGCCUUUUCUCCCUCUUUAACUUUAUGAACCUAUGCAGAAUUGAAAUUUAGUGACACAUGCUUAAUUAUCAAUGAUGGCAACGGGCGGGUUUGGGGCGGGGACUGACUACAAAUUCCACCCACCCCCGCCCCGUCCCCCAUCCCCCGCUCCCCGCCCCACCCCGUUUUCCCCGCAGGUGCUCCCGCGGGGCUAAUCAAAAUUUGUUAUAUAAUUUUAUUAUAGUUAAAUUUUAUCAAAUAAUCAAGUACUAAAAUAUCAACAUAUCAACAAAUUAUUAUUCAUUGUAAUUUCACAAUUGAAACUUAUAAAAAUAAUCAAACAAAAGUUAUUUGAAUACAAUCCAAUAUGAUGAAAUAAAUACAACUAAAGUAAUCAAGUUUUCACUUUUGGCACAAAUACAAUCACUAAUUCAUUAUUAUGCUUGUGCUUUUUUUUGAAAAAAAUGUUAUUGUAUUAAGUGUAAUUAGGAAUUUAGUAUAAAUGUAUUAGUAAAUUUAGUAUAACCAAUUAAUAAUUUGUAUUAGUACACAUAUAUAAUUAUUAGUAUAAUUGAUAAUAUCAAUUAUAUUACAUAUACUAAUAUACAUAUAAUACAUUAACUAAUAAUAUCAUUGUCAUGAGUUUGUAACUAAUUAAAUUAUCUAUUAUAUAUAUAAUUAUAUACAUAUAUAUUUUAUAUAUUUAUUUUUUUUAAAGCGGGUGGGGGCGGGGUACACUCCCCCGCCCCAUUAGCCCCCGACGGGCCACCCGCCCCAUUGCCAUCCUUAUUAAUUAUACCUUAAUUUCAGCAAUCUGCAGGAUAGUUGCUUAGCUUCUAGAUUAUAAUCUAGAUUCCAAAAUUAAAAAUACUCACAACUAAACAAAAGCAUUUUUAUAUGUUCUUCGCUCCUUCCUGGCAGCCAGAUUGUAAAUCAAAAAAAAAAAAAGCCAGGGAUACUUUAUAAAAUUAGUUCAUUUUCACAGUACAAUCUGAAGUAGACAAUGACAUGAUGGAUGAAAAUGCAAGAAAUAGGAACAGACUGCUUCUUGUGCUAUGAAAAAUUAAACAUAAUCAAAAUAAAUAUUAACUACUGAAAGCAAUGAAGUGUGUAAAUGGGAUUUUACCAGAAGACUAAUAACACAACCAAAUAAGAUCAUCCGAAAUCGACCCAGAAAUGAAUCUGCAACUAUAGCACCAAGAAGGGCAUCAAAUUUGUUGCUGCUGACAAAGAAAGAGUAUGUUGGACCCAGUAGCCAUGUUCAAAUGAUACUCUCUUGUCAAGUACAGAAUCAUGUUAGGCUGUAGCCCAUAGCUUGCCACCUGCGCAAGAGACUCAUUUGCUGCCCCAGAAAAAAACCAUUAAAACACAGAACGGUCAAUUCUUAAUAGAAAAUUUCACUAAAACAAUUCCUCAAUAAACUUCAGUUAAACACACGUAGAAUGAGAAUCAGAUAUAGCCAGUUUAAUAAGGGUCGUUUGUUUCUUGUUUUCAAUCAAGAAAGAAAAAGGAGUUACCUAAAAUGAAUGGCAUGGUUCUGAAGCCACCCUUUCCUGAAAAACCGUCAUGAUCAUCAUUAAGUAAAGGCUUUGUAAUCAGACUUUCUCGCUCAGCAUCAGCAGAAUUCUCCAUCAUGUAUGUAGGGACUUCUGCUUCUUCUUCUUCUACUGCAAUAAUAUGUAUCAAAGUAUUUUGAUAUUGACUCUCGUCCAACAACCAUACUGAGCACUGAAACUGUGAAACAAUUAUUAAUAUUUUAUAUGACUAAUUCUAUACUAAGCGACAGUUAAGUGACAGACACAAAUAUUUUAUCUUCUUCUACUAGACUUUGCAGCUGCCGGUGCUGGUAGUCCAUAACAUUAGACAGAAGAGACAAGUGACUGGACUUGCGUCAAAACCUCAGGUAAUUGAUAUUUUUGGGUUGAAAAGGCUGAGCUCCAAUGUGUUGGAAUGUAAUGAUGUGACAUAACCUAAUGCCGCUGCACAACUUACCUUUGUGAUCCGUCAAUUUCAUACCAAUUUACAAUCCAACCGUCCAGAUUGAAUUGCUAAAUCCCACCUAGAUGCCCUCUUUAAACUGGAUUGGGUCUUUUACAAUCAAACUUUUGAUUGUACGGUACAAUUAACGUGAAGAUGGGUUUGAUUUGAAAUUGAAUGGAUGAAAUUGAUGGUAGGACACAAUUCUAAGGAUUGUGAAAUUUAUUGUAUUUCGGUGUAUUAUUGCAUUGGUGUUCAUCUUUAUUGUGGUCGCGUCGAAUACGUAUUGUGCUAUUGGUUACAUUGUGCCAUACAAUUAUACUUAUAAUGCGGAAGUUUAUAUUAUAAUUUGUAACAUAGAAUUAGAAAUGGUGAUUGUAGAAGCCCCUAAUCCUUAAGUGUAAGCAAAUUACCUUGUGGUCCUUUUGGAUGGAGGUAUUUGGAUGGAUUUGGAUUUGAAAUCCAAAUCUCUAGUCCAAAUAAGUGAAGAAAUUUGGUUGAGAAUUUAAAAUUAUGCCAACUACUCGAUAGGCCUAAUAAUUUUUUUUAGAUUUUAGAUCUUGUUAUUACACGUUAAUUACAAUUCAAUUUAGAUUGUGGAGAUUUGUGUCAGGUUCAAAUUGGCCAAGGAUAGUUAAUCUUGACGAUAACAAAAUUUCUCACAGAAGGGAUUUAAUGUGUUGAAAUGGAUUUCUUUUUCUUUUCUUUUUUGGGGUGUUGAAAUGGAUUUGAAAACCAACACUCCAUAUCUCGUUUCUCCAAUAAUCUGCAUCUUUCCAAUAAUCAGUCGAGCGCCGGCCCCCGCCGCAGGUACCAGCGUCUCUUGUGGCCAGACAAUAUUGGCUCUAAAGAGAAGAUGACUAGUUCCUUUUUUGGUGUUAUUCGAGCACUUCAAACAUGUAGUACAGACUAUAUCAAUUGCAAUGCCUUGAUUCUUGCAGCCAAGUAGUACAGACUACAGGAUCGCGUUCGGCCACGUAGAAAGAAAGCAAACAUUCAAUUUCUAUCCCAAAGUGUUUUUAUUAAUUGUGAAUUCUAUUAUCUUAUGAUAUCUUUUGAGCCAAACGAUAUACUUGAAACAAGAGUUCAUUGCCAAAAUAACCUUCUAAAACAUAUACCCAAAGUAACCUAAUGUUAAAAUUUAUUGCUUUUAUGAUCUUUUUUUGCCACAUAGGUUGCACAUGUGUCAGGAUAGAGAUAGAGACACACUCUAUUUCUUUUUUCCAUCUAUUUACCACUUGCCCACUCUAUUUCUUUUUUUUGGUGCUUCAAUAGAAGGUUUUAAGCAUUGUCGUCCUGUGAUAAGUAUAGAUGGUACAUUCUUAUAUGGGAAUAUAAAGGAACCAUGCUUAUUGCAGUUUCAGCAGAUGCAAACAAUCAACUAUUUCCACUUGCCUUUUCAAUUGUGGAGGGUGAGAACAAUGAUAGUUGGGGUUGGUUUAUGGCAUGCAUAAGGGAAUUUGUCACUCAACGAAGAGGCCUCUGUGUGAUAUCUGACCGUCAUCCAGGUAUUAUUACCAUAGUGAAUCAGGUUGGAUCAGAGUGGAUUGAACCACUUUGUUUGAUCUUUUGGUUAACUUCUUCUUACAGGCUAGCUCUACAGACUCUACUUUUCUUCGGAAUUCUGUAUUGAAAAUAUAUUAUAGUGUUAAUAUAGUAAUCUAUCAUCUUCAAAAUAAAGCUUAGAUAAGCUACCGAACGGGGAACCAAAGACACUGACUCCAUACACAGGACUACACUCUGAUGAACUUUGAAACCCUCUUUAAGAUUACUAUCAGUUAGUGGACAUACCUCAAAGUAGCCACUCAAAAUUCACCUCUCAAGCAACUCAAAUCUGAAUUUCACUCCUUUCUUUGCCUUCAUUUACCUUAAUAAGACAUUAUGCCGAUUUAUGCGUAUAGCAGAAUCACAGUGCAGGUAUUCUACAUUUUCCAUCCAUCAGUUAAUAUACCAAGGUUUGUUUCAUCUUCUUCAACAUCAAGAAAACUGCCCCUAAAUUUUUGUAAUUUAAGGGUGAAUAAGUAGUAGCAUCUGGUGCUAAUUAGUUGAAUAGGUUCAAUUUGCAGUGGAAUUGACCCUGAUUCUUCUUUUACUAUAAUAGUUAACUCCAAGAAAAUUUAACAUUGACAACAAUGAUAGGAAGAACUUUUGAUUUGGACCCCAUUAAUUAUAUUCCUCAGGCAUCAAAUUCCCAAUUCCCAAAAUCAAGAAACAGCAACAGAAUCGCUUCAUUGUUUAUUUUUAGGGUAAAAAAACUCAGCGGCCACUAAACUAUUGGUCAGAUCAUGUUUUGGCCAUCAAACUAUUUUUGAUCAAUAAUUGGUCACUAAACAACUUAAUCAGUAAAUUCGUGACCAUUUAGUCGAUAAUUGCUCUUAAUUUGUCAAAUUAGCAGUUAAUCUAUGAGAUAGGGUCGCAUAGUUUUUGGAUAAAAUUAACCCGCACUUUGCCACGUGUACUGCUAAUUUUAUUUCACAGAUUAAGAGCAAUUAUCGACUAAAUGGUCACGAAUUUACUAAUUAAGUUGUUUAGUGGCUAAUUACUGACGAAAUAUAGUUUGAUGGCCAAAACAUGAUCUGACCAAUAGUUUAGUGACCGCUGAGAUUUUUUGCCCUUAUUUUUAUACACAAAACUUGCAAAUGUUGGCACAAAAUUAUGCACAGAUGAGUAAUUGCACAACAAUUUAACAUAAUAACAAAACUUGGGCUAUUUCAAAGACGCAAAUUUACUUAAAAACAAACAAACAUAAUUGACUAAAUUGAUCACCAAACAAAGAAAAAGUUACAAGGGACUCACAAGAAGGCUGGAGAAGGAUCCAAGAAAAAUGAUCCGGAACCGACCCAAAUAAGAAUGUGACAGAAAAGCACCAAAGAGGGCCAAACCAUUGGACAGAGCAGACCAGACAAAGAGUAUACUUGAAGCAGUGACAGUUUGAAAAUGAUAGAUUCUUGUCAAGUAGAGUAUCAUGUUUGGCAUUAGCCCCUGGCUUGCCAACCUCUCAAAUGCUUCAUUCACUGCAAAAUAGAUAAACCCAAAAAGGGUAAAAGAAAAAGAUCAAAACUUCAGUCCAAUAAAGAUAAAUGCAACUCCAAGAUAACAUGGGCUUGCUUACCUAUGAUAAAAGGCAUGGUUUUGAGACCUCCCUUUGUCCUUCUUGGUGGAGAAUGACCAAGUAAACUCUCUUCUUCUGGAUUGAUGUCCAUCUCCUCUGCUUCCAUCAACAGUUUCUUUGAAGAGUAGAACUAGACUAUUGUGUUAGUUUUCUUUAUGGUGUCAAGUAUACUGUGCUAGUUGAAGUAAAGACUUUCAUCAAACAAGAUACUUCUCAAAGGACGACUUUUAGCUUGUCUCUUCCAUGGUCAGAAAGCAAGAAACAGGUGUGAAAAUGACGGAAUUUUAUAUGUAGCAACAAGUUUGACUUUUUCUUCCUUUUUUUUUUUUUGGUGUUGGGGACGGGGGAAGCGGGGGAUUGGUUUUCUUUGUUACUGUAGCAGUUUUCUAAGUAAAUGUAAGAUGGAAAAUCUGCUGAGAGGCAUGUUUGUGCUCUUCUAAUUCUAAAACUUCUUUUAAGUCCGAAACAAAUUGAAUGAGAAUUUGGGGGUCUAUAUGUUAUUAAAAUAAUUAGAGGGGAAUUUUCUGCAAUUACGUUGAAUAUAAGGGGAGCUAUGUGAAAUUGUCUCUAGUAUAUGUAGCGCAGAAAUGAGCAUACGUGAUCGCAAUCAAUCAAAUUUUGUCAUCAAUUUGGCCUUGGGUGCAAAAAAAAAAUUCUCAACAGUGAUUUUUUACAGUCACUUAAAAUACCGAAUUAUCUUGUAACGAGAUUUAAACUCAAUUUUUCAUUAAAUCCUUAAAUAAAGUGUACAAACCUUAUCAGUUGAGCCAAUUCUCAUAAGGUGACCUUCUCUUUUCGUGGCAUUAUUAAUUAGGGACAGGCUAAAUCCAUACUCUUAUAGCCUAAAUCCAUACUCUGAAUUGUACCAACUAACCGUAGUUUCAACUCACAACUAAAAUUACCAUCACACGCAAGUUUUGAAGGGGUGUGCAUUUACCUCAUUCUUAAAGGUUGAAUGCUCGAGUUCUUUAACGGGGUCACUUGCUCAAAUAACUCAAAUUAGGUUCAAGUAGAGACAUCAAGAGAAGAGCCCUGUAAAUUCCUAGAUCUUUGCCCGCAAAAAUAUGCCAUUCGAUCGAAUCACGUAAAAUUGUAUCUCUAUUUUUAUUUUCUCUUUGCUUUGUUACAGAAUCUCCUCAGGGUUUGGAGAGCUCUUGCUAACUUUGUUAAAAUCUCCGUUACAAACCGCUGGAGGCUUUGCAACAAUGAGGACCAACAAAGACUGGUGUCGAGAAAUUCGAUCGCACGUAGUGUUAACUUGGAGAUGUGACAGCCCUAGAUGAGAAGCAUGUUAUGCAGAAAAGAGCUUUGAUACAGGUACAGCACUUCAAGGAGUGGAGAAAAGCCAGUAAAGAUGACAGAUCAAAUUUUGUUUCAUAUGUACGACUUCCAUAAGAAACCAGUUUCGAUCGUGAAGGUGUCUUGACACUCCAGUCGGAAGCUUCUUCAUUAAAUUUUAUUUUCUAACGCAAGGAAACUUCUUCAUCAUUAACAUUGCCUUCCUCCCCUCUACAAGGUCCAUAGGUCCAACAGCAGAUCAGGAAAAAAAAGAAGUUUGCCAAACUUAAACCAGAAAGAACCCAAAAAUAAUAAUCGUAAUGACCCUUGUUAAUGUUGGUAGAAAUCCAGCUCUCCCCGCCACCUCUUUUUGUAAAAUCAUCAAUAGUACUCAUUAUAAAACUUGCUACCAAACAUCCUAGAGAAAUUCCAACUCCACAGAGAGUAGAAGCCAUACUUGACAUGCUUCUGGGGAGUUCUGAAAUGAAAAACUCAUUCUGCGCGAUAGCACUCAAACCCAGAGUCAAUCCUAUCAGGCAAUAUUGGGGCAAAAGCCAUAGAGCUGACAUGUGCACUAUUGCCUCUGGAUCAUCUGAAAUUCCUUCCUUAAAUGCAAGACUAAGACGAAUACAUUCCACGGUUGCUGUUACAACCACGGAGAGAAAAGAGAUAAACGUUCCAAUUCCCAUUCUUUGUCUUGCAGUGAGGUAAACAGGUUUCCUGUUGAUUCUUGCUGCUAUCGGCAGAAGCACUUGAUCAUAAAAAGCAACCCAGAGUAUCAUAGAAAUGAUAUUAAAUAUACCAAAAGAACCUGCUGGAAUUUCGAAAUUCCCCAUGAUCUUGCGAUCCAUGGAACUUGCUUGAAGUACCGAAAAAGAGGUCUGGUUAAUAUUGAUAAAUGUCACUAUUCCUGACAACCAUAUUGGGAUCACCUUAAUUCUAUUGGUACGUACAUCUCUCUUCUUUGAGAGCCUCUCUCUCUACUUUGAGAGCUUUUUUUCCUUCCUUUCUUCUUCUCUGAGUAGGAGGCUUUCAAAUUUUCAAAAUUUCAAACUGCGAAAGGAGCGCUAACCCAAAAAUAGUAAGCGUAAGAAGAAUCACACAUCCACAAACAGAGUCUGGUUAUUUUCCGUUCAUCCGAGCUUCCAUAUUCUACACCCAAAUGCAACUUUCUGAGCUGCAGCCCUGUUUUUUUCGUGAGAAAAGGUCAUGAUCUUGAGAACAUCUAAAGGAUGCAACCCAUAGAAAAAGGUUUAAGUUUUGGUUUGGUGUGAGUGAGUGUGCGUGUCUGUAGGUCGGUCUAGGUUGGGGUUUUAGAUUAGAAGUUUUCUGUCUUGUGUGUUUCCUUUCUUCUGUUUUUGCAGGCUACGUCUUCUGGUGUUUCUGCGAUAAGGAAUAGUGCAAGGUAGAGCCCUGCAACUGCAGGACUAAAGGAUGGAGGAGGAGCUAACAAGAGCUUUUAGUAAGUUUGAACUAUCGGCAACGGAACUGGAAGGGGUAGAUCUCUGCCCUGAGGACAUUUGCGAGGGGGUUCAAGACUGUAGGCAGAGUUUGGUUGGAAGACUGAUUGGUGAAAAGGUCGCAAAUUUCACGGGCAUAAAGAACUUUACUAAUCAUGCCUGGGGAUAUCCCAGGAAUCUGACUGUGACUGAACUGGGUCCAAACAUUUUCCAGUUUCGUUUGGAGAAGGGAGAGGACCGUGAAAAGAUUCUGAUGGGAGGACCAUGGAUUAUGGAUAACCAGAUUCUUGUAAUGAAAGAAUGGAAGGCUGGGUGCGAUAAGAAGGACCACAAUUUCCAAUUUGCUCACCUAUGGGUUCAAGUCUGGAAUCUCCCAGUUCACUGGUUGUGUAAGUCAGUGGGUUUUAAGGUAGGAAAGGUUUUUAAAUCUGUUAGGGAGGUUCUAGUUCCACCAGGGGGGGGAAAUCCGGGAGACAUAUGAAGAUUAUGGUGGAAGUAGAUCUCCUACAACCUCUUCCUAGAGGAACUUUGGUUAAGCUUGAGGGAGUGAAUACAUGGGUAGAAUUUAGGUAUGAGAGAUGCCCAGAUUUUUGUUACAAUUGUGGGAUCAUUGGGCAUGGGGAUAAGUCUUGUAUUGGGGACAAAAGGGAGGGCCAGACGUGCAGGGAAGGACAAUACGGAGCGUGGAUGAGGGCAGGGAAUAUUAUGGCUUCCCCUCUGAAAGUGUGCUUAAUGACCGGUACAGAGGUGAAUAAGAAGUCCAGAGAGGUAACUUUGGUAAGCAAGGGUCCAAGUAAUAAAGGCGGGAUGAUAACUGAGAUGGGUUCUGGGGUCGAAACUGGUACAAGCAGCAGGGAAAGUGGCAAGGUACACAAGAAGAGUGACCAACAAAAGUUAGUUAUGAAGGAAAAAUGGGAUGAGAUUCUGAGGGAGAGUGUGGAGAUGAAAGGAAGCCGAGGGAAAGAGGACAAGAAGGAGUGUACACGAAAGGAGGGGGACAUCUUCAAAGGGAGGAAUAUCAACGAGAGGUCUAAAGAGGUAGUGGACCUGGAAAAUGACUGGAAUGGGAAAGAAAAUCAGCUCUCAGAAGAGAUGAUUUUAGAUGCAAGCAUUGACCGAGAUGAUAAUAAAAAUUACGAGAAGGGGAUAUUAAUUAAAAGUGAGUCUGAAACAAAGGAAGCCAACGGCUGGAUUCAGGAAAACAGAGGUAAUCAGGGAAGGAAAAAGCAGUGGAGGAGGAGUUCUCGUAUUAAAAGGGUGCCGCUGAAAGACAUUACGGAUAGAGGGACUGUGAGUAGUCUUGGUGAGAAAAGGAAAACAACGGACGAAUGGCAGGAUCUGGACUUUAUGGAAGAGGACGUAACACAUAGUCCACAACACAAGAUAUUAAGAAGGGAUCAGGAAGUCGAGAAACAAGGAGGGGAAUUGGAGGCUAGCCCCGCAAUGCCUCCGCCUUCACAAUGAAAGUUGCGGUGUGGAAUUGCCGAGGUGCAGGAGGCCCCUUGACAAUUCCCCAGCUGAAGGAGGUAAUUCACCUCCACUCUCCUAGUGUGGUGUUCUUAUGUGAGACAAAAAACAAAGAAAGGUAUAUGAAGCAGGUGCAAAAUAGAAUUAAGUUUGAGCAUAGUUUUGUAGUGAAUCCUAAGGGUAGAGCAGGGGGACUAGCUUUGUUUUGGAAUGAGGGGGUACAAUUAUUGGAUAUACACAGCUCUGAUUGGUAUAUUGCAGCAAGAGUGGAAGACAAGGAUACGAGUGAUUAUUGGUGGCUGGUUGGUUUAUACGCUAGUACUGAUGAGAGGGUGAGAGUGCAGCAAUGGGAGAUAAUAGGGGAAAAAAAGAGGGAAUGGGGUGAGAAAUGGGUAGUUGUGGGAGACUUCAACGACAUUUGCUCAAACGGGGAGAAGUGGGGGGGAAGAGAGAGACCAGAGGGUAGUUUUAGGGAGUUCAAUAGUUUUAUUUCUGCGAAUGAGCUAGUAGAUAUAGGCUGUAAGGGGGUGCCUUGGACAUGGAGUAACACUUGGGAAGGGGAGGGAGAAAUAAGAGAGAGACUAGAUCGAUGUCUAGGAAGUGUUGGGUGGGUGCAAAAAUAUGAGAAUGCUGUUGUGGAACACAUUGAAAUAGAGGCUUCCGAUCACUGCCUGCUACUGAUGGACACAGAUUUGAAGCAAAGGAGGGCCAAAAGAAGGUUUUUCUUUGACCAAAGAUGGGCAAGAGAUGAGGCAUCAAUAGCUGUUAUUAAAAGAGCUUGGGGUCUGGAACAAAAUGGCUCUAGAAUGUUCAGAGUGGUGAAAAGAAUUAAGGAAUGUAGAAUUGCUCUGAUUGAAUGGAACAAGUCUCUUAAAGGUAACACAAAGGCAAAAAUCCAGGAGCUGAAGGAGAAACUAAGGUCAGUCCGUGAGGGGAAAGAGCCAUGCAACAAAGGAGCUAUCACAACCUUAAAGCUACAACUCAGCAAAGCUUAUAAGGAUGAAGAGUUGUUCUGGAGUCAGAAAUCAAGGAGCAGAUGGCUCAAGGAGGGGGACAGGAAUACAGCCUACUUUCACCUAAGUGUCGUGGCUGCUAGAAAACGGAAAAAUAUUAGUAUACUCCAGAAGGCUAAUGGGGAGUGGUGUACAAGUGCAGAGGAAAUUGAAGCUGAGAUAAGCGAGCACUAUGCGGAGCUGUUCAACUCAAGUAAUCCAUCUGAAUUUGAAGAAGUGUUGCAAGGUAUACCGAGCACUAUUUCUAAUCUCGUGAACAUUCAGUUGAUCAAGCCAGUGACAGAUUUGGAGAUAAAACAAGCCAUAUUUUCCAUGUUCCCAAAUAAAGCUCCUGGAGUUGAUGGUAUGCCCCCUUUAUUUUUCCAAACAUAUUGGCAUAUUAUCAAAAAUGAUAUUGUCCAUGCUGUCACAAGUUUCUUUCAUUCUGGUAAUAUCUUAUCGGCUAUUAAUGAGACCAUUAUCUCUCUUAUCCCUAAAGUUGACAAUCCUGUUGUGAUUUCUAACUACAGGCCUAUAAGCCUUUGCACUGUCCUUUAUAAAACUAUUUCCAAGAUUUUGGCUAAUAGAUUGAAAAAAGUCCUAGGGCACUGUAUUAAUCCGUCUCAAUCUGCUUUUGUCCCUGGGCGUCAAAUUCUUGAUAAUGCUAUCAUAGCUCAUGAAGUCUUGCAUUUCCUUAAAAAUAAGAGAGGGGGUAGAGUAGGCUUUAUGGCUUUAAAGCUUGAUAUGUCAAAAGCUUUUGAUAGAGUGGAGUGGAAGUUCCUAGGCAGAAUUAUGUUACAUAUGGGUUUUUGUCCUAUUUUUGUUCGCUGGAUCAUGACGUGUAUCUCCACCGUUUCUUAUUCUUUUAAUUUGAAUGGACAAAAGGUGGGCCAUAUCAAACCAUCUAGAGGUCUCCGUCAAGGGGAUCCCCUAUCCCCCUACUUGUUCAUUAUAUGCAUGGAAGGGCUGUCUAAUUUAAUCAAGAAAGCUGUGGAUUCUAAGCAACUAACGGGCAUCAAAGUCUGCAAAGACAGCCCUAUGAUCUCUCAUCUCUUUUUUGCAGACGAUGCUCUUUUGUGUUGCAAAGCAAGCAAGGAGGAGGCUAAGAAGGUAAAGGAGAUCAUUCAGACCUAUGGACAGGCCACGGGACAGGUAGUAAAUUUUGAUAAAUCAGCCAUGUUCUUUACUAAAAAUACCCCCAACAGGCUUCGCGGAGAGAUUAGGGAGGUUUUGGGCAAUAUGAGGGAAGCCUCUAGUGGGAAAUAUUUAGGAUUACCCAUGACCAUUGGGAGAGCUAAGAAUCAGGUGUUUGGUGUCCUGAAAAGUAUCAUCAUUAGUAAACUCCAAGGUUGGAAACAUAAAGUGCUUAGUCAAGGGGGUAAGGAGAUCCUUAUUAAAUCUGUCAUCAUGGCAAUGCCUACCUAUAUUAUGUCUUGUUUUAAGCUCCCUAAAGGCUUGUGCAAGGGUAUUAGUGCAACUAUCGCCAGAUUCUGGUGGGGUGGGGGAGGUUUAGAGAACAAAGUUCAUUGGGUGAGGUGGAGUAAACUUUCUGAAGUUAAAGGGAAAGGGGGUUUGGGCUUUAGAGACUUAGAAGCUUUCAAUGUUGCCUUGCUUGCAAAACAAACUUGGAGGGUUGUUACAAAUCCGAAUUUGUUAGUAAGCAAGGUCCUGAAAGCUAAAUACAUGAAGAAGAAUGACUAGUUUGUUCAAAAGCCCCCGAGCACAGCAUCUUGGUGCUGGAAAAGUUUACACAAGGGUGGUGAGCUGCUUCAGCAGGGCCUAUACAAGAGGGUAGGAGAUGGAAGGUCUAUUAAAAUCUGGGAAGACAGAUGGGUAGCUGGAUCGCGCCAUGGGAAACUGACUACGGUUAAACCAGCAAGGUGUCAACUUGAGUGUGUCCAUGAACUAAUAGAGGAGGGGAGGUGGAAGACUGAUACCCUGCAUCGCUGGUUUAAUAUAGAUGAUGUGGAUCUCAUAACUAACAUCCCUCUUAGUCUAUAUGAAAGGAAAGACAGAUUGUAUUGGUUGCAUAGCAAAUCUGGUGCUUAUACAGUCAGAACAGGCUACGUUGUUGCCAAAGGGGGAAGGGAGAUAAUGAAUCACAGAAUUGCACCUGACUCAGAGACUAGUUGGGCAAUUAGGAAGCACACGGUGUGGAAAAGAUUGUGGGGCUUAAAUAUCAAAAUGAAGCUCAAGCAUUUUUUAUGGAGGUGUUUGCAAAAUGGGCUGGCUACUAAUGAAGCUCUCUACCAAAGAGUUGGGAAAGGAAGCAAUCAGUGCCAAUGUUGUGGUGAGGCUACGGAGACCAUGGAACAUGUUUUCUUUUUUUGUCCAACAGCUCAAAUGGCUUGGAGACUAGCUCCGGUGAGUUGGGAAGGGAUAGCUGAGCUUCAAUGCAAUAUGUGGAGGUGGUGGGAUGCUGUGAUGGAAUCGGCUAAGGGUGCCCAAGGAAUGGAUCGCAUCAAGCUCACAGUAAAUAUACUUUGGCAGCUCUGGAAGGCGAGAAACAAGAGAGUAUUCCAGCUGGUGAAUGAGGACGCAAAAGUGAUAAUUGACAAAGCCCAGCAAGAGUGGAUCGAAUUUGAAGAGGCAACUGGCUCUCAAUCCCGCGGUUUCGAAUCAACAGAGCAGCAAAGACUGAGUCAGCAUAAUUGGGAGCCACCAAUGGAGGGAGUAGUGAGAAUUAAUACGGACGCAGCAAUCUCAGCAAAAAUGGUUAGGACAGGAUUGGGAAUUGUUGCUCGGAACUGGCGAGGAGAUCUAGUGAAAGCCCGAGGGAUUAGUAGAAGGAAAAAAGGGGAAGCUGCCACGGAGGAAUCUUUAGCAAUCCGAAGUGCGCUGGAAAUGGCUCAAGCUGCAGGAUGGACAAAGAUAGAAGUCCAGUCAGACUGCAGAAAUGUUGUGAGCUCGAUCAAUGCGGGCAAUGUUCAGGAUUGUAAGCUACAAACAAUCCUUGAAGACAUUGAGGCCCUAAAGACUAGCUUUGACAGCUGUAUCUUUUCUUUUGUUCCCAGAAGUGCGAAUGGUUGCAGUCAUGCAAUGGCUCAAUUUGCAACCAAGGUGGUUAAUACCAUUGACUGGCAAGCUUCAUUUCCAACAUGGUUAACUGUUCUUGCUAGGAAAGAUAUGGGGGUAGUUACCCCUUUUUGUAAUUAACUCUUGUAUUUUCAAGUGUUAUUAUCCAUUAUCUAUAAAAUGUUAUCGUUUGAUUAAAAAAAAAAAAAAUAUUGGGAUCACCUUAAGUAGUGCUUUCAGAUCCUCUACCUGAUCCACUGUGCAAAGAUUCCAGGGAUUCUUAGCUCUUCCAUCAGGGGUAAGAUCUUGCUCGGGAUCGUGGAUUAUGCAAGCUUUGUUUAGAAACCUAACAAACAACAUUCAGGUUAGUUUCAGAUACAGCCCACAGGACUAUGUUUAUAAACAUGUAGUUGAAUGAAAUAGUGAGUGACAAAAAGUUCUCACCUCAUCUUUUCACUAGGAAAAACCAGUGUUGAGCCGUUCUUGUGAUGGUACAACAUCUCAGUACUGCUACUCGAUAAUAACUUGGGAGAUUUAGUUUUAUAAGAGGCUACAAUCACUUGAACAAGUUCAGUGAAUAAGGUUGCUUUAGCCUUUACCUUGAUGUAGAAGGGGGAAGCCAGAAAAAACAGAAGAGCUGCAAAAAACAUAACCACCACUGAAGCUCCAAAACCAAUUUGCCACCCCAUUUGAUCUUGAAUGUACACCAUACAGGUCAAAGCAAGGACAAGAGAUAACGAAUACGACACAUAAUACCAGCUAAAAUAUCUCUGUAACAAGACUGCAUCUUUCUUUCCAUCUCUUUUCUCGAAUUGAUCUGCACCAAAGGCCAAGGAAGCAGACCUGAUGCCUCCAGCUCCAACAGAUAGGAGUAUAAAGGAUGUGAAUAGCAUAAAGAGUUGGAAAGAUGUUGCUGAGGUGCAACUGUUGCUGGAUUCAUUACAUGGAGGAGGCCUUGCUUGGGGAAUCAUAGUUGUCAACCACAAAACAAUAGUCCCCUUCAAGGUAAAAUUUUUAUGUCAGAAUCAUCUAGCACUAAGAGGAAUCAGAUAAUCCUGCAACAUCAAUUUGGCUCUUUUCCCUCACAAAAUUAAUCUUCGUCUAGUAAUUUGUUCAUUAAGGACAAUUUAACAAUGCAUUAAUCUUUGCUAAUCGAUGUGAUUACAGUGUUAAGACGUUGGUGCAAGAGUCAGAAGUUAACUAAGCAUUCCAAAUAGGGAAUAGCCGAUUUACUGUAACUUAUUGGCUCUUAAAAACACCAAGUUAGGAAACACUCCAAGAUUGCCCAAGACCAAUCGUAACAAGUAACAACUAUUUAUGGAGCGUUGGUGGAGGAGAGAAUUGGGAUGCAAAAACAAUCUUCCCAGAAAAAGUAUGCUCACGAGCAAGUGCAAAAAUGUUCUCGAGGUUGAUGUUCUAGGAAUUGGAAAUCUGAAUCCAAAUUCCCCCUUCCCCCUCCCAACUUCUUAAAUCUCAUCUUUCCCCUAUUGAAAAAACAUUAAAAAAAAAAGUGCAUAAAUGUACUCAUCUACAGAAGGCAUCCCGGCACUGAAAAUUUUGAAGAAAUUCUGCUUUUGAUUUAAUUUAACUCAAUGUAGAUACUUGGACAUGGACCUGGAAAUUGAAGAUUCCUCCUGAACUUACGUUUUUUUUCCUUUUCUUGUUUGGUGUCAGGGACUUAAUUUGCCCAAGGAAUUUAUAAAGAAACUUAUUUUCUUAAUGAAUUUAUAAAGAAGAAGAUAUUACUCUCACUCAACUUUUCUAUAUAAUGUCAUACAUGACCUACUCUCGUGUUACUUUUGUAAGGAAUUUUGAUGUUAAAAACAAGAGAAUUGUCAAUGUCACUCUCCAAACUUAUACCUGAAUUAUUGCACUAAUCGACAAUAAUGCCCAUUAAUCUUAUCUUUUUGUCCUUGGACACUAACAGCAAGACAAAAAACUUGUGACUCGGACAUUGGGAAUUUAUAAAUUAGGAAAACAUUUUGCUGAAAAAUGAUAAGAAAACCUUUCGGUCAAUCUACAUUGCAUUGAAGGACAUAUAAUGAUAAGAAAACUUUAAUGAUACUAGAAAAUGUAGACUUGAAAAAUGGAAAACUUUUACUUUCUCCACCCAAUUUGACCUCAUCUAAAUUCUCAUCUCAUUUAAACUUUCAUGAAGAGCUGAAAUUUCAAGUUGCUGCGCCAAAAAAAUGGGGGUGUUUUUGCCAUAAUGGAUAAAUGUACUUUGAUGUGUUGGUAAGGAUAUUUUCAUUGACCAUGGUGUUAUAUAUGAGGACUUUGAUUGCAACAACAUUCUUAAUUUUGAGGACUAGAUUCAUACUAACUUAAGACCAAGGACUUAAUUAAGACCUUUUUCUUACUUUAUAUGGACGAAAAAUCAUAUUCACCCACGUCAAAAUCAAAAGUGUCCUAGGUAUUGACAAACCAGUCGCAAGGAUAGUGGCCAUUUGUACAUAAAAUAAAUAAACAGAGAGAUAAUCCGUCACCAUCUUUCUUGAUAAUUCCCUUAGGUCAUCAAUUACUACCGUUGUAUCAAUUGAAGAAUAUUGGAAUAUACCAACUCUGCAAAGAACAGUAGAGCACCAGCAGCAAUAGAACUUGGGGGAUUUAAAAAUUUAGAACUUAAAAUGUUUUUUUUUUUUAUCCAGAACAUGCUCCGACUCGAGCAAAUUAGGACCCGAGCCGACACAUCAAAUUAGGGAUAUGUCGUGGCCCCUCAUAACGCACCUAGGUUAGACAGGAGAUUUAAGUUCAGGGAAAGAUUCAAAUUCAGAACCCACUCAGUCCAAGAGCCCGCUUUACUGCUAGACUAUCCGGGGGGCUAGAACUUAAAAUUUAUGACAACUAUUCCCUCUUUCUUCUUAUUUCUCUGAAAUUUGACUGAAAAUUAACUGCAAUCACCAACAAUAAUAAUGAGCAAAUGGGAGCAUUUCUGAGUCAGUUGAUGCAAGUGAAGAAUAUGUACCAGAAAGCUAAUAACGCAUCCAAAUACGAUCAUAUGGAACCGACCAACAUAAGCAUCUGCAACAAUUGCUCCAAGAACUGGCGUGAAAUUGUUAGCUGCAGACAAGUAAAAGAGGAUAUUUGAUGCAGUUGCCAUCUCCAUAUGAUAUUCCUUCAACAAAUACAGAGUCAUGUUUGGCGAUACCCCAUAAGUUGCCACCUUCUCAAGAACCGAAUUUGCUGCAAAAACAAAGAGUUCAAACUCAAAGAAGAAAAUUACUGAACAACUACGGGGGGAAAAAAACCAUAUUCGUAAAUUUAAAUACUAAGUGCAUAACAAGUGGGCACCAACUUUGUAGUAAUAUAGGUCUGUACUACCUAUGAUGAAUGGCAUGGUUCCAGAACCACCUUUUGGUGAUGAAGUGCUCAGGAGAGUCUCUUUGACCAUAUCUUUCUUUUCUUCUAAUGGUCUCUUCAUUUUUCGUGCCUUUCGAGCUCUGAUCAAGCAGGAGCGUAUGAGGUAUUUUUACGGCUCUAAAUUAUAAGCCCAGAAACAAAAACAUGUUAAGCUCUUAUUGUAGAAGAAGAACCGAGAAGUUCCGCUAGACUUUGGACAAAAACUGGCCGCAAAAGGUCCGUGAGCGAUGUGAUUUUCACUUCGAAAAAAUGGCCGUAAAACUACAUUCCAUGUCCCACCGUUUUUGUCAUGUGGCGAUGGGUAGGAAGUUUCCUGCUCGUGUCGUGUGGUUUCAUCGUGCAACUGUGGAAAAAGUUUAAUCCGGAUCCGACUCAUAGUGAUGGGUUUACUCGACUCAACCAGCUAAAACUUGUUGAACAUUUUACACUUUAAUACCAUUGUAAUAUGAGCUGAUAAACACAUAUCCCACUUAUGCUUGCUAUUGAAAAGUUUUAAAUCACAAACCAUAUAAUUUAGUCUUUAAAUUUAAAGCAUAAAAAUAAAGUCCAAAACUUCAACGCUAGUUUCUAAUAAAAACAAGAUUUAAUAUUUAAGUACAGUAAUACAUAAUAAAAAUAACGACAAAUGAUAUUUGCACUCCAAUAAAAACCUCCGGCACUUCAACCAUUGUUUUAUAGUUCUUGAAUUUCGAAAAUGCCCUCUAUAAUCUAUUUCUCAUGUCAUUUCUUCUCCAACUUGUUCAUGUUCCAAAUUCAUACUAAAUGUUCUUCCGAAUUAAAAUCAUCUUUCUUUAUCAACUCAACACAUUCUUCUUCCUCAAAAAAAUAAAAAAUAAAUUUGCUCAACACAUUCUUCUACCUCAAUUGGUCUCUUCUUAACUGUGAUUUCGUGGUGUCACUUAAAAUUGAAACCAACCACUACUCCUAAAUUUUAAUUGAGUCUUAGAUGCAUCCAGCUAUCACAAAGAAAACCUCCAAUUAUGGUGUAGAGUAUCACUUCUACAAACAAACAUGAUCAAACUCAACAAAAAUCAAUCUCGUGAUACAUAAAAUAUAUUUAAAUAUUUAGUUGAUCAUUUAAAUAGUAACAACAAAAUUCCCGUUAUUAUUUCACCAAAAAUGCAAUGUUUUUAAACCCGGACCGGAGAGUGAACCAGAGAACCUUCCGGUUCAAGGUUCGAUCCCGGUUCAAAGGUUUAAUAAUUUUUUAUUCAUUUUAGUUUUAAAAAUUUUGAAUAAAAAUAAAAUAUUUAUUUUAGAAAAUAAAUACUUAAUAAAAACCGGUUGAACCUCCCAGUUUUUAUCGUAUUCACCGGUUCAAUCGAUUCUUGACCGGUUUUGAUCGGUUAAAUUGAUUCUUUGGAUUUUUAAUUGAACCGGACUGGCGAUUUGGCCGGGACCUAUCCGGUCCGGUUUUCAAAACAUUGCAAAAAUGUACACAAAGGGUGAUAUUUUGACUUACUUUUUAAAUAUGUUGAGACUAUUACACUCAUAGAGGAAUGUGUGUGUUUGAUGGGAUAUUUGAUGCUUGUUAAUUAAUGCCUAAGAUCUAAUCUGAACAACUAGAGUCAGCCAGAUUAUAUAUAACAUCACGAUCUAGAGAAUGCCACCAAAUUAGAGAAGUUUGUGCAAAUAAAGCACAGGAAUUCCAAAAAAUAAACAGUGCAAGGUCAUGAUGUUGACAACAAAUUGGUAGUGAAAUCCCCUCCUUCCCAGAAUCCCAGGGAGACGACGACUUGCUUAGAAAACAGAUGGUGCUAGCUUUGUCUUUUUUAUAUCCUUGUAAUAACUGAAUAGGACCGAUCAAAGUAACAUUCCAGAGAAAAUGAUAGGGCAUUAGACCAAAAGAAAAGGAAAUGAUAUAUGAAGGACACAAUUAGCAAGUAGUAUUUCUAAAUGCAAGUACCAAAUAAUUACCAGAAGGCUAACAACAGAGCCAAAUUUGAUCAUAGGAAAUCGAUCCACAUAAGAAUCUGCAAUAAUUGCUCCAAGAACAGGCAUGAAAUUGGUAGCUGCUGUCCAGUAAAAUAGUAUAUUGGAUGUACUGGCCAUCUGAAUUUGAUACUGUUUCACCAAAUACAGAGUCAUGUUUGGCGUUAGCCCAUAACUUAACAAACACAAAGGGGGAAAAAACAACCAAGAAAACGGUAAUUGAAAAACUGCAUAAAGAAACUGAUGAUAUUAUUGUAUACAAAAAGAUUGGCAGAUAAAUCUUUUUACAUUCUGGUGCACCUCUGAUAAAUGGCAUGGUUCUGAAACCACCCUUCGGUGGUGAAGCAUUCAAUAGAGGCUCUUUGGCCAAUUCUUUCUUUCACCUAGUGAACUCUCCAUUUUUUCGACUGCUAAUGACUUCUGUUCAAUCUUAGUAUCAAUCUUCUAUCAAGUUUUUAACCCACAAGAAUGAUACUAGUACCAUAAUAAGCGACUUAUAAAGAAGGGGAAAAAAAGGAGAAAAGCUAGAGCUCCCCUGAAUUCUGGACAAAAAAGCCACGUAAAGAUCUUGAAUUAUGUGAUGUUUUCUCUAUCAAAUUCUGCAUUCUACUAGUAAUAUUCAGUGUUCUACUGAUUCAUCCAUCUUGAAGAAGCAGAAAUAGUUAGUAGAAGUUGCUGUGUCUUCUUAGCAUGUGGGGAACUGAGAGGCGUGGCACGCUGGGAAAAGAGACCAAGCUACGUUUGUUUCUUAUUUGGAUAAAUUACCUUUUACCCCUAUAGUUUGGUACUUUACCACAUAACCCCCUAUUAUUUAAAGAUCGACAUAACCCGUUUAUGAUUUGGGUUAAAGUAUCAUCAUUAGUUUUUUUCGUUAAAACUAACGGUCAAUAAUAAAAAGUGAAAAUCAAACUAAUAAAUUAACAAAUUUAUCCUUUCACUACUUCUUGUAUUCCCUCCAAACAUAAAAAAGAAGAAAUUGAAGUCAAAAAUAGAUAAAUAAGAACUAGAAAAUACCAUUAAGAUUUAGUUUAAAAACCUAUAAUGUUAUUUGUAGUAAAAAAAUUUUGAUAUUUUUGUUUCUGAUUUAUUUAUUGUAUAUUUCCCUUCCAUCUUUUUUAUUUUUAUUUUUUAUUUUUUUCCCUUCCAUUUAUUUUGUAUUUGGAGAAAAUUAAGAUUUUGUAGGCCAAAGUAUAGGUUUUCAAAAUUAUCUCUUCUCUCAAAAAAAGAAGAGAGAGAGAGAAGGAAAAAAGAAAAAGUAGUGAAAAUGUGAAUUUGUUAGUUUAUUAGUUUGACUUUAACUUUUUACUAUUGAUUGUUAGUUUUAAUGGAAAAAUUAAUAGUAGCACUUUAACCUAAACCAUGAAAGGGUUAUGUAUAGGUUUUUAAACCACAUGGGGGUAUGUGGUAAAAUAUGAAACUACAGGGAGUAAAAGGUAAUUUAUCCUUUUUGCUUUUUCAUUUGGCACGCAAUGAAGAUUUUCUUUUGACUUUGGAAAAGUUUUGGUAUUUUGCUUCCGUUAAUUAUGCUUAAAUUCUUACAAGAAGGGAAAAAUACACAUGUUGUUUUCACUUGGAAGAGAGUUACAGGUGUUCCUAUUGCAAAUUAUAUUCUCCUUUAACCAUGAACUUUUAUAAUAGGGAUAAUUUCGGAAACCUCCCCUGAGGUUUCAUGAAUUAUCACUUAGUCCCCUUGAGGUUUUUAAAAUCUCAUUUAGCACCCCUCGAAUUGACAUUUUGGUAACAUUAUCACGCUUCUAACCAAAAGUAAUAUUAAAAAUUCAUGUUUGAGGAGAGAGAUUAUUUUAGUGCCUUUAAUACCCUUAGACUAUAGAAAAAUGAACAUUUUACAAACCAAGGAAAAAAAAAGUACUAAAUUGAAACCAUCUUAAAAGUGAGGGGAUUAAAAUUGAUAAGAUUUUAUGUUACAGCCGAUAAUCAUUUCUAUAGUAGAGAGAGAUAGUAAAAGCAAAUAUUUUUUAAACUAUUUCUAUAAAUAAAACCCUCCAUAGUAUUGAAGGCAAUUAGCAUAUAAAAAAUCAUACAUUUGAGCAAAAAAAACUCAACAAUAGAUGAAAUUCAACUUCAAUAUCAUACAGAAAAUUUAUUUAAAAUAGACCGACUUUUUUAUGGGAGUGAAAUAUGAAAAUUUUAUUAUAAAAAAUUCAGAAUUUGAAAAACUGCAAUCGGAGUUUUAGUUACUUUAUUUCUCUUGCGCUCUACAUGAAUAGGAACAAUAAAUAAAUAAAGUUGUGAAACACAAAAAAAAAGGGGGAAAAAAGAACCUCCAACUAUUUUUCUCCAAAUGCGCUGAAUAUUUCAUUGAUUAAAUUCUAUAUUUCAUUAACAUUUAGAGAAAGAAAAACAAGUUCAGAAAAUUUAAAUAUGAGGGUAUUAUUGACAAUUCAUCACCUUUGAUAUUAGCAUAUGACCCUACUAUCACUUCAAGGGUACUAAGUGAGAUUUUGAAAAGUUCAAGAGAGCUAGGUGAUAUUUCAUGAAACCUCAGGGGAGGUUUCUGAAAUUAUCCCUUUAUAAUAUGCGUGUUCAUAUUUCAGUUUUAACACUUUUGGUCCUUUAUGUUCACCUAGAGUUAGACAAUGAUUUCUGUAAAACAAGGGGUUAUAAGUGUCAAAAUAGGUUAAUUUAAGUAAGUGAUAUUUAAAUUGGUUUUUGUGCCCUAAGGCGAAAAGAAAAACCCCAUUAUAAAAUUUUCACAUUAGCAUUCACCCGUUGAAUGAGUUAUAUUUCAAAAUAGAAUAGUAACAUCAGACAAAUAUUAUUAUAUGUUUUGCCAUUUGGAUACAGAACUGAAGAACUCAUCUAAAUUUUAGAGAACUAAAUCCAUUAAAACCAGAACAUAAGAUGCCACAAUUGAGCGUAACCCAAGAUUGAAGAGGCUGGCCUUUGACAGUUGAGACUACUGUGGACAAGUGUUUUGAUACCUGGACCAUACCAUCCAAUUCAACCGGUUUUAAUAAAAAUUACAUCCUGGCUCAAGGAUGGGUUAUCCGCCUUUCAGUAUUAUCAAUAUUAAAACUUCAAAAAUAUGUUGUUUGGUUCAAAUUUUAUUCAUUUUAAAAACCAAAAACAGUAUAAUAGUCGAUACACUAAAAACUUGAGGUCUAUUUUUUUUUCCUUUUUUUAUUUAAUGAGACUUGGUUCAUCCACCAAUUAGGGUUUGAAAUCAAUGACAUAAACUAGACGAGCCAAUUGUAGAAAGCUUGGAUUACUAUGGGUUUGUUUUCAGUUGAUUAUUUUAGCUAAUUUUAAAUUUUGAUUUUUGAUAAUCAAUUUUUAUGAUAUUCUUAUUUAUUUUUAUGUUCAUAAUUAUGAAUAUUUUACUAGCCAAGAAAGCUAAAAUCUAUGAUAAACCUAAUUUUUUUUUUUCGCAACGAUAGAUGUCCUAUAACCUACUCUAGCCUAAUCUAAGGGAAGGGGUAAGGGGAAUGGUCAAAUAAGACCAGCCACAUAUUGUGGCAAAUUUUUUGUGGGAGGCGGGGGUUGAACCCCUGACCUCCAGCAUCACCAUUAAGGUGAUGACCACUGGACCAAAAGGCCAGUGGCAUGAUAAACCUAAUAUAGCUUUUGCUAAUUUUGAUUACUCUGCAUACAUGUCACAUUGGAAGGGAAAGGGAACGAUAUUUAUCCAAACUCCUCAUAGAUAUUAAGAUAAACUACUUAACAGUACUCUCUAUAAUCAUUUUUUAUAAUCAAAUUUUGCUAAAUUUUAAAUAACUGAGAAUAGAGGCUGUGUGUGUGAGGCUUAGAGUUAAAUGGUUAAAAUGAAUUGGUAGUAGUUUAACUAGUUAUUCUACGUUAAGUGGGAGGAGCGUGGGCAGUGAUUAUUGUAUUGUGUACAUUUAGGGCAAUUAGUAGGGCCGGACCAGUCUGAACUCGGCCAAUUUGAUCUUAACAAAAAAAAAAAAAAACUCGUUGAACCUAAACUUUAAUUGAUCGGGCUGAGUUUGGAUCUAAAUAGUAGGUCUAAACUAAAUAUGAGCCAAGCUUGGACCAUGCUAGACUCAAAGUUGAUUAAGGCCUACACACAUACAUAAAAUUCAUAAUUACAUAUAAUAUGACAUAAAAUAUUAAUAAUUUAUAUAUAAAUUUACAAUAAUUCAUAAUUAUAAAUAUAUGUUAUAUAUAAUUAUAUUUUUAAUUAUGAAUUUGGGCCGAUCCCGAUUUGAAUCCAAAUCUCAUAUAAUGGCAUGAGCUAAAUUUGAGCCUUUUAACUUAUGUCUGAAGCCUAAAAGCUAGAAACUCGAAAACUCGACUAAUUUGUGAGUUGAGUUUAAACUUGUCAAAACCAGGCUCAAAAAGCCCAAUUGACAUCACUAUGUACACUUACUGAGACAGUAUUGUUUUGGUGGUCUAUCAGUUAGUUACAAUUAGUUAUGGAAUUGGCUAUAACUAAUGUAACCAUAUGGAUGUGUUUUAGUUUUUGGCAAUAAUAGAAUUCCAUUUCUCUCUCAAAACUCUCUGCUUGCCAUAGUCUGGUUUCACUUCUUCUAAGGCCCUAUUUGAUAAUUUAAUUUAUUAUUUAAAUUUAAUGAAUUUAAAUCAUAACAUGUUCAGACGCGUUUAAUAAUAAAAAAUAGAACGUUUAAAUUAAUUAAGUAAUACUGAAUUUUUUAGGCAAAACUUGCUCCAAAAAAUAAAUAAUAAGUUAUUCACUUAUCAGUUAAUAUGAUAUACACUCAAAUGUAUCCGAUUAUAAGUAAAAAAUGAUUACCAUAUUAUAAUAAGCAUACAAAUUAGUACUACUAAUAGGAAAGUGAAACAAAAUAGUGACAUGAGAGAAGUGAAAAAAAAAAGAAAUUAGUAAAAAAGAGAAUGUAGUGGAAAAGAAUAAUAGGAGAAUGAAUAAACAAAAAAAGAAACAAAAGAAAAUAGUAACGGCACUUUGUCUUAAAAUAUUAUAUAAGGGGACAAAAUUUUUGUUUAAUGAGUUUAGCGGAUGAAGCGCAACUAAAGGAAAAGUUAAGAGGGGUUUAGCUUUGGCGCCCUAAUAAGAAGUAGGUCACUGUUGUAUAUUUUUUUGGCAAUAAGAUAAAUUUCUCGUGUAAAAUUGCAAUUCAAGGUACAGGUGCUAAUUUAAAUACUUUCCUUUUUAAAUGUGCUUAAUUGGUGCCCUAAAGGGUAUCAGAAAACCAAUAGGAAAAGACCCUUUAUUACAAAAGAUGUUUAAUUAAAAUAAAAUCGCACUUAGUGUGCGUUUGAUAAAAUUGAAGUCUGAAAUCUGAAAUUUAAAAUCCGAAUCCAUUAAAUUAUUGAAUUGUUAAGUAUUAAAUCUAACACAUUUGAGAGCAUAUCACAUUCAGUGAUAACUGAAUAGUUUAUCACUUAAUUUUAGGAGCAAGUUUUGUCUAGAAAAUUCAGUGUCAUUUAAUUAAUUCAGAUGUUUAAUUUUUGGUUAUCAAACUGAAUAUAUUAAGAUGUGAAUGCAUUAAGUUUAAGUGCUAAAUUGGGUUAUCAAACAAGGCCUUAGUUAUACUUAAGGAAAAUUGUUUAGAUUAAAAAAUUAUUCCUUUUACUUGACAAGUUAAAAAGGAUUUUGGAUCAUUACAGCUAUUGCCAAGUGCCAAUUACUUUUUAAGUGCCCAAAUUUUGAACGGAGUUAUUGGCCCAACACUUUUAAACCAAGACAUUAUCACACAUCAGAACCAGACGAAAGGUUAGUCCUUAUCCUUAUUAUCAGGAGCCGAUUGCAAUUAUAAUAUGGGUUAAUUUUAGAAACCUUCCCUAAGGUUUAUCCUAAUAUCACCUAACACAUUUAAAGUUUUAAAAUCUUACUUACUUUCCCUAUCAAUAUGAUGCAACUAGAGGUCCCAAUUAGGGGCGCCGAAAUGGCAAUGUUACCCCCAAUAUUUUCCUACAUUUUUAAGUAGCAAAAGUUUUAAAAAAAUUACAAACUGAACAAACAACAAGAAGGCCAUCUAAAAUAUUUUUCUCCCUCUCCGUUGCAAAAAUCAACCAUUGCUUUUAAUAUUUGUCUUUGUUACCCCCAAUAUUUUUCUCCCUCUCUGUUACUUUUAAUAUUUGUCUUUGUUAUAACCGAUCUUCUAAAAUUUUCAGUAUAAUUUCCUUUUUUAUAGCAAUAUUUUUUGUGCCUCUUUGCUACAAAAUCUUUACUCUUAAUUUCCUUCUUGUUCCAAUCAAUCUCUUGAAGUUUAUGCCCUUUUAUGAGGUUGAAGUAGCUUUAGAAGUUACCAUGGAACACAACGGUGUUCUCUAGUUACAAAGAGGCUAAAUUUAUUACUUAUUGUAUGUAGUUACACCUUCUCAUCAUGUACAAUAAUAAAUAUCUAUUCAAGAAAAAUAGAAAUUUACGUACAGUGGUGAGUAAGGUCGUCUCCACAGGGACUGGAGAAAAUUUAUUUCUUUCUAGAGUAAAAAUUAUGGGAUAAUUGUUGGUGAAUUCAAAAGUAGCUAAUUAACUAAUUAAGAAAAAGGACAAUUCACGGAUUUGAAUUAAAAAAAAAAAAAAAGCAACAGUAGACACAGAUCUAACCAAAAGUGCAACUUUUCAGCCAUUGCUGACAUAAUAGAUCAUUAAUGCAAGAAUAAUUCAAUUGUUUAUUAAUAGAUUGGUUUAAACAUUAACAAGUUUUGACAACCAACUUUUCUUUACUUUUUCAGGAACCAAAGUACGACUAUUGACUAUUUUCCUAACUAAAAAACAAUCCUAGGUAUAACUAUAUAAUUUAAUCCCUCGAUUGCAUUAAAAAUUAAAAAAACCCAACCCUAACCAACAAACACGUUACGAGGAUUCAUUUCAAUUAGAUCAUACGCUUUUCUAACAUGGGACCAAUCACGUUAGUCGCCACUGGUAUUAACCAAUCAAAUAAUUACGGAUUUAAUUGAUUAAUAUAGUAAUAGAUUAUUAGGUUAAUUCAAAUAUUGAACUCUUGACAUUUAAAUAACAAAAUAUUCAUAUGAAGUUAAACUAGAAAACGUACGAAUACCAAUAAAUAAAAAAAUAAAUAAAAAUAAUUCAAUCUCACAAAUGUUUGAAACAACGUCUUCAAAUUGACCCUUGACUAGAAGAAGUAAAUUUAGCUACUCAUGGUUGAGAAAAAACUCAACGCACAAGUUUGAUAAUCUGCUGAGUACAAGCGGCGGCUAAGAAAAAGAAAAAACAAAACAAGAACUGAAGCCGUCGUUUUCUCCGGAGGAAAAAGAACGGAGCCUUUGCUUCUUGCCUUCUAUCCAAAAAUUCACGAAACAAAACUGCUUCGUUGCUAAGUACUAGAGGUGGCAAAUCAACCCACUUAACUAAAUUUACCCAUACCCGUCCAUGAAUAGAUGAGUAUGGAUAUCUUAAAUUUUUAUAUAUGGGUAUAAAUGGGUUACCCAAUAAUACCCAUUUAAUAAAUGGGUAUUAUUGGGUAACCCAUCAAACCCAAUUAACCCAUUUAGAAUUCUCUUCCCCUCAAGUCUCUUCUUUUCCCCCACCUUUUUUUUUCAAAUUUUUCAUUUUGUCAUGAUGUUAACUACUUUUGUUUCAUUAUUAUUAUUAUUAUUAUUUGUUGGUUUUAUUUUAUUAUUUUAUUUUCUCUUAGUUUGUUAACUUGCUCAUUUUUUAGCAUUACCAAUUUAUGAUAAAUUUUAGCCUAUUUUCUUAUCUUUAUAAAAUGAAAUUUUAAAUUUAUAUAUGAAAAAAAUGUUAGGGGUUCAAAAUUUUUGGAUUAAGUUUUUAUAUUAAUUUUUAUAGUACUUAGUUCAAAUUUUUAUAUUCUUAUUAUUCAAUUAUUAAAUAAUAGGUAAUUUUGUGACAUAGAAUAUAAAUGAAAAAAAAUUGGUAAUUAAGUUUAUUGAACAAUAUAAGUAAAUAUUUAAAACUAAUGAUGGGUACAAAGAGUGGUAUAAAUUGAUAACUUAGUUUGCAAAAAUGAAUUUAAAUGAGUUUACAAAAAGUUAAAAUAAAUGGGUUAUAAAUGGGUAAUUAGGUUACCCAAUUCAUUUUUUGACUUACCAAUUUAUACCCAUCUAAUUAAAUGGGUAUAAAUGAGUUGACUCACUUAUACCCAUUACCCAUUUUACCCAACCCAAACCCACCCAAGUCACCCAUUUUGACACCUCUACUAAGUACUAAUCACGCGGGCCGGCCGUCCUUUUCCUUUCUUGACUAUGUGUAGUUUUCAAAGCAAACUCUACUAGUCUACUUCCUAAUUGAAAAAGAAAAACUUCCGAAGAUAAUGUCAAUUUUUUCCUAAAAAAAAAAUAACUAAUAAGAAAAGAAAUCCUCUCAAUCUUCGGCGCUGUCGCUCGGACUUAAAAACAUCUACGUGCGAAUCCCAAAUCAUCUGAACUUAACAGAAAUUUAACGAAAAAUCACCCAUUUUAUUCCUUUUUGCUCUGCUUCCCUACAAUUAACACCAAAUAUCAAAUAUGAAUAAAAUCUACCAAUUAAAAUAAUAUUUAGCUAAAAUUAAGCAGAAAACAAUUAGAAAUUUAAUAACAAAAUGCAACCUAUCACUCAUAUUCUAAAUUUAAUAUUCCACCUUCUUUGUUUGUCUUAUUUUCAUAUUUUAAAAUUUAUAAAUCAAAUUGUGUAAUGGUAAAAGUGAAAAGAUAAUAUAAUCUCUCUCCUCCAGUGCAUUUUUUUAGUAUAUUACUUUUACACAUAAGGGGUGACGAUGUUACAUAAAUUGUCAUUCAAAGGGAGCUAUAUGAGAUUUCUAAAACUCCAAGAGUGUUAGAAAAUAUUAGGAUAAAUCCCAAGAGAGGUUUCUAAAAUAAACCCCUAUAAAUAGGAAGAAUCCUAUUCUUGUCAAUGUGAAAGUCUUGUUAAUUCCACGUGGAUGUCUGGACUGUUGUGUAGUGACCGAAGUUAGGCCGGCCGAAGUUAAGGACCACUCAGUACCGCUGCACCAAAAGCUACAAGGCUUUGCCACAAUUAAUAAAAGUUGUUGGCUCUAAAAAAUGCAAAGUGCAAAGAUCAGGUCUCUUUAGCAGCUCUCCCAUUACCUUUCCCGUUGUCCCACAUCGCUUUUAAGGUCUUCUAGGGUCGGGUAGUUAGAUCCUCAGGUUUGCCUCAAGAGUUGCCGGCUUUUGGGGUUAAAUUUGGGAUUAGGUUUAGCGUUGUCCCACAUCGCUUCUAAGGUUUUCUAGGGUCGGGUAGUUAAGUCCCCAGGUUUGCCUCAAGAGUUGCCGGCUUUUGGAGUUAAAUCUGGGAUUAGAUUUAAUUAUCAGUUCUGAAAAAGUCUGACAAAAAAAAAAAAAGUUUGCCCUUGCAUCAUGCAUCUCCAAACCAUUUCAAUCAUGCACCUCGUGUUACAAAAAUUUUGGUAAACAUAAAGAUUGAUUACUAGAAUGUGAGAAAUCAAACCAUGGGUUUCUCAAAUUUAUAUGAGAUAAUCAAAUGAUGGGUUUCUCAAACUUUGAAAUUUAAUGACAAUAAAUUUAGGAUUAAUCUUUCCUACACUGUUAGUGUAUACACUGACGGAAUUGGAUGAAUGCCACAUCAUCUAAAUUUGAAUUUAAACAUCAAAUUUUGUAUAUGUGACAUGCAUCUAAACCCGCUAAUGUAUACACUAUCAGUGUAUAAAAAAUUUACCCAUAAAUUUAAUGACGUAAUAUUAGAUUCUCAAAUUUUUGAAUGUAAAGAGGUACAUUUAGGUGUUUACCUCAAGACUAACAAGUUAAACUAAUGUAAGUUGAUCCUCCCUAAAAGUUGGAAGGCACAUUAGCUGCACAAGUGGAAGCCAGUAUAGUUGUACUAUGGUGCACUUGUGUCAUGUAUUCUAAUGUAACAUGACAUGGAUCUAGUAGUUCUGAUCAUUGUUAGUCAUCUCAUAUAUAGAGGAUACAUAUGCAAUUACUAGUACUGACAUUGUAUUAGCUCCUAUGCAGCUUUUACAUCACUAAGAGGAAACUGAGAUUUCUCCUAUUGCAACUAAACUUGUUCAUCAGACUCAACUUCUUCAUCAGAAGCCUUGCCUUCCUCAGCCCUACAAGGACCAUAAGCCCAACAGCAAAUCAGGAAAUACAGCAUAUUUACCAUACUUAGUCCAGCCAGAACGCAGAAGUAGUAAUCAUAGUGACCCUUGUUAAUGUUGGUAGAAAUCCAACUUUCUUGGCCUCCUUUUUUCGUCAAAUCAUCAAUACUGUUCAUUAGGAAACUUGCUAGCAAACUUGCCACGGACAUGCCAGCUCCACUUAGGUUAGAAGCCAUACUUGACAUGCUCCUGGGAAACUCUGAAAUGUAGAACUCAUUUUGUGCGAUCGCAUUUAAACCCUCUGCAAGUCCCAUCAAGCAAUAUUGAGGCAGAAGCCACAGUGCCGACAUAUCCACCAUCGCCUCUGGAUCAUCUGAAACUCCUUGCUUAAUCGCAAGACUGCGGCGGAUAUACUCCACAGCUGCUGUUACUAUCAUACAUAGAGAAGAGAGGAAAAUUCCUGUUCCCAUUCUCUGUCUUGCAUUCACAUAAACAGGUUUGCCUUUAAUUCUUGAUGCUAGGGGAAGAAGUACUUGAUCAUAAAGAGCAACCCAGAGGAUCAAAGAACUGACUGCAAAAAUGCCAAAAGAACCUGCUGGAAUUUCAAAAUUUCCAGUGAUCCUGCGAUUCAUGGAGCUUGCUUGAAGUAUUGAAAACGAGUUCUGGCUGAUAUUAAUGAAUGUCACCAUUCCUGUUGACCAUAUAGGGAUCACCUUAAGUAUAGCUUUCAGAUCCUCCACCUGAUCUACGGUGCAAAGACUCCAGGGGUCCUUAGCCCUUCCAUCUGCAGUCAAAUCUUUCUGAGGAUCUCUAAUGAUGCACGCUUUAUUAAGAAACCUGGAGAUGACAUUUAGGGAGUAAGUAUCAACCAUGGAAGCUUAUUAUUGAAUCUUCAUACACGCAUUAAACAACAAAUCUUCACAUUUAGUGGGUAAAAAAAACUGGUAAAAAGCUUUGAAAAAUGGCAUGAAACAGAGAGAAAAUUAGGGAUAAAGGAGAUAUUGUGAUGCAAAUUAUCUGACCUCAUUUUCUCACUAGGAAAAACCAGUGCGGAACCAUUCUUCUGAAGGAACAUGUUUGUGCUAUUUAACUUCAGGGCACUAUUUUUAUAAGACGAUACAAUCACUUUAAUCGGUUCAGUGAGUAAGCUUGCUUUAGCCUUCACCUUGACAUAAAAGGGAGUGGCAAGAAAAAAAGACAGAGCUGCAAAGAGCAUCACCACCACAGAAACUCCAAAACCAAACUGCCAGCCCAUGUUUUCUUGAAUGUACACCAUACAGGUCAAAGCAAUGAGAACAGAGAACGUGUAUGAAGCAUAAUACCAGCUAAGAUAUCUCCCUGACACGCCUACACUUUUGCAGCCAUCUCCUUUUUCCAAUUGAUCUGCCCCAAAGGCUAAGGAAGAAGACCUGAUGCCCCCAGCUCCAGUGGAAAUGAGUGCAAAGGAUGUGAAUAGCAGUAAGAGUUGGAAAGAUGUUGUAGAGUCACAACUGUUGUUAGAUUCCAUACAUGGAGGAGGUGUUGCUUGUGGAAUCAUAGUUGUUAACCAUAAUAGAAUCAUCCCCUUCAGAAUAUAAGUCUUAUCUCAAAAUUUCAUUGAAACUAUUUAAUGACAGUCUAAUAAUCAAACAACACAAUUUGGCUUUUUUGUAUCAAUAACAAAUUGAUUUUCGAUUGGGCAUCAGCUGAUCUGGGAGGAGUUAUCAACAAAUUGAUCUUUGACUUAUAUCAUGCUAAAAAGUAAUAUGUCUAUGCAAAAAGUUAGAAAUUAAUGAAACUUUCUCUAUCAUCAAAGGACACAGUCAUUGGCAUCCUAAUUCAAGUUUCUAGCAAACCUAGAAAUCAACCUAGCUAGAUAUUCAACUCUAGUUGAGUAAGUGAAGCUGGAUUUGAAAAUCAAAUUCCUCCAAAACAGAGGUCCUCUUCGGUGCCUAAGACCAUUGGCAAUUCUCACUAACAGUAACAGAAUGAGGUUCUAGAUUAUUGCAUCUGAUCUUUUCAAUUUUUAAGAGAGCCAGAGCUAUAAUUCUGGAAAAUUUCCUCAAGCCAAACAAGUUCUGUACUUAUCUCUUGACAUGAAUAGUGAAUUCUGGUCAACAGCUAGUUCCUGAGUGUGAUAACGUAACUGGUCCCAAGUGACCUCAGUCAUGUAUAUGAAAAUUCUAAUCCACGGAAAUCAUAGAUUCCCUUGAGGAUGAACAAAAGGAGAUGUAGUAUUCUGACUCCACCUUUCCAAAUAGUGGAGGUACUUAAGAACUCUUAGAGGUCCAUAGAUGUUACUGCAAGGGAAUUUUGAUCCUGACAAGUUAGUUACCUCUAUUCCCAAGAGAAAAAGGUUUAUGAUUACAUAUUACUCAAAAGGCAACAAAAGUACUUGCUAAUAAAUAAUAAAAUACUUCAAAAUCAAAGGUGCUUGAUGUUGACAACCAAAUUGCCAGUAAAACCCCUGUUACGUAAGGAAAAUGACAUCUUAAUUAAAGUCAAUUAUAUAUUAACUUUCUAGUUAUUAUAUAGUAACUUUCUAGUAAUUAAUAAUUUAAUUGAGGCACUAGACAACAACAAGCACUCAAAGAGAAGACAUACUAGACCUUGCUAGAACACGGAAAAUCAUAUCAAAAUAUUGAGAUUGCUAUAGAAUUAAAACCUGCAUAACUGAUAAUACUCAUCUUCCUUUUUGAUUUCCUAAUUUUGGCUUAGAAAUUAAAAGACAUGACCAAGAUAUUGAAACAGGAAGGAGUAAUGUUUACAAGUUCGAAAGCUGGGAAAUUAAUUAAUAGUACCAAAUAUUUACCAGGAGGCUAACAACAGAUCCAAAUCCGAUCAUAUGAAAACGGCCCACGUAAGAAUCUGCAAUGAUGGCUCCAAGAAUCGGCAGGAAGUUAGUAGCUGCUGACCAAUAAAAGAGUACAUUGGAUGCAGCGGUCAUCUCCAUAUGAUAUUGCCUCAUCAGAUACAGAGUCAUGUUAGGAGUUAAACCAAAACUUGCCACCCUCUCAAGCAUCCCAUUUGCUGCAAAGCAGAGUGACAAAAGCAAGGAACACAGUCACUUAAAACUGCAGGCAAUCUUCAAGAAUUCAUAAUCCAUUUCCAUGCCGGCCAAAGAAUCCAUAAAACAAUAAUCAAAUACUGAUUCUUUGCUAGUAACAAAGACCAGUAACAGAUGAGUUGUACCAUUCAGUUUCUUUUAAUCAAGUAAAUGAUGAUUGAUGGAUGGCAUGGUUCUUGAAACGAUGCUGGAUUUUCCCAUUAAAACUUUAUAGGCAAAUUAAUUCAUCCAGUUCACUAAGAGAUAGUGUGUGUUUUUCAUACCUAUGAUGAAUGGCAUGGUUCUGACACCACCCCUUGGUGAAGUCUUCAAGAGGGGCUCUUUAAUCGUAUCUUUCUUUUCAUCUACUGAUGAGCUCUCCAUUUUCUGUGCUUCUCCUGUGAAUCUGUGUCAAUAUAUCUCUUACUUCAUUCUUGGGGCAGAAACAAGCGCAAAGCUCUGAUUAUAUACUAGCAAUCAUAGACUGUGGUGAUGGAAAGAGACCCCUUGUCUCAAUCGCGAUAAGCCAAUACUGAAAAGCGUAGGUAAGUCCGAGCAAUUUGGUGUUGUUGAUGUAUACUUCUUUCAAAAUUUAGGGUGCCUAAUAAACGCUUUGAUUGUAGGUCGUGAUUCAAAUUCCACUCGUAGGUAGGUGUCAGAGCAUCCCUUUGAUUUGUAACUGUUAAAUCUUUAUACAGUCUUUUUAGAUUCUCUCUAGGAUAAAUUAAUUUAUAAAAAUUCCAUCUUUAUCCCAAAAAAAAUAAUAGAGGCGAUUUUACUUCCACAUUGAGUUUGUGUACAUAAUUAAAAUCUAUCCGUAAACAAAUGUUAUAUAAGUGUACACUAAAUAUGUAGUGAAAAAAUACAAUGACGACAAUACAAAAACUUCAAUCCUAAUUGACCCAAGUCUUGAAAGCUAAUUUGGAUUAUGAUCUAAUGUUUUUGAAGUUUCCAAUUUGUGAAUCCAUCUAUAAAAAAUAACUCUAAAUCACAAUAUUGCUAAAUGAUGAAUACAAAUAUCGAAAUUUCUAAAAUUUAGGAGAUGGAUUAUCCAUUAGUUUAUUAUCCAUUUUUACCACUAAUUUGAACUAUUUGCAUUAAAGUCAUUACCAUGCUAGUAAUUUUUUUCUUCUUUUUUUUUUUGUAAGUGGGAGAUUUUUUAUUUAGGACCUACUAUUUACGAUCUCUUCUAUCUUACCAUUCAACCCAACCCACACCCAUUACUAUGUUACAAUGAAAACAAAAAAAUUUAAAAAAAAAGUUUAUCACCCAUUACAUAAGCAUUCACCAUCAAGGAAGAUGAAAUAUGUUUUCAAAGACUUUGAAUAUUUAUUCCUUAAACUUUUUAGUAACACUGUGCAUUGCCGUAUACCUUUUGACAUCUAACAAUUUGCUUUUGUUUUUGGAGAUAUUUUCAGAAACCUCCCUUGAGAUUUCUGACAAUUUCACUCGGAUCAUUUUAAGUUUAAAAAAUUACACCUACCUCCCUUGGCAUAGUAAAAUACCUAUAAUGUCCUCCACUUUGUAGACAAUUUUAAAUUUAAGGCAAUAAAUUUACAAAAUCCAAAAAAAAUUCUAUUUUUCUAUUUCUUAUCUAUUUUUACUCCUCUCUUUUCUAAUUAAUAUAACUUCUUUUUAUUAUCUUCAAUUUUGUGGACAUUAGCAAAUUGAAAUUUACAAAAGCAAUAGAGAGAGUAGAUUAUGUAUCAAAUUAGAAGGAAAUGAAGAGACUCGUAGUCAUAAAGAAAUAAAUAAUGAAAUUGAUGAUUAAAAUAGGAAGAAGAACUAAAGAUGUAAAAUUUGUCAUAUUUUGCUUAUUGUCAAGAAAUACUUUUAUAAAAUGUCAAUAAUUACAUAAGAAUUUCUUUCAUUGGAUUAGAUUUUUUAAUUAUGAUUUUAUUAUGGAGGUAGAAUUAAUUCUCUAUUUUUGAGAUAUUAAUAUUUUUAAGGCCAUAGGAGGGUUGUAAUGACAGUUUUAGAUCAAAUUAUUUUGUAUUGAAAAGGUAUUUGAGUAUUGAUAUUUAAUUUUUGGUACAACUAGUUGUCAAUGGGGUUUGUGUGUAUGUGUAUUUUUCUUUUCUUUCUUUUUUGGUGGUAAGUAUUGAUAUUUUAUAUGCAAUUUAGGAGUUUUUGAAUGAGUACUUGAUUUUAGAAGUUAUACUUGAAUGGUUGUUAGGGAUUAAACUUGUUGAUUUAUGCAAAGUGUGAAAAAAAAAUGAUUAAGUAUACUAUAUUUUUCUUUCUUAGUUUUGUACAAAAGGGUAAUUUAGGAUUUUUGUGAAAAAAUCUACCUUGUUGGACCUACAUUAUUAAGAAACAUAAAAAAUAUGGGAGGUAUAUAUAAUUUUUAAAAUCUGAGGGGAACUCUUUAUAAUUAUUAAAAAUCUCAGGGGAAGUUUGUGGAAUUUUCCCGUGUUUUUGCAUCAAUAUUAUCCCUUUUGCAGGUGAUGCACGCUAUUGCUGUACUAUUAUAUAGAAUAUCCUUUUCCUUGUGGAAAGGAUAUCUAUUUUAAAACAUACAAACAAAUAAGAAAUUGGUCUACAAAGAUUUGCUUGAUUAUUUACCAAUUCAGUUUGCAGCUGGGGUCAAAAAAAAAAAGAGAAAAGAAAAGAAAAGAGAGAGAAUAAAAGAGCAAGACAAAUAAAUAAACAAAGAGCUUCGGGGAAAGAGAAGUUGGUAGUCUCACUCGGGGGAAACAACAAUAAAUAUGGGCGGCGUUGGAUGAUGGGAGGAUGCGAGCUGACCGAUACUCUUCGGGACAGGUGGAGACAGCAUCUUGUGGACGCGGGGGCUAACAUAACAUUUUCUGGACGUGGCAAACGAGGAACAGGCAAAGCUAUCUACGCUAGUGAUUUUUUUAUACGCUAGUCUAAACACCUGUGCUAUGUGCUACGCACUAGGGAUGUACGCGAGUCGAGCUACUCGCGAGUAGCUCGGUCAAUGACUCGGCUCGAAUUCGGGUUGACCGAGUUCGAGCCGAGUUUCGAGUAGUUCGAAUGAAAAUCGAGUCGAGUUUCGAGUCGAAAUAGCCCAGCUCGAGUCGAGUCGAGUAGCUCGACGAGUCGGAGUUAUUUAAAUAAUAUAUUUAUAAUUUAAAUAAUAUAUAUGUAUUAUAAUUAUAAAAUGACCAUUAUGGGUAUAAGUUAUAUGAAAUUUACAAUAUAUCCUUCUUUAUAAUAAAAUCCUAUAAUGGCAAAAAAGUAAUAACAUAAUUGUAAAAAGACCUAAAAUGAAAAAAAUUUUCGAGCCUCGAGCCUAAAGGAAAUUUUUCGAGUCGAGUCUCGAGUAUCAAUUUUUUGGGCUCGCUCGAGCUCGAGCUUUGGUGUAUAUGAGUCGAGUCGAGCUCGAGCUUUGGUGUAUAUGAGUCGAGUCGAGCUCGAGUAUAGCAAUACUCGAGCUCGAUUCGGCUCGAUUACACCCCUACUACGCACAAUGAAUUGUAUUUUUGGAAUAAAUUAUAAUUGAAGAAGGAAUUUAAAAAGAGUGAAAAACUUAUGUAAUUGCUCGUACCAUUUAGGGCACAUCAAAAUAUAGUUAAAAAAUAAAAUUUUGUAGCAAUAGUUAAAGUAUGAUAAAAAUAUUUCCAUUAUUUAUAAACUACCACUUUUGAUGGAAGUUGGAUCUCGAAAAAAAGUAGAAAUGUAUGUCACAAACUGAGCGAUAUAAGGGUCCAAUUAAAUGUAAUUGAAUAUGUAAUUUGAUAAGUAAAUGAAAUACUUACAAACAUUUUGUAUUCAAUUUGAUAAUCUUCUAUGAAGUUGUGAACAUUUUUCAUACUAAUCAACUCUAAGUACGAACACCAAUAAUGGAGGAUUAAUUAUUUCUAUUGAAUUCUAUGGAGUUCGUACUAUAAAUGAGAAUGCACGAUUUUUGCAUGAAUUAAUGUGUUGGUCUGAACAAUGUACUUCCAUUUUCCUGAGAAUUGAGAGCAUACUGAAUUCAGAAUUAUCAUUUUUUUUAAGAAAGUUUAUAAAUAAUAUUACAUAAAAAUAUGUACGUAUAAAUAAUUUAUACCUUUCUCUUUAAAUCUCUAAGAGAAAAAGUAUCACAACGAAAUAUGAAUUGUGCAUGCCUGUCUUGAAGAUCUAGAUUUAGAUUACCACUAGAAUCUCUAACUUCUAUGUUAACAUUGUAUCUGUUAAGAAAAAAAAGUGGUGUACGAUAUAGAAAAUUAUAUUAAAAUUAAAGAUAUAUGAAAAAAAUUCCCUGACAAUAGUGCCAAUUACAUUAUUUAGAUAGAUACACACCAUUUUUGCAAAAUGAGAUUGAUAUGGUUGUUCAUAAUUUUUGCAUAACUCAUCAAACAUAUUGUCUAUGUUAAUGCUUUAAAUGUAAAUAAGUAUUCAAAAAUAUUUAACCUUGUAGGCGGGUAUGUUCCAUGAUAAAAUUAAGUCGAGGGCUAAGAUUGGUUACCGCAAGGAAGUUGAAAAAGAUGAUAGAUUCCUAUUUUUGUUUACGAAAAUGACAAAUGAACAUAUGGGAUAAGUAGUAAUGAGAAUAGAUGAUAGAUGCCAAGGAACUAUUAUGACGAAUGGAUAGAUGGGAUAAGUAAUGGGAAGAAAUGAUAGAUACUGAUGAAAUAUUGUGUUUUUUGCCCUUUUCUUUUUUUGUCGAAACAAUGAACUAUUGUGGUUGAAGGAUACUAUGUUUUUAUCUAUUACUAUGGUUUUGAAAAAGUCUUAAAUGAAUGAAAUUCACAUUUUAUGAAUGUUAAUGGGAAACGUGUUGAGUUCAAUAAUGAAAACGUUCCUAAUUAUGAUCUUGGAGAAGUCUUAAUUGGAGUGAAACUUGCAUUUGACAUAUGCCAAUGGGGAAUGUGUUGAGUUUAAAGAUGGAAAUGUGGUGGUGAUUUGAAAGACAUGCACACUAAUGACUUAAAAAUGGUGCAGAACAUGCAUAUACUAAUGAGACAUUUCAAUUUUAAAGGAUAAUGUUCACAUGAUAGAAAUAAUUUUGAAAAAUAACUAAAUAUCAAUAGUACAUGCGGCAGGAGUUGAGAGGAAUGUAUUUUAUAGAAUAAAUUAAAUGUGAAAUGCUAGACAAAAAGAAUUGGGACAGAGAAGGUGCGUGGAGGUUGUUUGUUGAAAACCUCUUCUCAAAUUUAUAUAGAUAUAUAUAUUUUCCUUAUUAUCUUUACAAUAUAUAAUACCACAGGUGAGAGAACCAUUGUGUGGUGUAAACACACAAUAUUAUUCUUUGAAGUUUUUAUUUUACCUUUAAUUAUAGGGGUAAAAUAUCUUUGCAGUAUAUAAUGCCAGAGGACUAUUGUAUAGUGUAAACACACAGUAUCAUUUUUAAAAUUUUCUAUUUUAUCCUUAAUUAUAAGGGCCAAAUAGUCCCAGUUUAUUGCAAGAUAACCACACACUUACAGCGUAGUUUCCAACUCCCACGUUUAUGUAUUCCACUCAUCUUCCUUUUUAACAUAUCUAGUCUAUGCGGGAAUGGGGAGCUUUUCAAUCGAAUUCUGAUUGCUGACGUGGCCCGCUUGCAUUGGUUGAUUGGUGGUUGUCCGCUCGUGUGAAUUUGGUCGUCCGCUUCUUGUGUGAAUUUGCUGGCCUGCCGAUUGUUUCUUUCUUUCCAUUCCCACGCCUGAAUUCUUUCGUUUUUUUAACAUAUCUCAAACGUUUAACAAUUCUUUUGGAUUUUGUUUCUUUUUUUUUUGCUCAGCCGUUUUGUAAUACUUUUUCCCAAUUAAUUUUUCGUUAUCUAAUCAAUUGUUUCAUUUUUUAUUACCUAACACAUAACAUUUAGCUUUCAACUUCAUACAAUUAUUAGCAUUUUUUUGUGGUUUCCAAAUAAAUGACAAUUAAUUAUCAAAUCCUUGUAAUUGACACAUACUAAUUAUUAUUAACACGUUUUUUUUCCAACUUCAUACAAUUAUUAGCUUUUUUUUUGGUUUCCAAAUAAAUGACAAUUAAUUAACAAAUCCUUGUAAUUGACACAUAUUAAUUAUUAUUAACACGUUUUUUUUUCUGAAUAUAAGAGGGGGAGGCAUUCGCCUAUUAUUAUCAAAUUUUCAUUACAACUUUAUAUGUGAUAAAUUUAAUUAUGCCCAGUAAGUUUAUAUGUAAGUCAAUUUUAAAGGUUUAUUUUUAGAUGAAAAAAGGGACAAACACUUAACUCAACUCAUUACUCUUGUCUUCUUUGCUUUUGGCGGGCUUAAUAGUUAAUUGUUUCAUAAUUAACUACUCUUAUAAAGUAACACCCUUUAUUACCAGGUCUUUGCAACGGACAAAUUUUGUUUGUUUAGUUUGGCUGCAUCGGUUCUCGAUUUCUUCAUCCGCCGCUCAUAUUUCCUGUCAUCAGCCUCCAGCCUCCUUUUGUUGACAGCUGAUUUUACCUGAGCUGCGUACUACCUGGCUCAUUUUUAUUAGAUUGCCCAUCCUUUCUGCCUCCAUUUACGCUUCCUCAUAGGAGCCUUCUGUAGUCUUUUUUGUCCUUUUCUGAGGUCAUGCCUGUAAAUCUGCAAUCCGCCCCCGCCUCUUCUCGUUGUCAUCCAUCACCUCUUCUGCUUCCGUCGAUUGACACUGUUCUCUGCUUUGCAUUUGUAUAAUGGUUAUACAGUUUCUCCCCUUUUCUUUGCAUUUGUCCAACAGUUAUAGAAUUUCUCCGCUUUCCCCCACCAGAUUUUCGGCUGCUCAACAUCAUGAACAGUGGUAAUUGUGCAUCUGCUCCUUUCUUUACCCUUUUUUACUGCUCUUGUUUCUUUGCUGAACAGAAGGAACUACCUCAUAAGCAUUGCUCUUUCUUUUUCUUUACCUGUUUUGAACCAUCCUUUUCCCUGCCUUAUUUGUUUAGCUCCGAUUUGCGCUGCUGUUGUUGCUGCUGCUUCCUGGUGAGCACUUGCUUUUACAGUUUGUUUUCUAUUGUUUUCCCUCUACUCGUUUGAAUACUUCAGAAUUGCUGCCAUACUGCUGUGUUUUUUUAUUUCUUCCUUGCUUCUUUGCUCUCUUGCGACCUGGAUCGCCCAUUUUUAUUUUCCCCUGUCCCUGCUAAAUUCUUAUCACCAAAUCAACUUCUUUUUUUUUUUUUGUCUGUCAUUUUUUUCCCACCUUUUCUUGUAACCCCUUACAUUCUCAUGGUUUCUUUGACAGGUUCUGCUCUUAUUCGAUUCUACGGUGUUUAACUUCUUCGUACAACCAGGUUAGCUUUCUUUAUUUUGUUCUAUUCUUCUUUUACUCUUUUCUCUAUGUUCUAUGCUUUAAUUUGUACCUCUUUGACGUUCAUUUUCUGAUGCAUCGUUAGUUUCAUCCUACUCCAGUUCUACCUUUUAUUGUUUGCCUGUUUCUGACCUUUAAACCCUUUUAUGAUCUUUAUACAUUCCAUGUAUACGUUAUUCUGUUGUUCCUGAUGCUGUUCCAUUGCCAGUAAGAAAAUGCCAACUUUUUGCACUGUAAUUACCUGCCUGAUUUUUUUCCCCUGUUAAAUAUUUGCUUUUUCCUCAACUGUUAGCCAUUAGCUUCUUUUCAUCUCUGCUAUUUGUUUGAUUUUUACUCGCUCUGCUUUUUGUCAUUUUUUAGUUUACAUUCUUUUUUUGCUGAGUUAGAUGUUCCUUUCUUUAUAUAAUCCUUCGGCGUUUUAGCACUCUUAGCGAUCUUGAAUGGAUAGAAAUACUGUUCGCCGAAAAAAGUAUGCAGAAAUGCCACCGCUGAAAAAAAAAGAACUGCUUCAACGUCGAAGAGAAAAUAGAUCUGCCAAGAAAAAAGAUACACGCUUACUCUCGCGUAUUCGCAAGGUUCCCCUUGGUUAUAUAGAAUCAGGUGUUUCUUUCCCUGAUUCGAACCAUGGAAACCUUGAUAGUGCGAAUCACCCUUCUCUGCAUAGUAACGUGUUAGGAGGUGAAGUAUUGAAGAGCGGUCAUGACAGUGCCGAUGUCAUUACUGAGGCAUUGCAAUAUAUGUCCUCUCGCAACUCUGCUUCUUUUGUUCCUCAUGUUGCCUUUCCUUCUACUGCUGAAAUAGCAAGCCACAUUCCAAAUGCAACUCUUCUUGCAGGUAUAGUCAGUAAUGUCCUUCUUCCUUCUUAUCCAAUGGGUUGUUUUUUGACCGCCUUCACUCCCCUGCCUACUGGUUGCUGUUUUUACAUUUCAAUUCUAUGUAAAUGGAUGGAUCUUCAUUUACAAUCUGCAGAGCUUCCACCUGCUGCUAAGGCUGAUCUUAGGAGCUGCAAAGGAAAAUUCCUUCCAGAAAAAAGAAAAAAUUUGAACCUCUCUUCUUCCACUAUUGAGCCUGAUUUUUGUCUGCCUAGGAGAAAAAUUAGGACCUCCAUACCUGUAGCGUUGCAUGAACGUCCGAGCGAUUGCUUUGAUCAUUCGGAUUGUGUCAUCCUAGGUACUAGCUCUGGCAAAGAAGAUUUGCCUACGAGCUGUCUUUUUCAGAAUUCAGUAGAAUAUUGUUCUUCUGCCCAUGUUUCUAUGAAUUGUGAAAAUCUUUAUCCCCUCGGAACUGCUGUUCAUGCAGCCCCAUUUCUGCACCAAAAAGACAAAUCUUUUGAGAGGCACGAUUCUAUAACUAGAUCUGCUUCCUCUGUUCCUAUGAUCUCGGUUAACAGGACCAACAGUUCUUCUCAUCUUUUUAGAAGCAUUAUGCAACCUUCCAGCAUAGAUAAAGAUCCUGUACUUGCUCAUCAGCUUUUUGAAAAUGUUGUUACGUACUCUCCUUUGGCCAAGGUUUAUAUGCAACCUGGUCAGCUGCAAUCUCCUUUCAAUGAUAAGCACCGACUAUUUCAUUCUGAGAAAAAUAUACCACCCUUUGAGAACCAACCUUUUGAAGCAGCUUCUACAUUUCAAGGUAUAUUUUUUGAACAGCGGCUACUCUCAAUGCAGCCCUUCUGAAUAUUCUUUACUUCUGACCACAUCCAAAUUAUAUUCAUUCAAAUGACAUCAGCCUGUUUUGUUUAGCUUGUUUCUUUAUACGCUUGCAGAAACCACCUCUGCUCAAGUGAGUCGCUCUAUGGAUACUGUUGAAAGAAAUGAUUCGGUCAUGAAUGCAGCGAAAAUUGCCCGCUCUUCUGCUUUCCCAUGUAGAGAGCAGCCUUUUACCCGAGAACGCUGUUCUCAUCGCCGUGUGCCGAAGCAGGCUCCGGGUUGGCAUUUUAUUUCUCAGUAGCUAUUUAGAUGCCAUUGCUAAAUAACCUGAUAAAGGGCCCCCUUAGAUCGCUUCUCAAUUGUAGCUUCGAAAUAAAUGCAGCUGCACCUAAAAAGAGGAGCCAGCGAAUGAAUGCAGCUGCACCUAAAAAGAGGAGGCAACGACGAAUUUUCCCAAUCAAUGAAAUCCCGCAUGAAGCUUUGGCUCUUCCAGAUGCUCCUAAUUGUGAGCACUGUGGAGCCAAGAGGUUCCAUUUAGAACCUCCUAACUUUUGCUGCUCUGGAGGAGAGAUUUCUAUAGUUGCUCCAUCUAUGCCUUACGAUCUUAAGCGCUUAUUUAUCGAAAAUGAUGAGGAAAGCGCUCAUUUCAGAAAUAAUGUGAGGACCUAUAAUAACAACUUAGGAUUCACGUCCUUUGCUGCAAAAUAUGAUCCAGAACUGACCAAGAACACAAAAGGUGUUUAUACUUUUCGUGUUCAAGGUCAGGUCUACCAUUUCCUUAAUAGUUUACUCCAGUCAAGCGAAAAACCUUCAGGAAUUCAGUUUUACUUUUUUGAUUCUGAUGAAGAAUUAGCAAGGAGGGUUGGAAGUUCUGAUAAGCUGCGUGAAAGUACUUUAAAAUUACUUAUGCGUAUCCUCUCGAACAAUCCUUAUGCUAGAUUCUUUAAGAAUCUCAGAAAUGUCCCAACCAUUGAGAGCUAUAAAAUUGUUUUGAAUUGCUAUCCUGGUUUAGACCAGCGUGUGUAUAAUCUGCCUACGGCCUCUCAAGUUGCUGCCAUAUGGACUGAGGAUGACGAUGAAUCAACAGAUAAAAAUGUUCAUAUUCAAGUUUAUACCCACUUUAAUACCAGCCAUAGAAUUAAGCAUUACUAUGGCUGUUAUGAUCCUUUGCAAUACCCUAUUCUCUUUCCUCAAGGUGAAUGUGGAUGGCACCAUGGUGUUAAAAAACUUCACAAAAGAAAGAGAAAUGCAGAUUCUUGUGAGAAUGAUUUCAAUGUCGACCCUUCCUCUGUUGAUGACCCUUCGCAUUUACUUGAUUUGGAGCGUAGAGGCAAGUGGAUUUCUUGCUGUCUAUCACUAUUAAGAGUAAGCAUCAUACACUUUUCUGAAUUCGUUUGACAUUUUCCCCUUGGUUCGUUAUAGCUGUUGAACAUGGAAAGAAUGAAGAGGACACUGUAUCAGCGAGAGAGUAUUAUUGUUAUAGGUUUCAAAUAAGAGAAGAUGAUGAGUCAAUGUUGCUGCACUGUCUUAGACUUCUACAACAAUUUUCAGUUGAUUCAUAUGUGAAGAUAGAAACUUCUAGACUGGACUUUCAUAGACACCGACAAAAUGUGGUUAGGUCAGAAAUUCUUCAAGGGGUAUUAGACAGUGUCUCUGUGGGCCAAACUGAAGGUUCUAAAGUUGGUCGUAGGAUAGUGCUACCUGCUUCCUUUAUAGGUGGUCCUAGAGACAUGAGGCGCCGCUAUCUUGAUGCAAUGGCACUCGUGCAAAAGUACGGAAAGCCGGACAUUUUCCUUACCAUGACCUGCAAUCCGGCAUGGAAAGAAAUUCAGUGCAAUUUGAAAUAUCAUGAGAAGCCGCAGGAUAGGCCUGAUCUUUUAGCUAGAGUUUUUAGAGCUAAAUUUGAGAUGCUUAAGCAUGAACUUUUGAAUAAACAGAUUUUUGGUGAAGUGGCAGCAUGCGUCUAUGUCAUUGAGUUUCAAAAACGGGGAUUUCUACAUGCUCAUUUGUUGCUCAUUUUAAAGCCUCAAUUUAAGUUGCUCAAUCCGGAGUCCUAUGACAAGGUAGUCUGCGCUGAAUUACCUGAUCGGUCUCAAUAUCCUCAUCUCUACUCUCUUGUUGUAAAACAUAUGAUCCAUGGCCCCUGCGGAGAUAUGGAUAAAAGUUGUCCUUGUAUGAAAGACGGUUCUUGCAAGAAUCGCUAUCCAAAAAAUUUCUGCCCUCAUACGACCCAUGGUGAAGAUAGUUAUCCAUAUUAUAGGAGAAGGGAUGAUGGCAAAAAAGUGAAAGUUCGCAGAUUCACCCUUGAUAAUAGGUGGGUUGUGCCUUACAACCCCUAUCUUCUUGCUUUGUUCGAUUGUCACAUGAACGUGGAAAUUUGUUCUACCAUUAAAUUGGUCAAGUACUUGUAUAAGUAUGUGUUCAAGGGGCCUGAUCAGGUUUCCUUUAGGAUUAUGACAGAUGAUAGUGCUACUGAUACUGACGAGAUUAAAGAGUUUCAAAAAGGCCGAUACAUUUCACCUCCAGAAGCUUUUUGGCGCAUCUAUGAGUUCCGCUUAAAUGAGAUGACCCCAUCUGUUUAUUCUCUCCAAGUUCACCUUCCGAAUCAACAGCUUGUUUCCUUUCCAAAGAGCUCAGAUUUGCUGCAGUUGUUAGCUAAAGUUGAUUUUUCUAAAACCAUGCUAACUGAGUUCUUCAAAAUGAAUGCAACCAACCCAACUGCUGAAAACCUUAAAUGCUUUUAUAAGGAUUUCCCUCAGCAUUUCGUUUGGUCUUCUAAGUAUAGGCAUUGGACAGAAAGAAAGCGUCGAAAGGUCAUAGGUAGACUCGUCAGUGUUAAUCCAAGAGAGGGAGAAAGGUACUAUCUAAGGCUUCUCUUAAAUCAUAUUCCAGGACCGCUAUCAUUCGAUGAUCUCUUGACUGUUCAUGAUCAAAAAAUGGAUUCGUUUAGGGAGGCUGCUUUGGCGCUUGGAUUGUUGCAAUCUGAUACAUAUAUAGAAGAAACACUUGAUGAAGCUGCUGCAUUUCAAAUGCCAUCCUCCCUCAGAUUAUUAUUUGCUACUCUUCUGGUCUAUUGUUCUCCAACUGAUCCUGUGAUGUUAUGGAGAAAAUUUGAAUUGGACUUUUCUAAAGAUUAUGAGCGGCAUAAACAAUAUCAUGACUACUCUCCCGCUCAAAUUAGGGGCCUGGUUCUGGCUGAUAUUAACAAAUCACUUCAGUAGAUGGGUACAAACAUUGCUGCCUUUCAGUUACCAUUAGAUGAUCUCGUUAGUGUAGAACAGGCUCACCUAACAAAGGAGAUAGAAGCUGAAAGAAACAUAGACAUACUGCCUGAAGAUCUAUUAAUGUCUUUGAAAUUAAAUUCCCAGCAAAAGUAUGCUUAUGACAUCAUCCUACAAGCAUGCUUUGCUUCCCAAGGAAAUUCUUUUUUCAUUGAUGGUCCUGGAGGUACCGGUAAAACCUUUUUAUACCGGUCUCUGCUUGCUACUCUGAGAUCGCAGGGCUAUAUAGCCAUUGCAGUAGCAACCUCUGGAAUUGCAGCAUCUAUUCUGCCCGGAGGGAGAACUGCGCACUCAAGGUUCAAAAUACCUCUUGAUUUCUCAAAGAACAGAACCUGCCAGCUUAGCAAGCAAGGCGGGGUUGCAAGACUGCUCUCAGAGUCAAAACUAAUCUUGUGGGAUGAGGCUUCCAUGGCAAAACGAGAAACUAUCGAGGCAUUUGAUGAUUUGCUUCGAGACAUAAUGGAGUCUGAACUGCCUUUUGGGGGUAAAGUUGUUGUAUUUGGUGGGGAUUUUCGCCAAACACUACCUGUUAUUGAGCAAGCAACAAAGGAAAUCCUCUUGCAGUCAUGUUUUCUGAAUUCUCCAUUGUGGUAUAAACUUCAUAAACUGAAGUUGACGGAAAACAUGCGAGCUAUAUUGGAUCCUCAAUUUUCUGAAUUCUUGUUAAGAGUUGGCGAAAGGCGUGAACCUGUGGACAUCAACGGUGAAAUAACUUUGCCUAGAGAUUUAGUCAUUCCUUAUUACGAUAAAGAAGAGUCCUUAAACAGGUUACAUGGCUUAAUAAAUUCUGGCUUAUCUAUCUGCUCUUUAGUGUAUACGGUUUCUGAUCAAGCUUCUUUAUUAACAGGUUACUGAACUGUGUAUUCCCAGAUUUAGCUCUCUAUUCCCAGGAUCCAUAUAGCAUGAUUAAUAGAUGUAUUCUUACCCCCAAAAAUAGUUCAGUUGACGAGCUGAAUGAUAUAAUGAUUAGAAGGUUUCCUGGAGAGCUUCACGCUUACAUUAGUUCUGACAAAACUGUAGAUCAGCGGCACCAGGGGGAUUAUCUAGAUUUUCUUAAUUCUCAGAAUCCAAAAGGCCUUCCUCCUCACAGGUUAAUGUUAAAAGAAAACUGCCCGAUUAUACUUAUAAGGAAUCUAAAUCCCAUUGAAGGACUAUGCAAUGGCACAAGGCUUUUAUGUAGAGAGCUUGGCCGGCAUACUAUCUCUGCAGAAAUUGUCUUCGGCCAGCAUCGAGGAAACAGAGUUCUCAUUCCAAGGAUACCAUUGCAAACUCCUGACAGCCAAAAGAAUUCGAUUGCAUUCAUAAGAACUCAGUUUCCUAUUCGACUCUGUUUUGCAUUGACCAUUAAUAAAUCUCAAGGACAAACUCUAGAUUAUGUUGGCAUUUACUUGCGAGAACCUGUCUUUUCUCAUGGACAGUUAUAUGCAGCCUUGUCCAGAGCUAGAACUUCAGCUGAGCUGAAAAUACUUAUUGUACCAGGAACUUUUGAUGGUAUAAAAACGGACUGCAAAACUAGAAAUGUUGUAUUCAGUGAAGUUUUUGAAUUGAGCCAGCAGUAGAAUGUCUUAUAUUCAGGUAUACUUGCACCGGUCUAUGGCUGUGUUUACUUAUUGCUAAUGUCUUAUGCAUACCCAACCUUGUGCAUUAUAAUCAUUUUACCUUCUUUUACAGAAAUGUCUAACCUCCUGCUGAUUGAUAAUAUCAUGCCUGAUAUGAAGAACUGGUCUUGUAUCAUCACAGUUCAAGAAAAGCAACAAGUCACAGAUUCUAUGGGAACACCGACCAAGAAGCAAAAGUUUAUCUUCUAUGAUUCAGAGGUAAAAUUUUAGAUCCUUAAAUGACCAUUAGCUAUUUAAUCUUUUAUUUGUUUGUCUAUCAUGUUUGUUAUAUGGAAAAUUUUUUUUUGCUUGAUGAUAGGGCUCUAAAGUUGAAGGGAUAAUCUUCAAUACUGAUAUUCCAAGGAUGAGUCCUAUGCUUCAGGUCUAUAAGAGAUAUAAAAUUUCAAAUGCUGAUGUCAGAACUAUUCCACCAAAGUUUCGGAGUGCUGGAUUAAUCAAACAGUGGGUUAUCACUUCAAAAACUGUCAUUGAAGAGGUUGAUGCCAAUGAGGACAUUAUGCCUGUUAAAUUUGCUUUCACUGACUUUGCUGAUUUAGCUGAAUACAUGGAUGAUAGAACGAAGUCCGUCGGUGAGUAUGCAACCAGGCUUGUCUAUCAUGUUUUUAUCACACAUCGCUCUGUUCUCAGCUUGCCUUCUCUCCCUUCGCAGAUGUCCUCGGAGUGGUGAUCAGUUCAUUAGCCAUGAAGACAAUCACUAGAAACUCCAAACAGUCAAACGUUCAGAAAUUUGUCAUCCUUAAUGAAGAGUAUGCAAUCUUUUUAUCAUACUGCACACUCUUUUGCUGACCUUAUCUCACUUUUCCUUUAUCUUUGAAUCAUUUUCAUCCUGGCCUUUAUAUCAAUGUUAGGUCUCAAACUGUCCUGCUAUCUUUAUGGGACGAUUUUCUGAACAAUGAAGGCCAAGCUCUGUUGAACAACAUGCAAAGCUAUCCUGUAAUUAUUGGUCGAAGACUGAGAGUUAACAACUACAAUGGUCUGUUCAAAUGCUGUCUUUUUUGUAUUAUAACCUUUACUUCUAGCUCGGUAUUCAUUUUGUUCUUUAUACUACAGGUGUUUCUCUCUCUACUUGGUUCGACUCUGCUUUGCUUGUUGAUCCACCGAUACAGGAAGCAAGACAACUCAAGAAUUGGUGCAAUGGCAUUAACUGACAUUUUCUUUUUGUACUUCAAUGUCACUUAUAUUUUUACACCAACUGAUAUUUUCCUUACAUCAUCUUUUUUUUUGGUAGGGCAAUGAGAAAUGCAGAGUCAAUUGCAGAGAUCGUUGAUGCAAAGAGCUACAUUAAAUACAAUCCUGCACUUUCUUUAAAAAGAGACCAGAAAACUACUCUGAUUUGCAAUGUUACCCCAUCACACAAGGUGAUCAAAUGAUAACCUGUUCUAUAAUUUUAUAACGUCGUAUCUAUUCAGUCUUUCACCUGAUAAAUGCCUAUCUUUUAGACUGCUUGGGUCAAGGCAAAUCUCUCCUUUGAACACAUCUUCCAGAAAUAUUGGUACAUGAGUUGUGCAAAAUGUUACCGAGCUACAGCGGCAGAUUAUGGAAUUGAAUUUACUUGUAAUUCAUGCAAAGAAAAGGGACCUGCUAUGCCUAGGUCCUGUAUUACUAAAUCACUGGCUUUAAUUCUGCUACUUAAUUUCUCUUAACCUUACUGUUACAGAGUGUAUAGCCUAACAGCUUGUAUACUUAUUUUCAGAUGCCGGUUUGACAUUGAAUUGAGCGAUGACAGCGGAGCUAUACCUGCUUCUAUUUUUGGAGAUCUAGCAGAAAAUAUUCUGACCUUUACUGGCCUUGAAGCAAUGGAUAACUUUAAUCAGGUUAUUUUAAUUCAUCGAAUUUAAUAAUAAGUGCAAUGUUUCCAUGUCACCCUUAUAGCUUCUUUGCUUCUUCCAGAAUCUUGAGCUGCCACUUGAGUUUGUUCAUGCACAGCUUAAAACAAAGACAUAUCUGGUUCACAUUAAGCCAGUCCAAACACAGCUCGCUGAUGCCAGACAGCGUUAUACAGUUCUAUAUUGCUCUGAACUUGAACCAAAAAUUGCUCGUCCUCAGUUAACACAUGAACCAGAAUCUGUCUCUCUUUCAGCUGACCAGCAGACAGAAAAUGAGCAGCUGUUGACACCAGGUUGAUGAAUAUACCUGGAAGAAUUGUGAUGCAUAACUAUGUUUUCUUUGACUGAACUAUUAACUUAGCUUAGCGUUGCACUUGCAGAACAUGGCAGCUCUAGCUCAAAAGUGCGCCUUCGGCUCAGUGAAAAGUUUGAUGAAACAGACACUGUUAGCACCAAUGACUUUGACAGUCCAGAUGCUGACUCUAAGAAGAAAGCAAAAUUAGUCUGAAUUGCCUUCGCUGCCUUUUUGAUUGCUCAGACAUAAAUAUUUUUUUUUGGUUUUGUGAUCUGCACUUGUAUGACUUUUGUUAAUGGCUUUUGUUAAUAGGCAGAUUGUUAAUGGCUUUUGAAAAUACUGCUCAUCCAUUCACAAUUCCCUGGCUUUUGUACGUGGUUAUCUACUAAACAGCUUUUGUCGUGAUCAUUGAACUUUGAUAAUGGCACCUGUAUCAAGGUUCUUGCCAGGUUUUCAAAGAUUAACUGAAAUCCUCCAUCUUAGCAGAACCAUGGGGAUUUUUACAGAUAUCUUUGGAUUCCUGACAAUGAACUCCCUUCCUGUAGAACUAACAGCUUUGUAAUCUAUACAAUGUGGGAUUCCUUUCCAUUUCGUUCUAUUUUCUGCAUUACAGUUGUUAUUAUCACUUUCGAACAACCAGUUCUGUGUACAUAGUUGUUCAUUUAUUACACAAAUUCUUGCCAGUUUUCAAAUAAAACUUAUAUAUUCUGUUCCUGCUGCUUACAUGUCAGACUGUCUGCUCCACUUAACAUGCCAAGUACACGAUGACUUAUAAUUUUCCCUUCAAACCAUUAAAGCACUACAAAUGCACAGCUAUAACAUGCUGUCAAUUGGCAGCUCGCACUUAAUUUCUGCCAUUCAAUUGUCUUUUCUAUUCAUUAUUUCUUACCAUCCUCUGCUGCAACUAAUUAAUCUUUUCAGCCGUGGUAGGAAAGAGCUUGAACUUAGCAUUAAAACCAAUGAAAAAUACACUCUUUUUGCAUUCAUCUUUUCUUUAUAUAUAUCCUCUUUAUCAUUUGCAAAAUCAUACAUAAAAACUGUCCACCAUACAUUUGCACUGGCACAUUUUCUGCACAAGAACUUGUCCACAGGUGAAUAACUCUGCGAUCUAUUUCUAGCACUCAUAAGAUAAUAUAGGCUUGUGCUUACAAUUUUUAUUAACAAGGCACUUUUCUGAUUUUUCAAUUCUUCAGUUUUCUUCCUUAUAGAUCAAUAGCAGAUGCAAUGUCUGUAUCUCCAGCGAAUUUUCCUCCGACAAAUAGCUGUUUACCAGCUUGCUGUUUUCUGCUCAAAUGCAUUCACAGAGGACAGGUUAACUUUUAGUUCAUGUUCACCUGCAUUGCGGCAUUUAUUGUUGAAUAGCAUGGUAUUCUCUGACAUUAUUUUCCUGUCUCAUUUUUUCAAGGUAUUACCAGCUCAGUUUGAAUUGUUGCUUCAUCAGCAUCACUGCAAUAGAAUCACUCUAAGGUUUGGACUACGGCAAUGGACCAUCACAGUUACUGAUCAUGCAUUCGGAGAAGGAUGGGAUGUUUUUUGUGAACACAACAUUGUUAAAAGACAUGACACGUUGUUACUUCGACAUAGCGGAAAUCUGAUAUUUGAUGUCAUUCACUUCUGUGAACUACAAAAACAAGUUUUAUUGCCCUGGACAGUUCCCCUGCCAGACCUGUUGCACUUGAAUAGCGUUGCAUCACGAGGUGAAAAUAUCACUGUAUCUAUCUCAUAUCCUCAUCCAUAUCAUACAUAGUUUUAAAUUUAACUCAUUAUCACUGAUUCCAGAUGAUAUCCAUGCACCUACUAGACACCAGCAAGUUGCUUCGUCACUCAGACCAAAUUUCUGCCAAGAUCUAUCUGAUUCGGUUUGCUUUUAUCAAAUAUUUAACUCUGCAACUCCAAACAAUUUGGUCAGCUAUUCCAUGUUUACCUGCAUUCUCUUUAUCAUCCCAACUUUCUUGCAAGCAAUUUCCUUUUGUUUCUGCAUAUCUUCUGAUCUCAACCUCUUCAUGACAGAAAAUUCCACGCUUUAUUGAUCACUUCAUCAAUGGUACCAAGACUCCGAUGUUGCUUAUCAAUACUGGAAACAAAAGUGCUCGGAUAGGUGUAAAGCAUAAAUGCCUUCACAAAAACUGGAGAGAUUUCAUUCUUGAACAUCAACUGCAGCACAACGAAACCCUUGUUUUUGUUCCGGAAUUUGAAAAUAUAUUUACGGCUUUGAUCUUCGACGAUACCGGAGUUGAAAAGAUUUUUCCUUGGUAUCACGCAUUCAAUAUUUGUUCAGAUGCUUGACGAAUUUAACUGAAUGUAAUUUACCUAUAAAUUAAAUACAUUACCGAUAAUUUCAGCUUCAUCUUAGCUACCCUAUACAGCUAUUGGCCCGUGAACCUUAAUACAUUACUUCUUGUUUGUAUUAAUUAAUAUUACAAAAUUAAUUACUCAGCUGGGCAUUACUGGGCAUCAUUACAUUCGCCCACCGCGCAUCGCGCGGUGAUCACCUCCUAGUCUUCUCCUAAAGCAACUUCCUCUUUUUAUGCGAUAUAUAAUGCGGAGGAUUAUUGGGUGGUGUUAACAAAUAGUGCCAUUUUUUUGAAAUUCUUAUUUUACCCUGAAGUCCCAAUUUAUUGCAAGACAACCUCACAAUUACAGCAUAAUUAUCAAUUCACAUUAUCCACAAAUCAUCACUCUCUCACUCCAACUCCCACUUUUAUGUAUCCCACUCAACUUCCAUUUUUUUCUCUCCGAAAGCAACUUCCUCUUUUCUACACCAUUAUCCGGAGGAGAAGUCUACUAAUUCCUAAUGGACGUAGAUAUGGUUUGAUACCAAUAUUUCAAAUAUUAAUAAAGGACUGUGAUAGAAAAUAAAAACUUUAUAAGGACAGAAUUUCAUAUAUGUACUUUUUUAUUAAUUGCACACCUAUUAGGGUGUGCCUUAAUCACUAGUUAUCAUUGUUUGAACUAACUCCAUUUUGUGCUUCCAAAUUUUUAUCACUUUUUUACUUUACAUCCUAAAAUAUAAUUUAUUAGAAUCGUAUAUUCUAAACUUUUAAGUUUAGACAGUUUAUAUCUUAAAUUCUCAAAUUGUCGCAUUUAAAUCCAAUUAAUGACAACGUUAGUAGAAUUAAUAGCAUGAAAACCUUGCAAAUUAACGAUAACUAGUUGAAAAUUUGAAAUUGGUCAAAAGGAACCAACUUAUCGCAAUUAGAACAAAAUGAUACAUUAUAAUUAAAGUAAAGUCAAAAAUAUAUAAAGUAACAAAAAGUAUUUACCCUAAACUCACAUCUCUGCUUUUGUAUAUAGUAUUGAUUUUAAGCAUGAAUUGCUUAAGUAUAGGAGAGUAGAUAAGUAAUUGAUUCACAAAACAACCUUGGAAGGGUGAGUUUAGAUCGUUAACUUAUCCCAAAUAAUAUUUCGCUUAUAUAAUAAACACAUUUUUUAAUUUAUUUUUUUGUAUUUCCAAUCACUUUUUUAUCUUGCACAUAACACAUUAUAAAAAGUAUUAUAGUAAUUAUUCAAAAUAAUAUCUUAAAUAAUAUCUCAAAUAAUGUACUCUAUCCAAAUAUGUGAUAAAAAAUUAAAUAUUCUUAAUAAUGAGGGUACAGAAGAAACUCAAAUGAUUACAUAUGUGAGUUCAGUAUGGUAGAACCGCUGCCACUGCUGUUCCCAUUUGUACAUUGCUUGUAUCAUUGUAGAGAAGAGGGGGCCCGGGUCCUCACCUUUUUUUUUUUUUUGAUAAAAAACAUCAUCAUUUCAUUAAAUUUUCAGUAAUAGUAGAAAUAACAUCAACCAUAUACAUAUCCAAAUACAUUUGAAAAAUAAUUACUUUAUACUAUGAAAUCUAUAUAAUAUUACAUUGAAGCUUCAAAAAAAUUAAAAGAUAAAAUACUCAUAAACCAAAUUUGCUAAUGAACUGAUUCAAAUCCAAAUGUUAAGAUGAUAUCUAACAAGGUAGAUCUAAAAAAUUUCAGAUCUAACAACCAAAUUUGAGAAAAACAUAAAUCUAAUACAAGAAAUAGACUAACUAUAAAAAAUCUCAUAAGAAAUCUAUAGUAGAGGAGAAAACUUUCACUAGAAAUCUCUAAAGAAGAAGAAAUUCUCAGUUGGAAAUCCAUAGGAGAGUAGAAAACUUUAGCUAAAAAUUCUUAGAAGUAAAGAAACUCUUAUUAGACAAUGUUAGAAGAAACUUUAUUGUAAACACAAAAAACAAUCACCUAAUCCAUAACAAAUGACGUACUUUUAAAGGUAUGAUCUAAUGCAGGUAUGCACUAAAAUACCCCGUUGGAGACUUCCUAACUAGCGGCCAAAAGAAUGCACAGGAAAUCCUGAAUAUAAUCAUCUCCCAGAAUGGCUUAAUUCUCUUGGGAAGAAUAUGAAUGUCUAACUUACAAUUGAUAUGUAAGUACAAAACACUCCCCAAAAAUUUCAAACACCAAUAAAAAAUAUUCAAGAGGUUGUUGAAUACUGCUGUUUAAUUUUUCAUUUAACUACUGAUGACCAUUUGUCAGUGUCUAUAAGUAUUUAGCUUAGCUUUAUUCUGUUCCCGAAAUUGGAUGGCCAUUGGGAGUGGUGAUAUGUUGUUUUCGGCCCUCACGUGACUUCCCGGCCCAAUGGUGACAUGUGUAACAAUCAAAGUGCUUAUCUCCUCUGACCACGUGUCAUAGCUCCGCCCCUACUUUGCAACAUUUGCACAUUAUAAUUAGGGUAAAUAACAUAUGACGCUCAUAUGAUUUUGCAUACCCUUUAAAAUUUUAAAAUAGCCAUAUAAUCUCUCUGUGAUUUUAUGUAAAGUGAAAAAUGAAUGGAUUACAUAAUUAGUUACGAUCGACAUGUGUUUUAAAAGUGUGUACGAUAAAAUAAUAAUUUCCACUUAAUACCCCUAUGAUUUGUAUAAAUAUUCACUUUAUCCUCCAAUAUUUUUACAUUCAUCCAUGUAACCCCUGUAUGAUUUUGUAUAAGGUGGCAAAGUCGUCGUUUGAUUUAGCAUUCAAGUAAGGGCAUCACUGGUAUUUCAACUAAUGAUAUUAAAUAAACUAUUUUCCAUUAAAUUUGUAGUUUACAUCAAACUAUAAGGAUGUGAAGUGAAUAUUUUGAAAUGUUAAGGGGUUAUAUGACAAUAGAUGAAACUGUAGGGAGGUUAUUAGUAAUUUAUCCUUAUAAUUAUAAGUUAUAUAGCUUCGUGCAUGUAAUUAUAGUCAAAGAGGUUAUUUUAUAUGAUGGUUUAUGUUACGUGACCAUUAAAUGUGUAAUUACAAGCUAUAGAGAAGUUUAAUGAUGAAAAGAAAAGAAUGAGAGAGAGAGAGAGAAUGAAGAACAAAUGUUUUUAGGAAAAGGGAGUGUCUAAAAUCAUGUUCCUUGGGUUUACAUUUAGCUUGGGACAUUCUUUUCAAAAAAAACAAAGAGAAAAAAGAAAAAAAAAAAUCAUGUCGUUAUCUGACGUGGUUUAGGAAAAGAACUGACACAGACUCAGUACAAUUGUGUUCGUUUCUUAUAAUUUAGCUAACAUGAAAGGGUGGAUGGAUGACAAAACUACCUUAAUAAGGAAUCAAUAGUGUUAGUCCUAAUUUAGUUAACAUGAAGAGUAUAAAAGUUAAUCAAUUAAUAAAACAACUUUUUAAAUUUCAUGCAGUAGGUAAAGCUUACAGCAAUAAACAACAACUACUUGGCAAGUAUCAUGAAAACAUGAGCACCAUGUCAUGAUACUCCUGUUCAUGGAAGCAAUACCAGCUCUAUGCUAGUUGAGGGUGAAGAAAUGGUCUACUGGAGAAGCCACAAGAGGAAGAAACCACUUCCAAUCAAUGCAUAAAUUUCUUCUACUCAAGAGUUGCUAAAUUUCCUUGCCUUCUAUUGAAGCUAAAAUUUCAUCCACACAAACAGCUUACCAAGGAAAAUCAUCCUGAGUUCCCACCUUGGAUGACAUUGACAGGUUCGACAAUAAGUAUGGCAGACUUAAUCUUGAACACGCAACAUUAGAUGUACAAUCCUAUGCUACAGUUACAUUGCUAACAUUAUAUACAAUCCCUGUGGAAUGGCAAUGAUGAUGCCAUUCAGAUCAAGUGAUACUCUUGGUUCCCCGCUUUCUUAAAGGUAUAUCGCCGACAGUAUAUCUCAUAUAACAUACUUAAACCUAUUAGACAAAGCAAUGAAAGACCUUUAAUCCUGUUCAUCUUGUCCAGGAAGAGUUUUCUCUUUUUUAUCUUCUUUUCCAGGACCAUAAGCCUUACUACAAAUAAGGAAAUAAAUCAUGUUAAGCAUGCUUAAGCCAGCAAGAACCCAAUAGUAAUAAUCAUAGUGACCCUUAUUUAUGUUGGUUGAAAUCCAGCUUUCUUUUCCCCCUCGUUUUAAGAGUUUGUCAAUGAUGUUCAUAAGAAAACUUGCUACCAAAUUUGCCACAGACGUCUCAAGUAAGAACAAAGUGGAAGCUAUACUUUUCAUGCUUCUGGGAAACUCAGAAUAGUAGAAUUCAUUUUGUGCAACUGCACUUGAGGCUUCUGCAAAGCCAAUCAAGCAGUGUUUGUUUGGAUUGUUUCAUAUUUCUCCAAUUUUAUUUGCUUACAUCAUCUUUACAAUUUUCAAUACACCUUUUUAUCUUCCCAAUAUCUUUUUAUCUCACAUACAUCACAUCACAAAAAGUGCUACAGUAAAAAUAUCUCAAAUAAUCCCAAAUAACUUACAAUCCAAAGGAAGAAGCCAAAGAGCUGACAUGUCCACCACUGCUUCUGAAGCAUCUGAAUAUCCUUCCCUGAUUGCCAGAUUACGCCGUUUAGCCUCCACAGUUGCUGUCACUACCAUGCAUACGAAAGACAGGAGCAUUCCAAUUGCCAUUCUUUUCCUCGCUGAGAGAUGAACAUGUUUCCCCAUGAUUUUGGAUGCAAUAGGCAGGAAUACGCGGUCAUAAAGAGCAAUCCAUAUUAUGAUACUGAUUAUGGUAAACAUGCCAAAAGAACCGGCUGGUAUUUCGAAGCUUGAACCAAACCUCCGGUUCAUGGAAUUUGCUUGAAGUACAGGAAAUGAGUUCUGGCUAAUAUUUACCGACAUUAUCAUUCCUGUUGACCACAAGGGAAUCACUUUGAGAAGCGUCUUAAGGUCCUCAACUUGAUUUAUUGUGCAAAGAGUCCAGGGAUCUGCUGCCCUUCCAUCUGUUGUCAAGUCUUUCUCAGGAUCUACUAUGAUGCAGGCUUUAUUUAAGAACCUUGAAAGACAAAUCAUUCAUGUUUUCAUAAGAGAUCAAUGAACCUAUAACAAAAUAGGAACUUGUCUUUUGAAUAUUUUGCUUUCAAACAACUGUAAAGAAGCAUUCUCAGAGUCAAGAACAUUAUAACAAAUGUUGAAUUCACCAUCAGAUGAAAAUAUAUAGCAAUAGUAAUUGCAAACCCAUUUCAGCUAACAAAGACAGGUAACCUUGUAUAAGGUGGGGCUAAGAACCUAAAAUUAUUCAUAAUUUCUUAUACAUGGAUCAAGAUUGUAUUUGUAAAAUCCCCUAGUCUCAGUCUGACUCCUCAGAACGAAGCUAUUCAAUUUGGAUAAGAGAACAUUAAGAUCAAGGGAAGACUUCUGUAAAGGUGAAUAUAGACUCACCUUAGUUUUUCACUUGGAAGAAUCGAUGAACCCUUCUGGUGAUGGUAUAUCAUGUUUGAGCUCUCUGUCGAUAGAUCUAUAUGUCGUUUUCUACAAGAGGCAACAGCCACUUGAAGCAAUUCAACAAUUAUGGUUGACUUAGCCUUCAAUUUGACGUAACAGGGUGAAGCCAGGGAGAAUGACAGAGCUGAAAGGAACAUGAGAAUGACUGGAAUGCCAAAACCAACUUGCCAUCCCAUCUUUUCUUGUACAUAGACAAUGCAAGUUGAAGCAAUUAAAACAGAAAUUGUGCAUGAAGCAUAGUACCAGCUGAAAUAGCUCUCAAGAAUCCAUCCAUUCCUGCGUCCACCUGCUUUUUUCAACUGAUCAGCACCAAAAGCCAAGGAUGAAGACCUAGUUCCUCCAGCUCCAAUAGACAUAAGUCCAAAACAAGAACACAAGAGAAAGAGUUGCAAAGUUGUCGCAGAGCUACAAUUAUUGCUGGAUUCAUCACAUGGAGGCGGCCUUGUUUGGGGAAUCAUAGUUGUUAACCAUAAAAGAGCCAUACCCUUCAAAGUAAAAAUUCAUUUUCAGAUAAUUCAGUUAAAAUUAGAAAUACUAUCGUAAAUUUAAAUAACUAUGUAAUCCUUUCCACUGUAUUACUUAUCAAUAGUGUUUUGUUUUCCAACAGCAGCUGAUUAAAGUCGUGCAUCAAGCCAUCAACAAAUGGAGGCAUGAAGAAAUAUACAGAGGAAUUUAACCUCUUUAUGAUUGACUAGAAUGAUGUGCAACAAAUAAUCUUCUAAAAACCAGGGGCUCUUUCUCAGUUUUCUUUAUUGCACGUUCAACGGAGCAAGAUUUGUAACUGAAACUAAAUUUCAAAGCUCUUGUACGCACGGAGAAACUAAUGGCCUCAAGAAAUUUUUCGGAUGCCAUAUAUGGAUGGAAUCCUAUAAAUGAAGAUGAUUAUGGAGUUCAACCCCUAGAUUCUAGACGAGCUAACCUAAAAUGAGAGUUGCUAGAUGCAGACAAUAAUUCGAAAACAUGCCUUAUCUGCAAUUGUGUUACCAGCUUCAUGUUUGAACUAUGUUGUUUCUUAAAUGAAAUGAUCAUCUGUGUUGAUAAACAUGGGUUAGAAUCUAUAGAAUUUUGUCUCCAUCUGAAGACUACAACGUAAAAGAUGAUGUUUUCCUUCCUCCUUUUUAUUGAUAGAUUACUAUUUUUCGCCUGUACUCUCGCUCUACACAAACAAAAUAGCAGGGGAUGCUUGCUUAAAAGAGUCAGUCCAAUUUUACCAUACAAUUUCGGGAUGAAAAUCUUGAUGGACGAAAAUCCAAAAAUGACAAGGCAAAAAUCAAUUUGUACCUCAAUGAAUUCUAGCGUUAGGAAAAAUUAAACAUGGUUAAUAUUAAAUGUUGAUUACCAGCAAAGUUUGAAAUUGGAUUUUUACCAGAAGGCUGAAAACACAUCCAAAUAAGAUCAUCCGAAAUCGACCCACAAAUAUAUCUGCAACUAUAGCACUCAGAAGGGGCUUGAAAUUUGUUGCUGCCGACCAAAGAAAGAUUAUGUUGGAACCAGUAGUCAUCUUCAAAUGGUACUCUCUUGUCAAGUACAGAAUCAUGUUGGGCUGUAGUCCAUAGCUUGCCACCUGCUCAAAAGACUCGUUUGCUGCCCCCCCAAAAGAAAACCAUUUAAAAUCACGAGAACUAAAUCCCAUUAGCAAAUUAUUUUUACUCUGCCAAAUCAUCAGUAAACUUCAAUGAAACAAAAUUACGUAAAAUGUGUGAAUCGGAUAUAGCCCAAGAAUAAGGCUUUAGUUUCUUUUGUUCAGAUGAGAUUUCGGUCCAUCCCUCCUCAUAGAAAUUUAAGGCAAAAAAAGAAAAAAUGUUACCUAAAAUGAAUGGGAUGGUUCUGAAGCCACCCUUUGCUGAAGAACUGUUAUUAUCAUCAUCAAGUAAAGGCUUUGUGAUCGUGUUUCCAUUUUCAUCAGCUGAAUUCUCCAUCAUGUACAUAUGUGGACUUCUGCUUCUUCUCCUAUUACUGUAAUGAAAUGUGUCAAAUAUAUACUUUGAUCCUGCUUAACAAACAGAAUUAGAGUAUCGAGCAUACGAUGCAUGAUAUUUUUUUUUUUUUUUUUAGUAUUUGCUGCUGGUAGCCCAUAAGAUCAUUCAAAAGAAGAAAAACAGUGAUUGGGCCAGACAUUUGAUCUUACUUACACUCCAACGUUCUGGGGAGCAAUGAAUGUGACUGGACCAGCCAUCAUAAUACGUACAUUGUCGUGUUUUCACUUUUUAAAUGUUUUAAAGUUAGAGUCACAUUUAAAAACAAAUAAAUUAUUCUUAGCUUUUUUACUUUUUCUAUUUGAAUAUUAAAUUUAGGGUCAGUAUGAAUUAAGUGUUUUUAUUAUAACAUUGUAUUUUUAAACAUUUUAUUGUAUAAUUAUAUUUUGGGAUAUUUUUAAGUUAUUUUUUGGUAAUUUUGUUACGUGUACUUUGAGGUGUACUUGGAGUGUUUUGAGAUAUGUUUUUUAUUAUGUUUGAAAAACUAUUGCUCGAAAAAAAGUCCAAAUCCAAACAGACCAUUACUUGUCCAGUUAUACUUUUUUUUUUUUUUACGGAAACGUUAAAACUUAUAUUGAAAUCAAAGCAAGCUAUACAACUUGAGCAACGGCCCAUGCGGAGCUUUACAAUUGUGUCAUUUGACACUGAGGACUUAGAUAUUCCUCAUCUUGCACUAAAGUAGUAGCAUACAUGCUAAUUCUUCUACCUAAACCAUUACACUGAUUGCCAGCCAAGCUAAAUGAGCAAUUCAUAAACAAAGCUUUGAGCAUGUGGAUAUCCUCUAGAUGAGCAAAAAGUCUAAUAUCACGAGUCUUGUUUAUUCUCAAAAGUCGCAGCAUCUGAAGGGAAGGAACCAGCAAAUUUACCUUUGCCCAAGGCAGUUGUCUUACCUUGACCAACGCUAACUUGAUUGCUGUAGCGUAGUCCAGCAAUGUGUCUCAUGAACUUCUGUCCGUCAAGGCCCAUGCUGCAUGCACAUUAGUUCCUUGUUGAGCCAUUAUGCCUAUACCUAAUGGCUUCCCUUCGUUUGGAUGAUUGAUGUCCACUGUAACGAGCAUCAUGUUACUGUCCGCACUACCGUUCUGCUGCUCUUCUAUCCUUGCCGUUGUUUCUAGAUUGCUCAUUUGCUGUUGUCCACGGAGCACUUCAAUGUAUUCGAUCCAUUCGAAGUGAGCUUUCUGUACAAUUUCAAAAGGGUGACGACAUCUAUUGUUAAAAAUCUUCUCAUUCCUGGCUUUCCAAACUUGCCAAAGAAUGUUCACAGUAAGAGCCUGGUGCUGAGCUCCUUCUUUCCUACUUGUUGCCUCCAUGAAUCCACUCCACCAUUUGUUGAAGUUCCCUCUGUGGUCAGCAAUGCCAUCCCACUGUAUUGGUGCCAACCCUGUUCUUCUUUUGUACUUGUCCAGUUAUACACUCAUAGAAUUUUAGUGUGAGAGCCUUGUUAUAAAUUUAGGGGAAAAUGCACUUUUCAUCCUCAAAGUUUGUGGGGUUGACCAAUUUCAUCCUCAAAGUUUAACCCCAAACAUAUUUCAUCCUCAAAAUUCCUCAAAGUUUGCGGGGUUGACCAAUUUCAUCCUCAAAAUUUAAUCCCAAACACAUUUCAUCCUCAAAAUUCCAUAAUUUUGACCAAUUAAGGACAAUUGACAGGAAUUGGAGGACAAAUCAAAUAGGAAAAAAUGCACUUUUCAUCCUCAAAGUUUGUGGGGUUGACCAAUUUCAUCCUCAAAGUUUAACCCUAAACAUAUUUCAUCCUCAAAGUUCCGUAAUUUUGACCAAUUAAGGACAAUUGACGGGAAUUGGAGGACAAAUCAAAUAUUGGGACAGAACUUUGCACGUGAGAAGCACAAUUCGUCAGAUCCAACUUUAUACCCAACAUAACCGGGUCAAACCUAAUGGAUCCACUUUUUCUAACGGACAAAAAACACAAAAUAGCAAAAGGAAAAAAGCUCCUGUCUUCUCCUUCUUUCUUCUCCGUUCUUAGCCCUAAAAAUUUUUUUGGCCAAUCGUUUCAUCCAUUUUUCGAGCAUCUGCUGGUAAGAAGGAAGGCAUAGACGGCAUCCGUGGAGCAUUUUAGGUGAAGAAAAAAAUGGUAUUGCGGAAGAAAGAGCUCCACAUUUGUCCACCUCCAAAUUACGGUAUUUAUACCCAAAAUCAAUAGCUACAUUGCAUAAAGAUAUCUGUUUUUUUGGAGAAGGAAACCUGAUAUGUGGUCUCUUGUGUUUGUACUUUUUCCCCACUACAAUUUACGGCUAUUUUUUUUUUCAGAUCUGGCCAUUUGCAUGAGGUAUAAAUAAAUCAAAAAAUUUGUCUUGGUUUGAUUAUUAUAGUGUGAAUGUGGUCCCUUAUGUCUGAUGAUAGUUGCCGCUUGACUAUAAAUUUGUGAUGAGAGUGAUUAAUAAACAAUAAUACUUGGUAUAUUUUGCCGGCCAUGUGUAUCUGACCAUGUGCAUGGAAAAAGUGAAAGUGGUCCUUGUUUGGUAGUUUUUGUGUGGGUCAACAGUUUGUUGUGCUGAAAUGAUAAAGCUUUUUUUUUUUUUUUUCCCUAAAGAGUCUGAUUUAUAUUAUUUUCUUUAAUCAAAAACGGGUAGCACAUUUAUUACAUUAAGAUGUCACCAUGGAGGCCUCAUUUCAUAUACUCCUGAUCCCCAUUACGAAGGUGGAGAUUUGUGUGUUUUUGACUAUGUUGAGAGUAUAGGUCUAAGUGUUUUCGAAGUGGAUAGAUUAACUGAGAGUGCUGGUGUAUAUGGUCAUAAGGUGUACUAUGGUUGGGAAAAUAACACCUUUAGGAGGAUAGAAAGCAGUAGGGAGUUGAAUGGUUAUGUUAAGGGGGAGGUUGGGCCAACUAAGGAAGUUAACUUAUAUCUUGAAGUAUCUUUUCAUGAAAUUCUAGUGCAACAACUUGGUUAUGAUCCGUAUGAGAUAGAUGAGACAGAAAAUGAACUCCAAAAUGGUGAUGGUAACAAUAAUAUUAGGGAUGAAGGUCAAGGAAGGUGUGCUGCUAAUAAUUGUGAUAAUGAUUCCAACGCAAGUGAUGAGACUUUUUUUUCAGCUAUUGAUUCAGAUUAUGAAAUAGACGAUGAUGCUGAUGAUGGUAUAUUUCAUGAUAAUGUUGACAAAAAUACUGAAUGGUUGGGAGUAGACAAUCACAGGAAAGAAAAUGUGGUUCCUGAUCCUUUGAAUGAAACAGAGAAGGUUCCUGAUUCUGAUGAAACAGAAUAGGUUCCUGAUUCUGAAUCUGAUUUUGAAAGCAUUCAUGAGUCUGAUGAUGAAGAGUCUAAAUUGAGGUCUCGUACUUUUGAUCCUAAGCAUAUUGACAAUCCAAAAUUAGAGCUGUACAUGUCCUUUACAAGUCUGAAACUUUUCAAGACUGCCGUACAUAAUUAUAGUGUGAAACAAGGCAGGCCUUGUAAGUUUGUGAAACAAGAUAGAGUGAGGGUGAGGGCUAGAUGCAGAAAUAGUGAAUGUAAUUGGGUUAUAUAUGCUAGAAAAUUAAGUGGGGAUGAAACUAUUCAAAUAAGAACAUUUGAAGAUAAUCACACAUGUGAUUUUACAUAUGAUAACUCUCUUGUGCAUUCUGGAUGGGUAGCUAAGAAGUACUGUGAAGAGUUUAGGUGUAAUCCUAAAUUAGAUUUGGAGCAUUUUAGGAAGACAGUAAUGAAAGAAAAUAUGUGCUCCUUCACAAAAAAUCAAACAUAUAGGACAAGGAGAAAAACAAUGAAAAUCGUUCAGGGCAGUGAAAAAGACCAGUACAGCAAAUUAGGAGUUUAUAUGCAUGAAAUUCUAAGAUCCAACCCUGGUAGCACUGUUAUAAUGAAAACUGUUGAUGGUUUUAAAGACUCAAAAACAGGGAAAGGCAGAUUUGAGAGGCUGUACAUCUGUUUUGCUGGAGUGAAGCAUGGUUUCCUAACUGGAUGUAGGCAGUUUAUUGGAGUAGAUGGUACUUUUUUGAAAGGAUCAGUAGGAGGAGUUUUGCUAGCAGCUGUUGGAGUUGAUGCCAAUAAUGGCAUUUUUUCAAUAGCAUAUGCUGCAGCAGAGGGUGAAAGUAAGGACUCAUGGUGCUGGUUCUUCAAACUAUUGAAAGAAGAUUUGAAGAUUGAAAAGGAUUAUGAGUGGACAAUAAUGAGUGACAAACAAAAAGGUCUAAUUGAAGCAUGUGAUAUGAUUUUCCCAAAUGCAGCCCACAGAUUUUGUGUGAAACACUUGCACAAUAACUUUUCAUCUGUUGGGUUCAAAGGAGAAGGUUUGAGGAGAGCGUUAUGGACUGUUGCCAAAGCAACAACACCAGCCCAAUUCAUUAGCAGAAUGGAAGCAAUGACUGAAAUUGAUAUAGAGGCAGCCAAGUGGUUUGAUGACAAACCACCAAGUCAAUGGAGCAGAGCUUAUUUUAGCACUCAUCCUAAAUGUGCUAUGUUAUUCAAUAACAUUUGUGAGUGCUUCAACAGCAAAAUUCUUGAUGCUAGGGAGAAGCCAAUAAUUGAGAUGUUUGAAGCAAUACGAUUGUACAUGAUGCAGAGAAUGCAAAAAAAUAGGGAUCUGGCCAAAGAGAAGUGACAGACUUAUCCUUACUGCCCCAGAAUUCUUCACAUUAUGCAGAAAAAUAUAGAUAGAGCACCUGACUGUUUUUCAUUCAAGUCAAAUGAUGAUCUUUAUGAAGUCAGUUGCCCAUAUGGUGACCAAUAUGCAGUGAACAUCAAGGAGCAAACAUGCUUUUGCAGAAAAUGGGAACUAACAGGUAUUCCCUGUCCCCAUGCCAUUGCUGCAUUGUGGAUGGCUAAAAAGGAUCAUCUGCUAUAUGUUUCAAAAUGGUAUACAGUGGAGACAUAUAUGAAGUGCUAUGAAGGAUCAGUGUAUCCCAUGAAUGGAGAAAGUGAAUGGGGGUUUACUGAUGUUGGUGAAGGUCCUUUGCCACCCUUAUAUGGGAGAGCACCUGCAAGGCCUAAGAAGCUGAGAAGGAGAAGUGCAGAGGAGGUUCAACAAGUCAAGGAAAAAACUAAGAAGAAGGUGACAAGAGUGGGACAGAUUAACAAGUGUAGAUACUGUCAUCAAAGGGGACAUAAUAUGAGGUCCUGCAAGCUUCUCAAAGAUGCUCAAGAUCCUGCAGUUGCAGAAACUGAUAUUAGUUCAAGCCAAGUUGCUGCUUCUACCAACAAUCCAGCUAGCCAAGAUGGAAAAAAGGUUGUAAGUUGUUUUGAUGACUUGUUAUAGCUAUCUUUGCUAUUUGGUAUAUAAAUGACAUAUUUUCCUUUUAAACUGUAGGGAACAAAGAAAACCAAGAAGCCUGUUGCUGAGUCUUCAAAUAAAAGGGUAGAAAAAUCUGCUGCAUCUUUUGAUUUUUUUGUCUUUAUGCAAUUUGACUUUUGCUACCUCACUGUUUUGUGCAGAAGAGGCAUAGACGUACAAGAAGAGUUGCAGCUGCAGUUUGUAAUGAUGAUUCAAACACUGAACAUCAACAGGAUAUUGAGCCACUGGUUGAGAUUGAGAUAACAUCCUCUGCCCCAGAUCAAGUAGACCAGGAUAUGUACGAAGUGUUUGGGCUGUCAAGGUCUCAAGUGAAAUAUAGCACCAAGGAAGCCAGAACACAAACUAAAAAACAAGUACAGAUGCCCUUCAGAAUUAGAGAUGUUCAUAUGCAUGUUGUUGCUGCUGCCAAGGCAGAUUUAAGUGUUCCUAGUUCAUCUAGAUUGAAGGGAAAGGAGAAACUACUGUAAUAGGAGAAACAACAUGCUGAAUUUUCUUCAAGCCAAGCUGUUUUUGUUCAAGCCAAGUUGCUACUUUUGUAAUUAGUGAAUGACUUUUGUUGUUUCAACUUUUGCCUUGCCUAGUAAUGAUGGAAGUGCAGGCUGUAAUGUGAUAGCUGGCUUUAUUUCAUUUAUGGACCCAUGUUCAACAACAGUCAUGUAGUUUGCUUUAUUUCAUUUGGAAUGCACUUUAAUUGUAUUGAAGUUAUGAUAUACAUAUAUGGCAGCUGUUUUCAUGUUCAUUUGUUUGUAUUAUUUGCAUUUAUUUUUCAACUUGGUUUAUCAGUACAUGUGGGACAAUCUUGGUUUAUCAGCUUAGUUGCCAGCUUGGUUUAUUUGCAUUUGUUUUCCAGCGUGGUUUAUUUGCAUCUGUUUGUAUUAUCAGUACAUGUGGUUUAUCAGUUCAUGGCUGUUUUAUAUAUAUGAUAUGAACAACACUUUGACAAGAACCAUUUUUUUACACUCAACGCAUAGCUUUACAAACAAAAUAAAUUGCAGAGUUCAUAAAUUGCAUUGUUGCCAAAUACAUUUCCCUUCCUAAAUCUCACCUUUUACAUAAAUUGCAGAGUUCAUUUGGAGCCUUUGUACAAACAAAAUAAGUCCCUUUCUAUACCCUGUAAUUGGAUAUUACUUCAUAGGGAAAAAUGCAACUCUCGUUCCAACAACAAACACAGCCAGCUUCAAAAUGUUCUUCUGCAAUUUUAGCAAAAUCACCCCAGUGUUAGCAGCAACUUACCUCCCUUUACUUUUCCUUCGCCUUUACUGCUCCAACUCAGUACUAGCAAAACCACCAAAAGCACAAUUAUCGUAAUAAAAAAUUUCUCCCUCUUAUGCAUUCUUUCAACUUGUUCUUCCAUUUUGUUAAUCUUUUUCAGCAAACUAGGAAUGAGAACUCUCCCUCUUGGACAAAUUGGCUCAUCAACCCAUUCGAAGUACCUGUAUCUCUCGGGUCUCUGCUAUAACAAUAAUGACAUUUCAAAGAAAUUAGUUAGCUAAAUUAACACAUUGAAGGACCAACAUUUUUAGACAAAUAUUUCUUACCGGCCACAGAGAGCAACCAAGGAAUCUUCUUCCGGGAUUCUCGCCGCGCCAACAGGUGCUCAUUUUUGUUCUUAACCCACAGUUGCAGAAUGGAGUCGAUGAACCACUGGAGACUUCAGAACUUCUGCUCCUCAUUUAGGCAAAAAUGAGAGCACAGGGAGCUCCACUGCCAGAUGCUCUGAGGAUGAAAUGUUUAAAGCUGCAAAGAUUGGCAAAAAAAUUUUGGGGUUCAAAGGCAGAGGGAAAAAGGACAACAAUGAAGCUUUUCGUCCGUCCGUUGCAUUUGUUCCUUUAAAGUUAGCUCCAUUUGGUUUUACCCAUUUUUGUUGGGUAAAACCGUUGGUUGUAACGGUCAAUUGGAUAUUUCCCGUCAAUUGUCCUUAAUUGGUCAAAAUUACGGAACUUUGAGGAUGAAAUGUGUUUGGGGUUAAACUUUGAGGAUGAAAAGUGCAUUUUUCCCUAAAUUUAGCCACAAACAUCUCAUUUAGAUGUAACGAUUAUAUAUUCGGUGCAAAAAUUGAAUGCUCAAAUUGACUCAAAUUAUGAGAUGGUGGAAGUAACACUUUCUAAAUCAUCCAUAAGUAUUGAAUAACACAUUUGCUGCUGCUCUUGGACGCUGCCAAAUUUCCCGAAACAAGCUCUGGUCAUAAUUCACCCGAAACAUACUUUCAAAUAGAUAUUGUUGAAAGGAGGAAGAUGCUUUUGAGAAGGGGUGAAUUGUGAGUGAUUUUUUGGGGAUAAUGAGAGGGUAUGGUGGAGAUGAUGACAAGAGGAUAGAGCUUGUUAGGGUUUUAGGUUUUUUUUUUCCAUGAUAAAUCGUGAUUUUGUGAGAGAGUUUUUAUUUUAAUCGGUUUUGAUUAUAGAGAUUAAGUUUAUCCGCCCGGUUAAUCGAUUAAUUAACUUAACAUGGUCCGAGUUGGGUUGUUUCAGGGUUUGGUUUAUCAAGGGACACUUGGCAAAAUUAGAAGGAAUGGGAUAGGAUGAAUGUGAAACAGGUGUGGCACAGAAGAUUCGUUGUAGUUAAAUGCAAUGGUUAGUUAAGCAGAAUUUUAGUUCAUGGGAAUUGCUUUAUUCAGUUUCUUGGCUAUAAAUUUUGUAACUCAGAUAACUCAUUGGUCAAGUGGAAGCCAAGUUGAACUUUAAGUUGAUAUUCGAGUGAUUAGCCAACUAAAUUCAAUGCAGCAAGUGUUUUUAUUAAGCUCAACUCUAAAAUUCAUGUGUUUGAAGAUUAAAUUUAUAGAUGACUGAGACCAUUAUCAUCAAAUAUAACCAUGCAUUGCGAAGAGGCAAAACUACAGAGUAUAUAACGUAAAGUGGAGUAAGGGAAAAAAAAUCAUCCAAAAUACAGGGAAAAAAAAGAUAAAUGCAGAAUCAUGUCUCCACAUCUAAUAUAUAUGUACUUUUUUUUUUUUACUUAUCAUCAAGUGCAUUGAAGCCUCAUGAUGUAGAGGUUCUGAAUUCAAAUUUUUCUUCUCGCUUCUUAAAUCCUACCAUACACUAUUGAAAAAGUUUUUUUUAAACAGAGCAUCAUGAAAUAUAACUUCUAGAAAUAACAACUUUAAGACCAUAGGUCUACUUACAUGCAUGUAAUUAUGAAACUACAGAGUUGAUUGUGUCCAAAAAAAAAAAAAAAGAAGGAAAAAAUCCAUAAUUAAAUUGCAUACAAAUAUUGAGGUAAUAACUUUGAUGUUUGUGGGCUGCCAAAAUAAACAUGAAAAACCAUUGCGGUAAAUUAAUAUAGAAAAUGUUGAAAUAAAAACUUAAAUUAGUGGAGGUCUAGUUGGUAUAGUGGUGUAUUACUUGUAUAAUAAGAAAGAUGACUUCUAGAAAACACGUGCAUCAUGUGUUUUUCUUUAUUAUGGCUGUGGAUGAAGCCAAAACUUGUGGUCAACUAGAUUAAGAAUUCUGCUGAGAUGUAUGCAAAGAAAACAAUAAAAAUUCUAUUGUUGAACAAAACAAUAAAAUUCAGCUGAGAUUCAUGCAAAAAAGAGGAAAUUAGGAAAGAAAAUAGGCAAAUCAUCGAUUGUGGAAUACUCAUGGUGCUAAGAGUAAUUAGUCUUCUUUGAAAUAAAGAGAAAACAUAGAAGAUGUUCCAAUUGCAACUGUAAUCAAGAACCAAAUGCAGCAACCUGAGAAAAAUUCCUAAAACGAUAUGAGGCCGGAAACUUUGCCACAAGGUUAGCUAAAGAACAGCGACACUCAUAGAUGAAACUGGAAAAAUUGCCCGAGGAAGUGGCCGAGGCGAAAUGAAAUUUAUUGCUGCUGUGCAGAAAAUGAUAGUGUUGCUGGCAGCACUGCCAUAUCCAUAUGAUAAACUCUCUCCAAGUAUACAAGUUUUCUCUAUCUGGAUCUAAACUCUCCUCCUUCUCUCUAACUUUUCUUUUCCAAGAGCAAGGAAGGCCAAUUGGUCUCCUUUGAUCUUCCUCCCUUCCAUGUCUUUUUUUCUUUUGUUUUUUGUAUUUAUAAUAAAGUCUCUCCUAGAAUUUUUAGUGAGAGUUUCUUCUCUCUUAGGUCCAAACGAGAGUUUUUUCCUCUUCUAAAGUUUCCCAGUGAGACUUUAAUUUCUCUUAAUAAUUUCGAGUAAGAGUUUUCUCCUAUCCUAGAAAUGAAAGCUUUUAUAGUUUUUCUAUUUCUUAUAUUAUAUCUAAGUUUUUUCAAAUUUGAUGGUCGAAUCUGAAAUUUCUUAGAUCUAACUAGUCAGAUCUUACCUUAACAUCAUUUGAAACAAUUCAUUCGAAGAUCUAGAAGGAAGCAAGCAAUACCGUCAGAAUUAUACACAAAUGAUCUUGGAGUUAUAAGUGUUUUAUCUAUUUUAAUAUUUUUAGAGUUCCACGAUGUAAUACUGGAUUGAUUUUCUAGAUCAAUGGUAUCGACUAUUUGGUCAAGUAUUUGUUUUUCAGAUGUAUUUCAGAUCUGUUUGUAUCUAUGUAUGGUUAAUGAAAUUUCUACCAUUAAUACAGAUUUAAUGAAAUGAUGAUGUUUUAUCCAAAAAAAAAAAAAAUCUUUCCUAGUACAUAAUUAUGUUUGGUGAGAGCCCAGAAGUUGCAAAUCCAAGAAAAGCUUUUUUUUGGUCAAAUUUUGAUUAACAAAAUGUUGAAUAUUAAUUGAGGAGUAAUAAUGAAAAAAAAGUUUCUUUAAUGGUGGAUAUUUUUUAAUCAAAUUACAUUUUUCUUAAACUGCGUGCAAAAUUCAACAUGACAUAUAAAAUAAACUCCCUUAAAGUGGCAGACUCGCUAUCUUAAAUAUGUAAACAUUGUGUUGUAGGAGUAUUCAUGUGCCAAUUGCCAAUAGCAUCAGAUCUAGAGAUACAAAUCCUAUACAUCGAUGACAUUGCUAACAACACUAGAUCAGCCUGACCUUCGUUACCAGCCCUGCGCAAUGACAUUGAUGAAAUCAUACAGGUCAACUGAUCUUUUUGAUUCCCAGCCUUAUGCAGGUAUAAUGAUGACAAUCUAACAUAUGCUUGAAGGACCACCCACUCUAGUCAUCCUGUUUUGCCAGGACCAUAAGCUUUGCUGCAAAUGAGGAAAUAAAUCAUGUUAAGCAUACUUAAGCCAGCAAGAACCCAAUAGUAAUAAUCAUAGUGACCCUUAUUGAUGUUGGUCGCAAUCCAGCUUUCUUUUCCUCCCAGUUUUGAGAGUUUGUCAAUCGCGUUCAUAAGCAAACUUGCAACAAGAUUUGCCGCAGACACCCCAAGUGACAACAAAGUGGAAGAUAUACUCGACAUGCUUCUGGGGGACUCGGAAUAGUAGAACUCAUUCUGUGCAACUGCACUUGCAGCUUCAGCAGCGCCGAUCAGGAAAUAUUGGGAAGAAGCCAAAGUACUGACAUGUCCACCACUGCUUCUGAAUCAUCCGAAUAUCCUUCCCUGAUAGCCAGACUACGUCGCUUAGCCUCCACUGUUGCUGUCACUAUCAUGCAUACAAAAGACAGGAGCAAUCCAAUUCCCAUUCUUUCCCUUGUUGAGAGAUGAACAGGUUUUUCCAAGAUUCUUGAUGCAAUAGGCAGGAUAAUGCGAUCAUAAAGAGCUAUCCAUAGUAUGACGCUGAUAAUGAUAAACAUGCCAAAACAACCUGCUGGGUAUUUCAAAGCUCGAACCAAGUUUCCUGUUCAUGGAUUUUGCUUGAAGCACAGAAAAAGAGCCCUGGCUGACAUUUACGGACAUUAUCAUUCCUGUGGACCAUAUGGGAAUUACUUUGAGAAGCGUCUUAAGGUCCUCAACUUGAUUUACUGUGCAAAGAGUCCAAGGAUCAGCUGCUAUUCCAUCUGUUGUCAAGUCCUUCUCAGGAUCUAUUAUGAUGCAAGCUUUAUUUAAGAACCCGAAAGGACAAAUUCUUGAAGUUCUUGUAAGAGAUUAAUGUAUGUAUGACCUAAUAGCAAUUGUUCUUUUGAAUGUUCAAACUUCAACAACUAUGAAAGAACGUUCUUAGAGUCAAAAACAUUAUAACAAAUGUUGAAAUCAACACCAGGGGAAAAACAAUGCAGUCGUACUUGUGAACCAAUUUCAUCUACCAAAGACAGGCAUCCUCGACUAAACAAGUACUAAUAAAUUGUUGCUAACUACCUGAUUUUUCUUAUGUACAUAGAUAAUGAGAGAAUUUUUGUACUUCCCUAGUCUAGGUCCUGAGAACGGAGCUAAUCAAUUUCAACAAGAAAACAAUAUGAUCAAGGGAACGCUACUCUAAAUUUGAACAUCCACUCACCUUAGUUUUUCACUUGGAAGAUUUGAUGAACCCUUCUGGUGAUGGUACAGCGUGUUUGAGCUCUCUGUUGAAACUUUUAUACGUUCUUUUCUAUUAGCGGCUACAGCCACUUGAAGCAUUUCAACCAUUAAGCUUGAAUUAGCCUUCAACUUGACAUAGAAGGGUGAAGCCAGGCAGAAUGACAGAGCUGAAAUGAACAUGAGCGCGACUGGAAUGCCGAAACCAACUUGCCAUCCCAUGUUGUCUUGUAGAUAUACAAUACAAGUAAAAGCGAUUAAAACAGAAAGUGUGCAUGAAGCAUAGUACCAGCUGAAAUAGGACUCCAGAACCCAUCCAUUGUUCUGUCCACCUGCUCUUCUCAACUGAUCAACACCAAAAGCUAAGGAUGAAGACCUAAUUCCUCCACUUCCAAUGGACAUUAGUCCAAAACAAGAACACAAGAGAAAGAGUUGUGAAGUUGUUGUAGAGCUACAAUUAUCAUUGGAUUCAUCACAUGGAGGCGGCCUUGCUUGUGGAAUCAUAGUUGUCAGCCACAAAAGAACCAUUCCCUUCAAAGUAAAAAUCAUUUUUCAGAUCAUUCAAUCAGUGUUAGAAAUGCUACACUGAAUUCAGAGAAUGUGGUAACAGAUUGGUCAGCAGCAUGAUGCUUUCCUACCACUGCAUGACAAGAAUGAAGUGCAAGAAGCAGGUUCGCUUUCAGUUUUUAUUUUUUCAGCCCAUAUCUAAGAGCUAAUGUUUUUAGUUCUCUUCAUUGCAAAGAAAUAUAGAUGGAGGUUGAUUUGUAAUUGAAAUUAAAAUUUAAAGCUGCUGUGUGUACAGAGAAACUAAUGCCCUCCGUAAUUUUUCGGAUGCCAUAUAAAGUUGGAAUCCUCUAUAUGGAAGAUGAAGGACUUGAAGCCCAAAAAAAUAGAAGCGUUAACAAAGAAUGAGAGUGGCUGGAACCAGAAUGACACCAGAAUUUCUAACACACGCUUUGAUGAUCAGCAAUGUUCCUAAGAAACGAGAGAAUUUUGUUAGUGCGUAAAGAUUACGAAGUGAAAGAAUAAAAAAGAUAUAUUUUUCACCUGGUUAACUUUUCCAUCCCUUUCAAACAAAACCACCAGCAGGAAAAUAAUACACACCACAAUUUACUAACAAUGGCGUGCCAUUCAAAGGACAUCGCAGCUCGCUCUUCUCACAUGAUAAUCUGUAACAUUAUUGUCCAAUUUCUUCUUCUUCCUUUUUUCUUUCCGUUUUUUUCUUUGGCAUGUAUAGCACAAGAUUUGCAACUGUAUCCUCUGGACAUGCCUCUAAUUGAUACCAAAUUCCUCACAAGAGUAAUCCAAUUAAAUGGCCCGUUUGACCCAAAAAAAGAAGGCAUAGACAAGAGUUUGAUGUUUCUCAAGAACGGGAGAUAAUCCAACCAUAUUCUGGGAGAAAAAGAAUAGAUUCAAAAACAGAAAAGAGUGCCUUUUCUCCCUCUUCUACUUUACGAUUCAGUACGAACUGGAAAUAUGUUAAACUACAUCCAAUAAUACAUAAUAAUUGCCAAGAAUUCGAUAUGAUCUGGAUUUUCAUGUAGAUUGCUAUCUGGGUUAUAUCCCCCAGAAAAAAACACAAAAAAAAAAACCCAACCAUCAAAAAUAUAAAAUAAAAUCAUAUCCACCAGUAAAGCAAAAAGCUAAGGGUACUUUCAAGAAGUAGUCCAUUUUACCAUACAAUCUGCAGUUGAAAAUGACACGAUGGAUGAACAAGCAAGAAAUAAGCACACAUUGUACAAUGAUGUAUUAAUUACUGAGACCAGUAAAGUUUGUAAAUGUAAUACUUACCAGAAGGCUAAAAAUGCAUCCAAAUAAGAUCAUCCGAAAUCGACCCACAAAUGAAUCUGCAACUAUAGCACCAAGAAGGGGCAUGAAAUUUGUUGCCGCUGACCAAAGAACAUCUCUAUGUUGGAUCCAGUUGCCAUCUUCAAAUGAUAUUCUCUUGUCAAGUACAAAAUCAUGUUAGGGUGUAGCCCAUAGCUUGCCACCUGCUCAAAAGACUCAUUUGCUGCCCCCAAAAAAAAAAAAAAGCAAAAAGCAAAACGAUCAAUUCAAAGUAGAAAAUUUUAUUUUAAUAGUUCAUCACUGAACUUCAAUUUAAUAAACUUACACAAAAUCAGAAUCAGAUAUGGCCAAAGUGAAUAAGGGUCGUGUAGUUUCUUGUUUGCAAAAGGACGCUUCAGUCCUCAAACCCUCCUUUCUCCACAUUCGAGAAGAGAAAAGAAAAGAAAAGAAAAGAAAAAUGUUACCUAAAAUGAAUGGCAUGGUUUUGAAGCCACCCUUUCCUGCAGACGCAUCAUGAUCAUCAUCAAGUAAAGGCUUGGUGAUCAACUUUUCACAUUCAGCAGCAGAGUUCUCCAUCAUGUAUAUGUGGACUUCUGCUGUUUCUUCUGUUUCUUCUUCUUCUGCAAUGAAAUGUGCUGAGCAUUUAAAUUGAUCUUGUCCAACAAACACAAGAAACACCCUGAGGGCGAAGGCACUGAGCAGUGAAACAAUGAAAAUUCCAUUUCAAGGAACUGCUGUUGUUUGUGGUGGUCCAUAAGAUCAAACAAAAGAGUUGAAAAAAAAAGGAAACAAUGAAGUCUGGACCGCUGAACAAUGAAGUCUGUUUGUUUUUUCUUGUUUGUGGUGGUACAUUUCUCUUGUUUGUGUCUGGGUUAAAAGUGGAUCCCUUACGUUAAAAGUGUCGAACUCGAAUGGCCGGGGAGCAGAGCAAUGACAUCUGGUACCGCUGAUACCGCUGGGUUAUUCCAACUGUCCAGAUUGAAUUACACAAUUUUCACUAGACACCCUCUUAAAAACUAGUAGCCCAAAGUUAACAAGUAUAUUCUAGUGUAUAGAUUAAUUACCUUAAAGUAAAAUGUAACAUACGUUAAUUGAAAUUUGGGUAAAUUAAUGGCAAAUUCUGUGGACACUUGGUGAAAAUAUAGUUUAAAAGAUGGAAAAAUUCCUUAGUUUUUCAAUACACAGUAAUUGGACAUUUUUUUUGUGUUCAGGGCGAAAAUUAAAGUAAGAUUACCAGUUGAGGGCAUCACAUGUCAGUUUUACACAAAAGUGAAAUUUAAUUAAAAAAAUAUAUAAAUGCAAGACAGGAAGAUCAAUGUAAAACUAUGCAUCUAAAUGAUAAAUCAUUCCAAUACAUUUGUUUGGUUCAGUGUUAGGAAUGUAUAUCAUUACUAUAGUUGAUGUUUGGUUCGUUGGCUCUUUGUAAAUGAGAUAUAAAAAAUUUUCACUAAUUAAAUAAAUUAGUAUAAAUGUAUUAGUAAAUUUAGUAUAACUAAUUAAUAAUUUCUAUUAAUAAACAUGUAUAAUUAUUAGUAUAAUUGAUAAUAUCAAUUAUAUUACAUAGAUUAAUAUACAUUAUAUAAUACAUAUAACUAAUAAUAUCAUUAUUAUAAGUUUGUAACUAAUUAAAUUAAAUAUUAUACAUAUAAUUAAAUAUAAAUAUACAAAUGUUAUAAUAUAAAUAUAUAAUUAUAAUGAUAUAAUAUAUAUAAAUAUUAAUAUAUAAAUAUAAUGUAUAUUAUAUAUUAAAUAUCAUUAUUAAUACCUAUUAGUAUAUUUAAAAUAAUAAAUAUAAAUAUAAUUAUAUAAUUUAUUAAUAUUAUAUACAUGUAUAUAUUAUAAUUAUAUGCACAUAUAAUAUACAGUUAUAAAUAUACAUAUAUAUUAUAAAUAUAUUAUUAUAUAAUAUUCAUAAAUUUAUAAUAUAUAUUAUAAAAAUAUACUAAUAUUAAUAUAAUUUAUAAUAUACAUUUAUAUGUAUAUAUUAGUUAAAUAUAAUUAUAAUAAAAUAAUUAUAUUUAUAUAAUAUACUAAUAUUAUAAUAAAAUAUAUAAUUAUAUAAUAUAUAUAAAUAUUAAUUAUACUAAUAUUAUAUAUUAUAAAGUAUAUUAUAUGUUAAAUAUAAUUUUUAUUAUAUUAUAUAUUAUUAUAUACACAUAUAUAUUAUACUAGUUGAUGUGCGCCUCGCGCUUCGCGCGAAGACAUUAUUUCUGCAAUGGGGUUAGUUUGUUAGUUUUGCUGGAACUCAUGAAUAAAGUGUAUUUACACUGCAAAAGAUACUGCAUUGACAAAAGUAGUAUUAAUAUCAGGAAAGGCAGAACUGGUCUAACAACAGAGCACCAUCGCACUGCAUGAUUAAUAUAUGCAUAUUUUUGAAUUAUCCUGUCCAGCACCAGCCUAGGAUGACCAAAUGUUUCUGUGCAAUUCCACAGAUGGCCACAUACAGAAGGUGCCAAUUGUCCAGAUACAAUGAUCAUUCACAACCAUGCAAUUGUCCAGCACCAGCCUAGGAUGAUGAUCAAAUGUUUCUGUGCAAUUCCACAAUUGGCCACACACAAAAGGUGCCAAUAGGGGAUCAAAUUCACUAUUCUCAAAUAGGUGAACCAAGGGCAGGAUCGGUAUAUAAGGGCACCACCGUCAAAAGCCAACCCAACAACAAAUGCCAGCCAUAAAUUCCUCAAAACAGCACACAAUAACCACACCACCCAUGUUCCAAAAUUACAAGACUACCCACACACUUAAGGUGCCAAUGAGGGACCAAAAUCACUGUUACUAAGACCAUUCACUCUUUAUACUAUUAGGAAUUAUAUGCACAUAUAAUAUACAUUUAUAAAUAUAUAUAAAUAUAUAAAAAUAUAUUAUUAUAUAAUAUUAAUAAAUUUAUAAUAUAUAUUAUAUAAAUAUAAUUACAUUUAAUUAAAUAAUUAUAAUAUAUAUUUAUAUAAUAUAUUAUAUAUGUCUAUAUAAUAAUUAUAAAUAUAUUAUAUAAUUAUACUAAUUUUAUAAUAUAAUAUAUAAUUAUAAUUAAAUAUUAUAAUUAUAAUAUAUAUUAUAUACAUAAUUAUAUAUACAUGUAUAUAAUUAUCUAUUAAUUUUUUUAAUGGGCGACGGGACGAGUCCCAUUUCUAAAUGGGAAUCAGACUUGGCUUUUAUCCAAAACCCUUCAAGUUAUCAGGGAAUUGAGGAAUUCUAAAUUUUUAGGUAUGAUUCUAAAAUCCCGAUUUCGAUAGUAGUAAUCCAAACAACAAUUAUGGGGUUUAUUCCAAUUUUCCAUUCUGAAACCCUCUUACCAAACACCACCUUAGACUUCUAGGAAUAACUUGACAACUUAUGGAUGGCCAAAAUAAAAUCAACUGUUAUAAGUUGAGUGAACUAUGAAUCACGCCGCAGCUAACUCUGGUGGAUGCGGGCUACUGGAUUAUGAGGAAAUGGGCCAAUGAAAGUAGCACCAAGAGGUAGCACCAAGGGGUUUAUUCCAAUUCUCCAUUCCGAAACCCUCUUACUACAUGAUUCUUACUUUACUCUCGAAUUUUAUUUUGUAUGACUUAACCCUGUGACAGACAAAAAUACCCUUCUACUACACUGAUUUUUUUUUUCUCUUUUAAGUUUUAAUCAAAAUUAAUUUUUUUUUCAAAUUCUUAUUUUUAAGCAACAAUGAAAGUAGCACCAAGAGGUAGCACCAAGGGGUUUAUUCCAAUUCUCCAUUCCGAAACCCUCUUACUACAUGAUUCUUACUUUACUCUCGAAUUUUAUUUUGUAUGACUUAACCCUGUGACAGACAAAAAUACCCUUCUACUACACUGAUUUUUUUUUUCUCUUUUAAGUUUUAAUCAAAAUUAAUUUUUUUUUCAAAUUCUUAUUUUUAAGCAAAUAAAAAAUUUUGCUAACAAAAACUUAAAGAUAUCCAUUCUCUAAUUUCUAAUUAUGAAGAAAAUAUAUAGAUUUUUUUGCAUAAUUAGUUAAUUAUAAAUAAAUAUCAUUGGUGUAUUUCCUAAUAUACAUACUCCUCUCAUUUGAAUCUUUACCACUAUCAAUUACAGUACUUAAAAUUAAACCACAUGUUAAAAUUCAAUGAAAAAAGGAAACAAAAAUUUCUCCAUUAUUGUUAGAUCUAAAUUUCUCUGAUGGAUAUUUUUUUAUUAGUUUUUUAGGUCGGCAAUUUCUUCAUUAUUAUUAGAUCUAAAUUUCUCUUUAAAUUUGAACCAGAUUUAAUCAAAUUUUAUUGUCAGAAGAUAUGCAUCGAUGUAUGGGAUUACAUUGAUUCAUCCGAAUGCAAGAUUUAUAGGAGCACCAAUGUUAUCUUUAUUUCUAUUGAUUUCCUAGAUCUAUUGUAUCUAUUGAUUUCAUAUCUAUUUGUAUUUGUGUCAUGUUUGUUUGAUUUAUUUUUUGCCAUUAGUGGAGAUUUAUUGAAUGAAAUGAUCUUUUUUUUUAAAAAAAAUCUAUACUUAUAAAAUGGAUUCAAAAAAUAAUGCACAGAAACAUAAUAAAUUUUGUCGUUUAUUAAAAAUUGUGUUGAACAAUCAACACUGUUUAACUAAGUUCGAGUUACAUUUAUAUUAUCUAUCAAUGACAUUGUGGUAUAAAAGAAUGGAUUAAUUUUUUAUGUACUGACAAUGUAUUAGCUUUUUAUGCACUAACACUGUAGUGAUUUUUUUACCCUAACAGUUUGAAUAUAUAUCACAUAUGCAUGAUUUAAAUUUUAAAUUUAAAUUCAUGUUACGUGACAUGAUUUAAACCUACUAGUAUAAAAAAAAAUUACACACUGACCAUGUAUAAAAAAAAAGUUAUCCUAAAAGAAAAUCCAAACGAAAGAAACCGCCAUGUCAAGCUAGCCAUUUGAGGCUAUGACUUCGUGCAACCUCAAAGCCAAUAGACUCUCUUUUGAGACACAUACAUCAAAAAGGGUUAAAAUGCAAAAUGUUGAAUUAUCUUUAAAGAUUAUGAGAUUUCCAUAAAUUAAUGGAAGAGUAAUAUUAGUAGGGAGAAGUUGUCAAAUUUGUCCUACGGUUUAUGACAUUUUCUCUUGGGUCCCUUGUAGUUUUGAAUAUUAUAUUUACUCUCCUAAUUUUCAAUUUCAAUGUAACAGUGUCAGCCCUUACCUAUAAACUAUUGAUAUGAAAUGCUAAAAAGAAUUUUCAUUUCCAAAUUACCAUUAUAUGGCUUACAGGUAAUUAGUGUAACAAAUUCAACGAAUACAAAUAACUUGAAAUGCACCAAAUAGAUGAAAGAAAUUUAUAACAAAAAAUCAUGUAUGGCAGGCUAAAAGAGUUAAAUAGGUUAUAACAAACAGCAGACAGAAAUGAUAUCAAAUUGUUAAUGCUUGAAAUACGUAGGUUCACAAGAAAUUGAAAUAGCAAAUUUAACUUUAAAAGGGCUUGAAAUUUCAAAACAAAAAAGGGAGAAAUAUAUAUUCCAUUAGCAGUGAUGUAGUAGGCCUGACCACAUUUUAGACGACAAAGUCAGUUUUUGUAAGCACCACAUGAUGCUGAAUGUGUCCUAAUCAGGUCUUAAUCGAGCAUUGGAAAAGGCAACAUUUGUAGCUGGAUUAAUGAUAGGUGUCGAGCCUGUACAAUAAUAAUUACUAAAAAGUCCUAAUUACCACCAUAAUUAAUUAUAGAACAAAUCCGAGUAUUGAAGCAGGGACCCUAGGUGUAUAAUGGGUUACUUGAUUCACCCUGUUUCCGAAAAGUUUGCUUGAUCCGAUAUAUCAGAAUUGUCUAUAAAAAUAUUAAAUUUGCAUACAAUGGCAAGUAGGGUCGAUUCCACAGGGAACGGGUAGAAAGUUGUUUCUUUCCAAGUCAAGGAAACAAAAUUCGGGGAUAUUUAAUGGAAUGAGAAUGAAAAUAAAAUAAACAAAAUUCAGAAACUAACUCAACAAGUACAAUUUACUAAAAAUGCUAAUUAAUAAAAUUCUACCCAAAUGAUCAACUUCUCAGGUAUGGUCCAAUUUAAUGAUCAUUGAUGCAAAGAUAUUUCAUUCAUCCGUCACUAGGUUGGUUAUAACUAUCAACAAGUUCUGACAACCAGUUCUUCCUUACUUUUUCGACAGUCAAGGUACGACCAUUAACUGCUUCUCUAACCAGAAAACAAUCCUAGGUACGACCGUAAGAAUUUAAUUCUCCAGUUGCAUUAAAGUUAGAAGAACCCAACUCUAACCAAUAAACACGUUAAGAGGGUUUAUUUAAACUAAAUCUUACGUUUUCCCAACAUAGAUCCAAUUAUGGUGGUUGUCACUAGUUGUCAACUAAACGAACAAUUACGGAUUCAAUUUAAUUAACGCGACAGUAGGCUAUUACAUUAAAUUAAAUAUCCGGCCGUUGAUACUCAAUUAAUAAAAUAACCAUAAACAAUUGAUCCAUGAAACGCACGAAUAGUGACAAAUUGGAAGAAAUAAUGAAAGUUCGAUAAGAUCUCACAGAUAUUAUGGACCGCGCCUUCGCGUCGACCUUUGGGUAGAGGAGAAACCUAGCCGCUCCUCAUCGUGUUACUCUCGCGUGGUUUAAUUGGUUCCAUCCAUGCAACUGCCAAAGAAUUGGGAAAAAUAAAGUAACGUCGAAAGCAAAAGGAAAAGUCUUGAUUAUCUCUCAGUCUGCGUCCGUACUGAAGCAAAAAGUAAAAAAAAAAGCACUAGAGGAAGUCGGUUGCAAACAAGAGCCAAAGCCGCAAGUAAAAUUGUCUGACAGGAGGAAACAAAGGCUAAUCUAUUAAGCUCGCGUAAUUCUGGCUUUUCCUCUGUUCGCCGCCGAAAAAGAAAAAAGAAAAAAAGUCUGACCGAAGAAAAGAAGUUAAAAACUAAUCUAAUUGAUAUCUCGUGAAUCUGGCUUUUGCCAAUUCUCUCCCCAGUAGCCGCUGACCUCUUUUUUUCCCUCCAAGACGUUGAAGUUCAAAAGCUUUUUAGGAGUAAAAACUCCCUGGGCCCUACUUCCUUUUCGGCCCACCUGAGAGUAGUCGCUUUCCAAUUCUUUUGUUCCUUUAUCAAUCCCGCGGGGUCCGUCUUUUGGGUAUCCUUCUACAGUUUCUGGCGUGGGCACACCUUGAGAUGAAAAGUCUUCUGAAAAUUUGUCCUGUGAGAGCAUUUUUUAAACCAACCACCUACAUUUUACACAAAUAUCAAAUAUGAGUAAAAUCUCAACACUUAGCAGCGUAAGUAACCAAAAUUAUGACCAAAUAAUAGCACAAAAGGUGCCUAAUAGUUGCUCUAUCAAAUCCCCCCACACGUAGACAAUGCUUGUCCCCAAGUAUUCCAAAACUCAGAAAUACAACCAAGAGAGCAAAGGUUAUGCGGAAAUUUACACUAACACAAGCAUCCCGUCUUCCUGAUAAUGUCACCAAAAUUAGAACACAUCGGACAGGUGGUAAUUCAAAGAAAAUGUAUGAAUACUAGGAACGCUCAAAUCAACAUCACAGAAUGGUAUUACCAUAGGCUUGCACGUUUAUCACAUCUCCACCACUCAAAGGUGAACUAAAUAUACUAAUCAAAGGGGCUUUAAUAGGGUUGUAAUGAUGCUUAGGUAGAAGGUGGGAUAAGAAUGUAAGGAUAGGGUGUAAUGUGUCAAGAGAAUGUCCGAUAUCCACCACAUAACCACAAUGCUUCACCAGAGAAAUUUCACAAGCAAGACAUUUUUAUUUGCUAUACCCACUGUGCAAGUGUUGGGAAAUUCUCUCUCUCUCUCUCUAUUUUUUUUUAAUUUUGAACAGGCGGCUUGCAAGGCGUGGGCACGCUAUAUAGGCCGAAGUCUUCUGUUCACGAACUUCUCUUUUUUUUUUUGAGAGAACGUCUUACAAGGCGUGGGCACGCUCUAUAAGACAGAGUCUUCUGCUCACCAGCUAAUUGACGUUUUCUCCUAUUUUUGUUCCAGAUGCACAGAAACGGCACCAUACAAAUUUUACUCUAACAACACUUGCGAUCCUGAAUUUAUUUGCCUUGCACAAACAAUGAGAUUCGGACAUCUCUUAACGACACAAGAUUGGACAAGAAAGUCUAAUAAGGUCCUGGGUUAUCAACCACGACUAACAAACAGAAAAGAAGGAUAAAAACUCAAAUUGGUUCACUAUUGGGAGACAAGGUGAAGGUAUGGUUUGUAGAAAACUAAAAAAAGUUAAAUCCUAAAUGUCCUUAUCAUUUCAGAUGCAUCCAGUUCAAUAAAAUGUGGCCUCGACAUGUAUAAAAUAGCAAGUUCUAGAAUGCCAAUACCAUGUGUGAUACCCACUCAAUUAAACAAACGAAGCAAACAAGAAUAAUGUGCUUGUGCAUGGCUCAAAAGCUCCCAAAAGUUUCAAGAAUGGUUCAAGUCCAGCAUGUUCACAUUCAACAAUAUUGCCGAGAAAAAUCAAAAUGCAUAACUGGCAUAUAUGACCACAUACCUGUGCACCAUGAUUGUGCAGUGCAUCAUAGCAACAUGCUCUGACAGUUAACAAAUAUAGAAAGAAAGUCAACUAACUACACUUUUUUUCUUGUUUUUCAUUUUCUUGUCUCUUUUUUUUUGAGUAAAAGGAAAUAAUAGAAACCAAAAAGAAAUAAUAGAAACCACCUCCCACACCUAAAACCUAUAUUCUUCUCAAUAUAGCAAAGACAAAUGAAGUGCAAGGACAAAGGGAGCGAAACUUCCCUGACUACUGAGAUGGUGCAGCGAGACCCUAAGGAGGAGGAGGAUAUCGCGGCUGGAAUCCAAUAUGAGUAUAGAACGCCGCCUGAUUCUCUGUUUGAAUACGGGCAAAAACAUGUAUCGCUGCAAGACGGUCAUCUAGUCUCUCAACUCACUCCCCCAGCGCAUGGAUAGAAUUCUGGAGGGAGCGAUAUUGGGACUCCCAAGCAGGAGGAGCAUGAUAGGAGGACGGACCCGCCUGAUCCGGGUGGGGUGGUGACCCAGUAGAGGGGAUAGUAGGAGGAACCCGGGGCUGUGGCCUACCCUCGCGUGCGUACGGUCGGCUGUGCGCCUAGAGGGUGCGCGCUGCGAUGGUCGCACGAGCGGGGCUUGGGCGCUGGUCUUUGGCUGGGCAGGUCUGGCACGCUGGCAGAGAGCUGGUCGCGCGCUAAGGGGCACUCCGCGUGCGCUGGUGGUCGCGUAUGUGCAACUGGGUAGGGCCCGCGCAGGUGGGUGCGCUGAGUGGAAUGGCGUGACGAGGCUGCUGAGCACGCUGAAGUGCUGUCGAGCGUAGGAGGAAGGCGCGCCCUGGGCAAGCGUGGCGCGCGCUAAAGCUGCGAGCUGGAGCUGGAGCGCACGCGUUGCUGGAUUACUGUGUGGUGCAUUGGUUGUGCGUGAGGUCAUGAGCUCGGGCUCGCGGCUCGCUUGUUAGGUAGCGCUUUCCCUGUGCGCUGCUGAUCUGGUGGCGGCGCAAUAAUCGUGCGCUGGUGACGGGCGGCGCGAUCGGGGAUGGCGAUGGGCCUUCAAAGGUAGCGAGUAAAAGGGUAGAGGCGUGGCGAUGUGGGAGAUUGCAGUGGUAGGGGGAAGAUAUGGAUGAGCGCGGCCGUGGAGAGGCGACGGCGAACAACGGCGACGGGCGACGGAGCACAAAAGUGGCGGCAGAAUGACAAGAACAGGAAGAAGAAGUAUUGAAACGUAGACAAAAGAAAUUGGGCAGAGCUUAGACAAGACCAGACAAAGAAGAAAAAAAAGUGGAAAAGUAUGGUCUUGGUCAUUAAAAAAAAAGAUUCUUUUGACUUUCGUGAGCGGAAGGGUUGGAAGGCGUGGGCACGCCUUGGAGGAUAUGGUCUUCUGACCACCAUGUCUUAAUAAUGUCCAAAAGAGUUCCUUGCGAGGCGUGGGCAUGCCUUGGAAUUGACAGUCCCCAACUCGUACAGUGCACCUGACACACCCCUUCUAAGGUGCGGGCACGCCUUGGAACCCCUAGUCUUCUGUUCAUCACCACAAAAGCAAUUAAAAUAAAAAAAAUAGAUCUGAAAAAUCGCAAAGUAAUGGAAAAAAAUGACCACAACUAAUACUGUAAUCUGUGGGUUGCCUCCCAAACAGCGCCUUUCUUUAAUAUUUUUGGCUAGACAUGGCAAUCAGCUGUUUAGACCUCAUAACUUGGAUCAUCAAGAGAUAUAACCUCCACUUGCUCACUAUUAAACCCUUCAUAAUAGGGUUUCAGACGGUGACCAUUGACCAUAAACUUCUUCUCCGUCUUCAAGUUUUGGAUUUUCACUGCACCAUAAUGAAAAAUAUUGAAAACGACAAAUGGACCAAUCCAAUACGAACGCAACUUAUCGGAAAAAAGUUUAAAUCUCGAGUGAUAAAAGAGGACUUUUUGCCUUACGACAAAUGGCUUCUUUAAGACUUGUUGGUCAUAGAAGAUUUUGCUCUUUUCUUUAUAAAUUGUUGCAUUCUCAUAGGCUUUAUUUCUUAAUUCCUCCAACUCUUGUAACUAGAGCCUUCUUUGCCUCCCUGCAUCCAUAAGAUCCAUGUUGCACUGCUUAAUUGCCCAGAAAGCCUUGUGUUCAAAUUUUACUGGGAGGUGACACGGCUUCCCAAAGACUAAUCUGUAUAGGGACAUUCCAAUUGGUGUCUUGUAUACAGUGCGGUAGGCCCAUAGGGUAUCUACCAACUUUAAACUUCAAUCUUUUCUAUUGGACCGCACCAUCUUUUCCAGGAUUGACUUAAUCUCCCUAUUCGACACUUUGGCCUGACCAUUCAUCUGCGGAUGAUAGGAUGUGGACACUUUAUGGAGUACGCCAUACUUACAGAACAAUGUAGCGAUCAUUUUAUUGCAGAAAUGGGUGCCCCUGUCACUCAAUAUAGCUCUCGGCAUUCCAAAACGGACAAAAAUGUUAGACUUUAUAAAUUCUGCAAUCACUCUUGAAUCGUUAGUCCAGGUGACAUUUGCUUCCACCUAUUUGAAAAUAUAAUCGACAGCGAGUAGAAUGUAUAAGAAACCAAAAGACGAUGGGAAGAGGCCCAUGAAAUCUAUAUUCCAGACAUCGAAAAUUUCAACAAAUAACAUAGAGGUUUGACUCAUUUGGUCUUUUCGAGAUAUAUUCCCCACCCUUUGACACUUAUCACAAGAUUUACAAAAUGAAUAUGCAUCCUUAAACAGAGUGGGCCAAUAGAAACCACUCUCCAACACCUUACGAGCUGUUCGCUUUGGCCCAAAGUGUCCUCCACAUGCAAAUGAAUGACAAAAAGUUAGAAUAGAGUGAAACUCACCUGCGCUUACACACCUUGUUAGCACUUGAUCCGAACAUUGCCUCCACAGGUAAGGGUCAUCCCAAAUAUAGUGUUUGGCAUCACUUCUCAAUUUAUCUUUCUUAGCCUUCGACCAACCUGCAGGUAAUUGAUUCAUUACCAAAAAAUUGACAAUAUCAGCAUACCAAGAUACCGACGAAUCAAUGGCUAGCAAUUGCUCCUCAAAAAAUGAUUCACUCAACGGUAGAUCCUCCUUAUUUGUAAGCAACCGACUCAAAUGAUCAGCCACUAAAUUCUCGGUCUAACUCUUAUCCUUAAUUUCUAAGUCGAACUCCUGCAGGAGCAAGAUUCACCUUAUGAGCCUCGGUUUUGCAUCUUUCUUCGCCAACAAGUACCUCAGGGCUGCAUGAUCAGAGAAAACAAUUACUUUUACACCCAAUAAAUAUGACCUAAAUUUUUCUAAUGCAAAAACAACGGCUAGUAAUUCUUUCUCUGUCGUGGAGUAGUUAAAUUGGACUCCAUUCAAUGCUCUCGACGCAUAGUAGAUCGCGUGCGCCACCUUGCCUAUCCUUUGCCCCAACACGACUCCUACGGCAUAAUCACUCGCGUCGCACAUGAUUUCAAACGGCAGGCUCGAAUCUGAGGGUUGAAUGACGGGCGGCGAUGUCAACGACUCCUUCAAUUUAUCAAAGGCCACUCUGUACUCAUUGGUAAAGUCGAAUGUCACGUCCUUUUGCAGCAACUUGAACAGGGGUGCUUUGAUUUUUGAGAAAUCCUUGAUGAACCUCCUGUAAAACCCUGCAUAGCCCAAAAAGGAACGUACUUUCCGUACACAUACGGGGUAAGAUAGAGCAGCAAUAAGAUCUAUUUUAGCUUUAUCCACAUCUAUUCCCUUAGCCGACACAACGUACCCUAAGACAAUACCAUAUUCUACCAUAAAGUGACAUUUUUUCAGUUAAAAAUCAGAUUCGUUUCAAUGCACCUUUUCAAAAUUAGAGUUAGGUUAUCAAGACAUUCAUCAAAACUAUCCCCAUAUACACUAAAAUCAUUCAUGAACACCUCAAUAAUCUUUUCUAUAUAUUCAGAGAAAAUACUUACCAUACACCUUUGAAAAGUUGCUGAAGCAUUGCAGAGACCGAAAGGCAUCCGACGGUAAGCGAAUGUACCAAAUGGGCAGGUGAAUGGUCUUUUCCUGGUCCUCCAGUGCUAUUGCGAUCUGAAAGUAUCAUGAAAAGCCAUCCAAGAAACAAUAGUAAACACAACCAACCAAUUUUUCUAUCAUUUGGUCAAUAAAACGGAGAGAAAAAUGGUCCUUUUUCGUCACAAAAUUUAGUCUCCGAUAGUCAAUGCACUGGCGCCAACCAGUAGCCUUCCUGACUGGAACCAUCUCGUCCUCCUGGUUCUCCUCUACAGUCAUUCCCGCCUUUUUCGGGACCACUUGAACAGGACUCACCCAAGGACUGUCCGAAAUAGCAAAGAUAAUCCCCACCUCCAGGAGUUUAACUAUCUCCUUUUUCACAACUUUCAUUAUCAGGGGAUUCAACCUCCGCUGUGUCUGUCUUACCGGUUUCGCAUCAUCUUCGAGUCGAAUCCGGUGCAUGCAUAAGGAUGGACUUAUUCUCUUGAUAUCUGUUAUAUUCCACCCAAUUGCCUCCUUAUGAUUCCUAAGGAUUCGCACCAAUUUGUCCUCUUGACUUGGAGAUAAAUGUUCAGAGAUAAUCACCGGAAGCGUCCCCCGAUCUCCUAGAAAUGCGUACUUUAGAUGCUUCGGGAGAGGUUUAAACUCUAACUCUGGUGCCUACACAACUGAAGGAAGCAACUUUGUCUGAAUUUCUGACACAAAAAGAGAAGUAAACUCAUACCUUGGGGAAAUGGGUGGCAGUAAGUGUAAUGCUUCUACUGUAUAGUGCAAUUCAUCCCUCAUGUCCACAUUAAGAGCUAAACCCAAUUCAAGAGAUUUGGUCAAGGUCACUUCCAAUGCGUCUUUACUAUCCAAUUCAAAAACUUUCUGUACAAUGGGUUCAAUAACACUCAAAGCAAAGACUGAGUUAGAUUCCUCCGAAUAUUUCAUUACCUCAAAAAUAUUGAAAUUUAUCAUUUCGCCAUCAAAUUUCAUUCAUAAAAUACCCUCAUUCUCAUCUAUUUUAACCUUAAUAGUGCUAAGAAAUGGUCUACCUAACAAAAUAGGUGACGAAUUUAACGACCUCUCAUCUCCCAUAUCCAGGAUAUAAAAAUCUGUUGAAAAAACUAACUCAUUUAUCUGAACCAAGACAUCCUCAACUAGCCCCUCUGGAUAAGCAUUGGUGCGGUCAGCUAGUUGGAUUAUGAUGGCCGUUUCUUUUAAUGGCCCAAGAUUUAGAGAAGUAUAAAUGAUUUUUGGCAUCACAUUAAUUGAAACCCCUAAAUCCAACAUUGCUCUUCUAAUCGGUGUAUUUUCUAUUUUGCAAGGGAUCGUGAACAUACCUGGAUCUCCACACUUGAGUGGGAGCUUUCUUUGGAGUAUAGCUGAUACGUUUUCUCCCACGACUACUCUUUCAUUCCCUCUCAACUUUCUCUUAUGGGUACAUAAAUUCUUGAGAAAUUUCACGUACUUUGGUACCUGCUUAAUUGCCUUCAAUAAGGGAAUGUUGAUCUCUACUUUUUAGAAUACGUCCAGGAUCUCUUUUUCCUUCUCCACCUUCUUCGUCUUCUCCAACCUGCAUGGAAAAAGGAGAUAAAUUAGAUUUAAUGGGUAUUGAUGGUGUAAGUGCUACCUCAGGAUCUCCACGAAUGCGUCCUUUUUCUUCCAUCUCCUUCUCGAUCUCGUCUUCACUUUUGCUCUUUAGGUUCGUGGCCUUAAGCCCCUCAACUUCCUUGCUACUCCUCAGUGUCAUGGCACUAACAUUUUUUGGAUUUGUCUCAGGUUGCGAUGGCAACUUUUCAACAUUUGGGACUCUAAGCGAUUAAUUGCAGUUGCCAUGUGGCUUAUUUGAGUUUUCAGAUUUUUCAUGCCCGAUCUAGUUUUUUGCUGGAAUUGAGCAAUGUUCGUGAUCAAGGAUCUAGUUUCUUGCUGGAGCUGAGUAGUACUCAUGAUCAGACUCUUGACAAUAUCCUCCAAAGAAUCUCCUGAAUUGGGAGGCGAAGGUUGAGAUUUGGGUUGCCAUGAUUGUUGAAAUCCCAGUGGACGAUUUGAGAAUGAAUUCUGUGGUCUGUUUCCAUAGCUGAAGUUGGGGUGAUCUCUCCAACCCGGAUUGUACGUGUUGGAGUAUGGAUCGUACUGCCUACGAGGUUCGGGCACACCUCCGGUCAUGUUCACUUGUUCAGCUCCCUCCUCUUGCAACAUGGGGCAUGAGUCAGUGGGGUGGCCCACGUUUUUGCAGAUUCCACAGACCUUUGCUUGGUACACGUUCCCCACAACUAAUUAUCAAACAAAAGAUGUUAGCUCCGAUAGCUGCUGCUGAAUGGACGUCAUCUCUAUCUCGUUAAACCUACGGGUAGGGUUACUCUCACGGAAGCCAAACUAUUGAGAGUUUUCUGCCAUUGCUUCAAUAAGCAACCAUGCUUCUCUAGGUGUCUUGUUUGCCAGUGUUCCACCACUCGCAGCAUCAAUGAUACUUCUGUCAGAUGACUGAAGUCCCUCAUAGAAGUAUUGGAUCAAUAGUUAUUCACUAAUUUGAUACUGUGGGCAUCUAGUGCACAACUUAUUGAAUCUCUCCCAAUAGUCAUAUAGGGAUUCUUCAGGGUACUGCUUAAUACUGCAAAUCUCUUUUCUCAGACUUGCAACCCGAGAUACAGGGAAAAUUUUUUUAAACAAUUUCUUUUUCAGUUGGGCUCAUAUUGUGAUACUACUCGCAGGUAAGUAGUAUAAUCAAUCCUUAGCACUAGAGGAAGUCGGCUGCAAACAAGAGCCAAAGCCGCGAGUAAAAUUGUCUGACAGGAGGAAACAAAGGCUAAUCUAUUAAGCUCGCGUGAUUCUGGCUUUUCCUCUGUUCGCUGCCGAAAAAGAAAAAAGAAAAAAAGUCUGACCGAAGAAAAGAAGUUAAAAACUAAUCUAAUUGAUAUCUCGUGAAUCUGGCUUUUGCCAAUUCUCUCCCCAGUAGCUGCUGACCUCUUUUUUUCCCUCCAAGAUGUUGAAGUUCAAAAGCUUUUUAGGAUUAAAAACUCUCUGGGCCCUACUCCCUUUUCGGCCCACCUGAGAGUAGCCACUUCCCAAUUCUUUUGUUCCUUUAUCAAUCUCGCGGGAUCCGUCUUUUGGGUAUUCUUCUACAGUUUCUGGUGUGGGCACGCCUUGAGAUGAAAAGUCUUCUGGAAAUUUGUCCCGCGAGAACAUUUUUUAGAUCAACCACCUACAUUUUACACAAAUAUCAAAUAUGAGCAAAAUCUCAACACUUAGCACCGUAAGUAACCAAAAUUAUGACCCAAUAACAACACAAAAGGUGCCCAAUAAUUGCUCUAUCAAUUAAUCUGAAACUGCUCUCUUUGGAGGAACAUCCAAGGAUGGUCGCUUGCAUCAUCAUCCCUUUGCAUCAUCUAAAUCUCCAUUUUGGAAUAAGCACACACAUAGAAUGUGCCAAAAGCACUAGUUAUAUUUAAUCUGGUAGGAUUGUUGUAAUCUAGGAAGUACCUGUAGAAGAUACAGAAUGAAAGCGUGAAGCUCUUUAUUUUAUUGCAUCAUACAAAUCGAUUCUUUUUUUACUUUCCCUGCAGAAAAAUGACAUGCAUGUAAUCGUAGACUCUGUAUGGAUGAUGCAGGUGACAAGGCAACUUGUUUUUUUGGCUAGGGACAAGGCGCCUUGUACUUUCCAAAUUCAAUGCAAAGAUAUUAGAUGUUGAUGUAAUUGAUACACAAACACAUAAAAGUACGGAAAUUUGUAUUGCGCCAAUUUAAGUGAGAAAGUGAGGUUGAAGAUGAUGAUCUUGACACAUAUUUGAUACUAUCCUUGAGAUGUUAUUUGCUUUCACUAUAUAAAGCAAAGUAUUUGUUACAAGGUUUACCUCUAAAAUACAAUAGGAUUUAGAGAAUCUUGAUAUCAAAUCUCAAGUUUUUUCUUUUACAAGGAAAAGUUCAAAACUCUUUCAUUUGCCAGAAACUUGUCAUUUUUAUAGUAAAAGACAUAACUCAAGAGGCGCAGAUUAAUCAACCACUAUCUCUCACAUUUAUAGGCAUUAAGAGACAGCAAUUACGUUCCUUUAAUGGAUAGAACAUGCCAAAAAUGUUUCAUAAAUUUUUUGGCUUUUAAGAAGAAUCCACAAACGGAUCCACUUCCUAUCGCUGCAAAUCCGGUCGCAGAUCCAUUGUGUUGACUUACCCUUUGUUUAGAUAUGUCAAAAAAUUUUUACUUUCCUCAUUUCAACAAAUCUUAUUUCUAUUUUAUUUCACAAACUAUUCCAACAUUAGACUUCAUAGUAUAUACAUUGUGAUAAUGUGAUGGAACGGACACACUGGCUCCAAAAGAAAUUUGGGUUUAAGACAUUUACGUACCUCCCUUUUGGUUUGACCAAAUUAUUAAUAUGUUCAAUUUUCUGUGCAGUCAGCAAUAAUUUGUUGCAAAAAACUAGUCUAUUGUAGUAUUUCCAGCUACAAGGUGAAGAAAGGGUUCAAUCAAUGCAUCCAUCACUCCUAGCAAUAACUUGCUAAAUCUUCUUACCUCCGGAUGAAGCUAAAAUUUCAUUUAAAAGGCAAAAGGGAAAUUACCAAGGAAGAUUAUUCCUCUUCUGCAUCCAGAUAUAACAAGUUGGAUGACAGGUUUUCAAGUAAAACGGUAGACUUACAAUCUUGAACGUUUAUGGUUUGCAUAUUCACACACCAAAAGCAUACAUCUAUAGAUACAAUCCUAUUCAACAGUGGCAUUGCCAACGAUUUGUAGAGCAUGAGUCUGACCUUCAUUACCAGCUGUGUGGAAUGACAUUGUUGAAAACAUCCAGAUCAACUGAUAUUCUUGACUUCCAGGCUUCUGCAGGUAUAUUGAUCAUGAUGCAACUUGUCUAGGUUUAACCAACUAUAUUACAGCAAUGAAAGACCUCUAGUUCUAGUCAUCCUGUUCAUGAAAAGUUGUCUCUUUCUUAUCUUCUUUGCCAGGACCAUAAGCCUUGCUGCAAAUGAGGAAAUAAAUCGUGUUAGGCACACUUAAGCCAGCAAGUACCCAAUAGUAAUAAUCAUAGUGACCCUUAUUGAUGUCGGUCGAAAUCCAGCUUUCUUUUCCUCCCAGUUUUGAGAGUUUGUCAACGGCGUUCAUAAGAAAACUUGAAACAAGAUUUGCCGCAGAUACCCCAAGUAAGGAAAGAGUGGAAGAUAUACUUGACAUGCUUCUUGGAAACUCAGAAUAAUAGAACUCAUUCUGUGC